rnacentral:lncRNA from 1 species
GCAAGUCGCACGUAAAGUCGCUUCUGAGAGAAUGUGCUCACAUUGUAGUUGAAAGAUUAUGUGGCUAGCAACAUUACAAAUUUAAUUUGGUAUAAUUUUAAAAUAUGGAUUGAGGAAAAAAAUGAUCACAUUAACUAGAAACUGAAAAGGUUUCAGCACAGUUUGUUCAAGCAAGAAACUCAAUUUUGAUGCUACCGAUCUUGAGCGCCGUACCUGGGCACCAAAGUCACCACCACACUCUCAUCAUCUUCAGCACCCAAAUCCUCCAACAGGUCCGUUAACCCCAACCUUAAACAACUCUUGCUCUUUUCCUUCUGCUUAUGUGGCACACUCACAAAACUCCCAGCAAACUCGCUCUUGUCGGGUCCACUCGGUGCCGCAUCCUCAUCGUCCACGUCAUUCACAUACACAUCAAACUUCACAGCCACAUCUUUGUCAAGCUCAAUCCCCUGAAUCACCAAUAUCUCCUCCUCAUCCUCUUUCUCCUUCUUGCUCCUCUUCUUCGGCUUCGGCCUUGACACCACCGUACUUAUCUUCGUCUCCAAAUUUAUUGGAAAAUCUUUACCCGCCACCACCUUCCCUGAUGACGUCGUCUCAGCGGCCUUCGCCACUCCAGCCGCCUUUGCCUUUCUCGCAAGCUUUGUCCGACGUGGCGUCGGUCUAGACUUGAGCCAUGGAAUCUCAACAUCUUCAUACGUAUACCCUAGCUUUUUAUUAUCAAGAGUGUCCCUCACCGUGACCCUAACAAGCUCAGCAUUCUCGUCAUAAAACAAAAACCCCGUAUCCAACCAAUCCUUAUCGUUAAUAUCUUUAUUUUUAGUCCCUAUACUUUUCCAAAUAUUCCACAUUCGAUCUAUAUUCGAAUGGUGCGAAAAAAAUAUUGGAUCCCUUCCAGCGGAGUAAAAAUUCCCCAUGUCUUCAAAUUAGGUUGCGUGUUAUCUCCGGUCCAUAAAUGAACCGGACCAUGUGGGGUCGUUUCGAUUGAACCGCCCCCUGGAUCUGGUUCAGUGCCAGCCCUGUAGGGCGAACCAAAGAACAACAGCGGUUUCUUGGAGUUGGAAACCAUCUGCCUAUACAUAAUUUUGAGGUUGGCUUCGAUUUGAGCAUCGUUGGACAUUGUUUCAUCCGUGCCGUUGAAGUCAAGAUCGAUGAGAGUCGGCGGCUGAUGGCUGGCAGCGCGAAGCUCGUCGUAAAGCGGAGAGUCCGGGUUAGCGAACAAGGCAGGGAGUUGCAUGCCAGCUGGCGCGUCCCAGUUCCAAAACGGCAACGCGAACGUCGGAUCGUCUAUGAGUUUGGCCAAGAUUCUUUCGUGGAAGUAUAGGUAGUAACGAUGGAAGGGGAAGAAAAGCCAGCAUUGAUGGAUUUGGAGCUCGAGGUUGGGGAAGCCGACUUGGUCGUACGCGCCGUCGCAAUAGGCACAGUGGAGAUCGGCUUGCUGGGUGAAGCUACGCGGAUCGUCGUCCGGGAGGGCUUUCAUGAGCUCGAUGGCUUUUGAAUAUUUUUCGAUGUAGGCUUUAUCCACGGUGUGAGCUGCCGGCCUGACGCGGAGUUUGGUAGGGGAGGGGAAUUUGAAGUCUACGAUUUUUUGGGACGUUGGCGGGCAACAGUUGGUCGGGACUGCUCCACUUGGAAAGUCCGCAGCUCCGCAUUUGGCUAGGUCAGGCGGCGACACUGGCUUUGCAACAGCGAAGGGGUCGCUGCCAAGACCAGCCACUCCACCGUAUAGGCUUCCGAGACCUAUAAGUACAUUUCUUCUGUCUAGGUUUACUGGAGAAGGGUUUUCAUGGUCGUGAUCGUUGGAGCUAGUGGAAGGGUUUUUGUUUUGGUCACUACUAUUAUUUGUGGCUUUGCAUGAGACAGCUUGUAAAUUGGAAUGCCUAGGGUUUCCAAAUGAGGAUAUUCGGUGAUACUUUUGGGAGAAAGGGGAGAGGAAAGUUGUGGGGAUGAUACUUGUGGCGGAGGUGACGAGUGGAGCUGACAUAGAAGCCAUGGUUACUUUUGACUCUGAAUAAUACGUUGUAUUGGCUUUGCUUUUAUAAUGUGUUCUAGGUUGUACUUUUCUUUGCACAGGUGGCAGGCCGUACACACGUGGUCGGUCCUUAAGGGUUUGACGAGGAAUACUACGUAGUCAUUUAGUACAGGACAACCAUACACUAUAGCAAGUGGCAUGUAUUUAGAGAUCGAGAGAGAAUUGGGUAAGGUUCACGAGGGAUUUGUAGUUUCAGAAGGUGAAUUGGUUUUGGUCUUCUUGUGUACCAAUAAUAUUUACUUAGUCAUUUAGUGCAGGACAACCAUGCACUAUAGCAAGUGGCAUGUAUUUAGAGAUCGAGAGAGAAUUGGGUAAGGUUCACGAGGGAUUGUAGUUUCAGAAGGUGAAUUGGUUUUGGUCUUCUUGUGUACCAAUAAUAUUUACUUAGUCAUUUAGUGCAGGACAACCAUGCACUAUAGCAAGUGGCAUGUAUUUAGAGAUCGAGAGAGAAUUGGGUAAGGUUCACGAGGGAUUGUAGUUUCAGAAGGUGAAUUGGUUUUGGUCUUCUUGUGUACGGCUGUGGGUCUGCUGUCCCGGACUCUCUGUCUCAUUUGUGUCUUAUUUUUUAUUUUUUCACACGUGUCUUUUACUUAACGUCAAAUCAUGAUAGCAAUGUUAUGCAAUUGGGAGCUAAACGACCGAUGCUUUUAUUUUUUAGUUUGCUUUUUUUCCAGAUCUGAUCAAAUCAUGAUAGCAAUGUUAUGCAAUUUUCAAGAGGGAAAGAUGCACCUGGGAGAGAAACGGUACGGUGACUUCUAAAUCACCGUCCAACAGAACAAUUCUCAGUAGAGACUACUAGAGAGAGAUGCACCUCACCAAUGAAAAAUUUAACUGCAAAAAUUCUGGGUAUUGGGUAAGGAAAUUCGGUGAUACUUUUGGGAGAAAGGGAAGAGAGAAGUUGUGGGGAUGAUACUUCUCGUGGAGGUGACGAGUGGAGCUGACAUAGAAGCCAUGGUUACUUGACUCUGAAUACUACGUUGUAUUGGGUUUGCAUAUAUAUAUAAUUAGGAUUGAAGGAUGUAGAGCUUAUUUUGUUAUGUAUUUUAACGAUUUAAGUGCUUAUCUUUUAGGUUUUCUCUUAAACAUCAUGUCUAUAAAAAAUCACCAAAAUUCAAACCAUAUGACCAUUAGAUCCAUAGUCAUUUUAGUGUUUAUUUGUAAAAUGUAUUCAUUCAUUUUCUUCACUACAAAUGAGUGAAUUAAUGAUUUUAGAAUUUGUCUAAUUUUUUACAUUGAUUAUUUAUGAAUGUUGAAUUGAAAUUUAGACGAUUCAAAAAUAGUUGAUAUGCAUUACAAAAUGAACUCCACAAAAUAAGUGUCAAAAUAUGUAUAAAAAAUGGACAGCGUGAAUGGCUUGGAAAUUGGAAUAGGUUUGAAAAUUGUGCUUUUUGUAGCAAAUUUUAGCAAAGUUUGCUUGGACUUUCACAACCGUAUAAAUUAAAGGGAAACUUGAUAUAACUCCAAUUUUUUGAGCCAAUAGUAGGAAUAGUCCAGUUUAUUAAAAUAAGUUCAAUUCUUUAAAUUUAAUUAUUUAGUUAUCAAUAAUUAUCUCUUAAAAGAAAAAACUUAUUGUAAAAAUCAAAUUUCUUCCUAAUUAUCUCUUUGAUUAUUUCUUUUUAUUUAUUUAUUUGUUAUUUCUUGUUCUUCCUCCUGCUUUAACCCAUUUAUAGAUUUUUUUUUUAAUUUUAUAAUCAACCUAUGUCACAGGUUAAUUGUAUUUAUCUACCUAUAUGACAUAUUCUUUUUCAUAGUCAACAUUUCACAGAUUAAUGUGUCUUGCUUGUAGAUAUAUUAUGUUUUUUUCUACCUUUUAGUUAGGUUUCAUAUCUCACUUAUAGGUAUAAUAUACAUUCAUAUAUUUGCUACUUGAGUUAGGGUAGAAUGUUUUGCAGAUAGAUUUAUGUUAGUAUAUUAAUUUUUUUUUGUUUAUAAGAUAUUAAUUAGAUAUUUUGGAGUUGAAAAAUGCAUAAUAUUAAAAGCUUUUAAUUGAUUUUUAAUAUUUUUAGAAAAUAUAAAAGGAGUAUAAAAGAAAUCAAAACAUAUAAUUAGAUAACGGGAGUCACUCCUAAAAACACUCUAUGUUUUUUGACCUGGAUCUUAAAGCCCCUAAAUUAAACUGUUCGCUUUGUUGGGAAAAAGAAGUGGCCCUAGUUUCCCUUUGAUUUUUCAAGCACGGUGGGAGACUGGUCAUAGUUUCUAGAUUGAUGCUCUAAUUCUAAUGUUAUACAACGCGUACGCUAUAAUAUUUUUAUCAAAAUAUUAGUUUUAGUGUUAUCAAAACAAUAUGUUAUUCUUACCAUGUUUUUGUAUCACAAUUAUAUACCACCUUAGAUGGUAUCUGAUGUGGACAGCCACAUCAUUUAAAUUAAUAAGCAUUUAAUUUCAAAAUGUUAAUCAAUAAUUAAUAAAAAGAUUGUUAAUUAAAUGAUGAUUGUGGUAUACAAGGAGUCUCCUUCUUCCUUCCUCUUUCCAUUCUGCUUUUUCUUCUUACCUCUUUUUUUUUUUUAAUGCCAGUUUUGUAUUGAUUUCUGUUGAUUUCCAUGAUUAUGGUCAAUCUUUAUAGAAUUUACUAGUAUGCCACAAUCACCAUUGAUUUCUAUCUCCAGACUCAUGCCCCGUAGCCCUAAUCCUCAUUCCCCUUCAAGUAUUUCUGUCUCCAAUCUUCUUUGGUACUCCAUGAUUGUUCAUCUCGUGAUAUUUUUUUUUUUGAUUAUUUCAUUAAGUAACGCUUAUUAGCUUUCAUGCGAAUUAGGAGUCAAAAUCAAAUUUGUCUAUCGGAUUAGGGUUCAUACCCAAUUAAGUUACUAACGCCAGAGGGAUUUUGAAGUAUGCAAUUUUCCUUAUUUAAGUGUUUUAAUUAAUAAGAAAAUUGAAAUUAAACAAUUUAGCUUGUCCAACUCAUCUGCCACCUAAGAUGGUAAAUAAAUGUGGUAUAAAAUUGUGGUAAGAAUAUCAUUACUCUUAUCGAAAUUACAAAAAAAAAAAAAAAAGCUGAUUCAAUAUUUAGUUAUUAAAAAAAAAAUGAUCAAGUAACUAUCCAAUACCCAUGUAUUGGGUGCUUUGUUUGAAAAUUUUCAAAAUGAUAUUGGGCUCGUUUGGAUAUGUUUUUAAAAUGACUGAAAGCAUUUUUAGAGAAAAUAUUUUUUUGAUUCCAAAAGCACUUAAAGUGCUUUCUGCAAGAAGCACCCGUUAUGUGCUUCUUCCUGGAAGCACUUUAAGUGUUUUUCCAGCAUUUACUUGCUUUUUUACUAAGGACUGGUUCCAAAAACAUUUUCACAAAAAGUGUUUUCAGUCAUUUUAAAAGCACAUUCAAACGAGCUCAUUGUUUUUCCUAUUUUAAUCGAGUGCGUCGUCCUCUGUUGAGAAUGAAUCUCAUAUUAUGGGAGGAGGGAUCUUGCAUGAAUGGGAGGAGGGACCUUGCAUGAGCUUAUAAGUAAGUUGGGUUACUCUCCAUAUUGCCAAAAGAAAUUUUAUUUGGACCCAGUUUUCCUCUCUCUAAACCCAACUUUAAUAUUUUGUUACCUAUAAACUCUCUAGUUUACCCUCAUAAAUUAUAAACAUAAAUAAACUAGAAAAAGAAAAACUCAUCAAACCCAUUUCCCAACUGUUCUGGCGUCUCUUCCCUGUAUUUGUUGGGUCUGUCUCCCUCCCGACUGUUUUUUUUUUUCUGAUAUCUCUGUGUGUUCCCCCACCUCUCCCACACCCACCAAUUCUUUGUGGUGGCUAUUCCACCAAACGUCCAGUGAAUCUUUCCAUUUUUCUUCUAUUGCGCGUGAUAGGGCCUUGCUAUUAAUAGGCAAAACUAAGCGGCAUCGUCGACUCCGUAAGCGACUUGUUGCAUAAGUCCAAAAUGGAGUCAAAUGGAUUUUGUAUUGGGUCGGGUUGUUGAAGGCGAUGGCUGAUUUAGCAAUCCCGCCUAACUAUUUCUAUAUGUAGGAGAAGGAAGAGGGAGGGAGGUCUGAAGUGGUGGUUGAGUGGUGGCGAUGUAUGUGGGUUCUCUCUCGGUUGAAUGGGUGUAGAAAGAUAUUUAAUUUUCAAUAUCUUAUUUUAUUUUGUAUAAGGGAUAAUAUAGGAAUUACAUAAAAAGUUUUUUUUAUAGCUAGGUGUAGAAAUAGUAUUGUUGGGUCUAAAUAAAAUUACCCUAUUGCCAAUUAGUUUUAUGGUGAAAUCUUAACUUUGUUCAUGCUUUCAUAGUAGGUUGUUCCACGUGUGAAGUCAAACAUCCACACGCGCUGCACGUCACCCCGUUGUGUUGUUCACGUGUUAAGCUUGAAAAUUCAUCACACAUGAGGGAGCGUGUUGAGAAUAAAUUCCACAGUUUAUAAGUAAGUUGUACUACUCCGUAUAUUACCAAUUAAUUUUGUGGAAUUCCGUCAAAGCUGAAUUUGACGGAAAAAAAUAACUUCAUGUUUGUUCUUAACUAUAAAGUCAGUGAUACACUAAUUCUGGUUUGUUUGUUUUUUCCUUCCUUCUUAAGGAAAUUCCCAAUCCAACCAAAAAAAUGAAAUUCCCAAGAGAAUAGUAGCACGAACAAUCGUAGCUUUCUUCUUCGAUAAGCCUUGGGGAAACAGAAAAGGGAAAACCGGACUUUAACCCUAAUUUCUCCCAAUGCCGCAGCACUCUCUAUUUUCUCUCUCGCUCUAUAUCGCGGUCCCUCUCUCUCGCCGUCCUCUAUUGCUCAAACUCAAUGUCUCCAACUUCCUCUGUAUGGUUCCCGAGGAAGAUGGUAAAACAGUAAGGGCAAGAAAUUGUGACAAGGUUAGAUUUGGGUAUUAAUCUGGUGGGGCUACAAUUCUCCAAUCCACACCCCUUUCAUCUGUGCUAGUGUUUGAACCCAAUAUUAGAUAACCGGUCCAUGCAAUCGAUGCCGUUGAAUGAGAAAAAUUCUAGGCCGUGGGAUCAAAUAUAAUGAUGUGGAUUAAAUAAGGAAAAUUUAAAGAGUAAUGAUAUUCAUACCAUGUUUUUGUACCACAUUUUCAUACCACCUUAGGUGGCAUUUGAUGUGGAUAGCCACAUCAUUUGAAUUAAUCAGAUUUUAAAAUUUAGUUGAUUAUUUAAUAAACUAAUAAUUAAGAAAAACUAAUUAAUUAAAUGAUGAUUGUGAUAUACGAGGAGUCUUUCUCGUUCAUUUCUUUGGGUUUUGCAAAUUUUUCAAAUGAUGUGGCUGUCUACAUCGGAUGCCACCUAAGGUGGUAUAGAAAUAUGGUAUAAAAAUAUGGUAUGAAUAUCAUUACUCAAAUUUAAAUGUUUAUCUUGGUUAAAUUACCAUGAUAAUAUUGUGGAAUUAUCUUUUGCAUAACGGAAGAGCGAGAAAAGUCCAAGGGUGUAGGGAAGUUGUGUGGUUGACUACCGCUAUUUUGAUGGUAUAAUCUGUAGAGUAAUAUUACAUUUAACAUCUAUUUGUAUCAUAUUUCUAAUAAAGAUAAGGACCAUCAAUGCAUAAAUAAUUAAACAAAUAUAUAAUAAGAGUAUCAUUUUUGUAACUAGAAUAGGAGAAGAAAGACUUCAAGAUGGGAUCAGCCAAAUAAUUAGCGUUAAGAUAAAAAUAUUGAAAGGAAAACUAAUGAAAAUGGCUUGAAAACUUUGAGUUUUAACGAUAAGGACAAGAUAAAGGGUAAAGUGAAUAGUACCAGGAUUGACUUUUUAAUGUAAAAAUAUAGUUUUUCGUUAAAGUGAACAUUACCGGGAACUUUUCGUUAAAGUUUCCAAUGAGAUAAUAUUGCAACAGCUGGCAUGAGACAAUGAUGGUAUAAAGAUGGCUACUACGGCCAAACUACUACAUAGGAUUCCAUACAUGCGGUCAUUAUUUCGACAAAUCAAUGGCUGCCGCAAUCAUGUGCUCAUUAUUCCGACAAAUCAGUAGCUACUUGCAUUGGAUUAGGAUUGCAUGCGUGUGGUCAUUGAAUGAGGAUUGCGUGCACGUGAUCUUUAUUCAAACAAAUCACUAUUGACCAUAUAUUGCAAUUGGUUAAUGGUAGGCAAAUUGAAUUUUUACAUCAAAUAAUGUGAUUGCUGAUAAUUGAAUUAUUAUUUAAAUGUUGAUUAAUAUGCUUAUUUUUUAUUUGUGAUAUAUCAUUUAAUUUGUACAUUUAGUUUACCUAACAUUACCAACUGUAAUUUGUAUAAAUGGACUGGUACCUAACAUAACCAGUUGUAAUUUGUAUAAAUGGGACUGUAAUUUGUAUAAAUGGACUGGUGCCUAACAUUACCAGUUGUAAUUUGUAUAAAUUUACUGGUCCCAAGAGCACAUGCUACUGCUCAAGAAGCAAAGUUCUUAUUUGCCCAAAAAAAAUCAUGGUUUUUUAAUUGAUGCUCUCAUUUUAAUUUACUAGCCCCUUACUUGGCCUUUUUUAUUUAUCAUUUUAUACAUAUUAAUAUUUUUUUGUAAAAUAUAUUAGUUUGAGUUUUAUUAAAAUUAAAAAUAAAUAAAAAAACUUAGUUUUAGUUUUAUCAAAUUAAAAAAAAAUGACUUAAUAUUUAGUUAUUGAAAUUGUAAAAAAGUGAUCAAGUAUUGGGUGCUUUGUUUGAAAUUUUUCAAAAUGAUAUUGUUUUUACCAUUGAAACCCUGUUAUAUACAGUGAUGGCUAAUUUGUCAAGUUCUACGAAGUUGGGAUACCCAGCGUUUUAGCAUAUAACAUAGCUUAGUAUUACAAGCAUAAUUAAUUAAAAUAAAGGCAAAAUAAGAGGAUAGCUUAGUAUUACAAGCAUAAUUAAUUAAAAUAAAGGCAAAUUGUAACAGCCCGUCCCUAAAAAUGACGAUUUUAUAAUCUUAACACGUGAGUUUAUGAAGAUGCCCUUCGAGGCAAAGUGUUGACUACCGCGUCGUGUCAUGUGAGACUCAUCUUCUUGGCGUAUUCUCGUUUUACUCGUCGCUACGGAUGCGUGGGCGCAAACGACACGUGAUUUGGAGCUAUAACAAAAGAGUUAUUAACAUUUAAAGUUAAGGACAUUUUAGUAAAUUAAUUAAUUUCAGAUUUUGUUGAGGGGAAAAUCUGGAGUGCCAUGUGGGUGGCCCAGAUUAAAGGAAAUGAGGAAUGGAUGGUGGAGGUGUAAAGGAAAGAAGAUAAAAGAAAAAUGAGAGGAAAUGUGUGACUAAUAGGGAGAUGAGAGAGUUAGGAUGGCCCAAUUAGAAACAAACGAAAGGAGGAAAAAGGAGAGAAGAGGGGAGCAGGGGAUCCCUUCAACCCGGUUCCACUUUCCGACCCGACCCGAUCCUUUUCAUCUUUUCCGGUGGUUUUUCGUCAGUUUUUCCGGCGAACCACGUUAUCUAACCCCGUUGAAAAUGUUCCACGACCUUCCCUCUACCAUUACAACCCAAAAUUGUAGAAAUUUAGCCAUGAAAGUAUGAAAACCGCACCGGUGGGUGCGGGAAACCUUUGUCGUCGAUUCUCCCAUUAUUGAAACGAUUUUCACCAAUUAUCACCACCUACAGCAUCCUCUUGAGGUCUGGAAUAAAGCCCAAACAAGUUUUGGGGCGUUGGAGUUCGUUUAAGGUCGAAUUGAGCACACCCAAAUUCAAGGGUUCCGUACCGUUCAUGGUGAUUUGAGGUGUUUCUCGGCCAAAUUGGCCUUAGUCACAAGUAUGAAAGUUGCUCCACUCGUUGAGAUCUUCAUUUAUGUGAAAUUUGAGAAUUUUUUGAAAUAUUUGGAUUUUCCAGCGAGUCGGGGUGGCGGACCGCCACCGGCAGCAGCGCAUGGCCAGUGGUCCACCAAUGUCAUUUUACGUUAAAUUGAUAUCUUGAUUUUAGAUUUGAUGUCUAUAUGUUAUGACUUGAUUAUGUGAACCUAGUUUGAUUAAGGUGCGUUAAUUGGUAAAAAUAUGAAACGACGAUCCGACCGUGGGAUCGUCACCAAACUUUAAUAUGUUAUAGUACAUAAUAUUUGAGAAUCAUAGGGACUGACAGAUAGGAAAUCCGAGAUACAGAUCUUCCCGAAAUGGAAUUGUAAGUUUGAAGAAUAAACGUUAACCGCCACUUUGUUUUGACUAUUGGUGGAGAUCCAACCGUUGGAUCAUAAUGAAAUUUUAGGAUGAUGUUUUAGAAGCAUAAUGUGGAUCUUUGGAAGUUACUGAUCGGAAAUCCGAGGAGUGAAUCUUCCGAAUUGAAUUACGUAGGGUUGUGGACCUUACCGUCGAUCGUUGACCGAUGAUCGACUUUUGGUCAAUGGGGCUUAAAUCAAUCUAAAACGUUUUUAGGGAUGUGUUUUACGUAAAUUACAUGAUCUAUUGAUAAGAAUUAUGAGAUGUGGUUUGAUAAUUGUCCUAGGUGCCGAUCGUUAGGAACGCUUCGAUGGUUAUGCUAGGAAAUUGUAGCACAGACUCCUUGUGAGUGAAUCUUUUCCUUCUUAUCAUAUAUAUAUAUAUAUAUAUAUAUAUAUAUAUAUGAUUGACAAUUCCACAAACGUUUAUAAAUUGAUUAUUGCAUAUAACUACUGUGAAUACUUUGAAGUACUUAUGCGAACUACGAAUGGCUUGAUCCGUGUUUAGGGUACGUAGGCAGUCUAACAAGACGUUAGAUGUAGUCAUACAAUAAUUGAGAUUAAACAAUUGAGAUAAAGCCUUGUUUGGGGAACUGGGCAAGGUGAAGGAAUUUGGUAAAAAGGUGAGAUUUAACCUUAUGAAUUGGUGAUUAAAUGUUGGUCAUAAAUCAAUGUGUAAAGAAUCAAGAAUUUGAAGUAAGGAAACGUAAGUAAUGAUAAUUAAUUAAACUAGUGUCUAGUUGGGCUUGUCACCUAUAAUUAUCCCCGAAAAUGAAUAAUUCGGGAGUAGGGCGUUACAGCUUCUGCAUUUUUAUGCCACAUUAUAUAUAUAUAUAUAAUUGGAAAUGCUAUAACAUGGUUGAGUAUCAGAUUUCAUCAUGGUUUAUCUAUAUGUAUAUUACCUGCACACAAUUAUUAUGAACGCGUUGAAGUGCAAAGGUGAAUGCACGACACCCAGGUAAGUUCAGGUGAGUUUAUGGUAUUAGUUGAAAUGAUGGGGUUAUGGUAUGACUACAUGUAUGUUUAGGUUGCAAUGAUAGGCAACUCCAACACUGUCGUACAGGUUGCCCAUGAAUUGUACAUGUUACAAUAGAUACAGUUAGAGCUCAUAAACCUACACCCCGGUGUUAGUACUCCCGCUCGUGGCCAGGGCACAGUCCUUCACGUGAUGUUCACCUCCCGCACCUUACGCUCACCUUGGAUCCAAGGUAGGUGCACAAUCAUGUCGUACCACUAUAGGUGGUUCCGACUCGUAGAUGACCCGCGAUUAUUUGCACAGUCUUCACGUGAUUGUAGCACUUGAGCGUAUUUAUUUACACCCAGUUCUAUUGUACAGACCACUUUAGGUGGUUCCGACUCGUAUGCAGGUAUACUUAUUAAGCUAUGGAUAAGUCGUACAGGUCACUAGAAGUGACUCCGACUUAUGAGCUAGCAUAUGUGAUGAGCUAGCAUAUGUGAUGAGAUAAGUGAUGAGUUAGUAUAUGUAAUGAGAUAUGUGAUGAGCUAGCAUAUGUGAUGAGAUAUGUGAUGAGCUAGCAUAUGUGAUGAGAUAUGUGAUGAGCUAGCAUAUGUGAUGAGUUAGCAUAUGUGAUGAGCUAGCAUAUGUGAUGAGAUAUGGGUAAGUCGUACAUGUCACUAUAGGUGACUUCGACUUGCGUGCUAGUAUGGGUUAUUAAUCACAUGAUUAUUGAUAUUACUGAUGAGAUGCUGUGUUGUGGUAUAUUUAUGAUCUUUCUGGAAACUAUGCAAGUGUUGUAACGAGGGGUUAUAAUGAGGUGUUGUAACGAGGGGUUAUAAUGUUUUAUAUGGUUUCUGUUAAAAUUUUAUUUCUAGGGUCACUCACCCUUAUUUUGUUUUCACCCUCUAGGUUUUAUUAGCUGAGCUUUCUUAUCGUCGAAGAUUCGUGGCGAUUCUUAGUAUUGGAGAUUAUUUCGAGAGUACGAUUCUUAAUUCACUUUACUGUACUUGCUUAAGCUGUAACGUCACGUGUGAAGUGGGUUCAUUUCCGCUUACCAGCGCAUUCUGGUAUUUAGGCACUCUUAGGUUUAAAUUUAUUCACAUUUUUCCACAUCAUCAAACUUUAUGGCUUUGUCACUCUUUAGGUGUCGGCCAGCACAGCUCGAUUUGGAGUCCUAGUGGACAUUCCGGGUCGGGGUGUGUCACAAAUGAAGAGGAUGGUUGAACUUGUUAAGUUUCUUAAGUGUGUCUACUUGAAGUGUGUUGCUAAUAAAUAUUUUGUUGUAGGCAUAAUUUACUGAACAAUUAUGGAGGCAGAGAGAGAGAGAGGGAAUAUGCGGCAUAGAGAGAGAAGAGAGAGAUGUGUAAUUGUGAGGUGUGUUCUAUUCCACCCCAUUGUACCUUUAUUAUAUUAGUAGGGAAAGUUAAUUCCUUACCCUUUUAGGAUUACAACUCUAAUAGGAAAAUAUCUAGUCUAAGAGAUAUGAUAGAAUCUCAUAAGGAUAUCCUAGAUAUGUUAGGAUUUACACAAUCAUAUUCCUAUUCCAAUAAGACUGCAACACAUUUGUAUUUUUUUAGAAUUUUUUUGAUAAUUUGUUGGUAUUCUCAAUUUUUGUUAACAUUGAAAAUAUAACGGUUCAGAUGAAAAACCUUUGGAAAUCCAACAGCUUGCAAGACGUUGGGCUGUGCUGAAGGAAGCUGGGCUGUCACGUGGAUGGGGCCCUCCCUCUCCCUCUUGUUGAUUCAAAGGGCGCAGGCCCGUGCAACAAUUGGCGAGGCAGCCCAUAGAGAUCCUGCGAUUCACCCAUUCGCCAUUUUUUCCACCGCUGGAGCACCAAAAUUCGGUCAAAAGGCAGGGGUAUCAAUGGCAAGGGCAAUUUGGCUUCCGCUGGAGGUGCUCUUUGUCGACUUUGUUUUUUCUCUCAUUUUAGCUUUUGCAGUAAUAUUGAAGUAAUCACUCCAAUUUUAUCCAAACUUUUGUUGUCCGUCAAUUUUUAUCAAAACUAUUGGUUAAUUUACAUAUUCAGACUAACCUUCUCAUUAUUUUUAGUAUUUUUAUCAUAAAUAAUAUCUGAAAUAGUCACAUUUUAUUCAACAACCACUCAAUUAAAAAUUAAUUAGUGUUGUUUCUAAACCAUUACAUCAAGCUUUUGUAGAUACACAUCAAUAUUGCAGCGAUCCGAGGCAUUGUUUUAGUGACGGUAGUACUUUCUACUCCUUGGAUUUGGUGAAUCGGAAAAGAGAAGAGUUACGAGUAAAAGUCCCUCGCAUUGUUUUGGGGAGAUGAAGAUGAUGAUCUUUUGUUUUUGUUUUUUAAUGAUUAAUCCACGCAGCAACAUAUAAUUAAAUUGUUGGGAUCUACUCAAGUUCCAUAUCACACACUAACAUAAAAUUUGACAAACGAAACGAAAUAUGUGUGUAGACAUCGAAAUUUCGUAAAUAAAUGUUGACCGAUAAAUCAAAGUGUCAACGCUCAUGUAUUACAUAAAUUUUACACGUAGCGUGUGACUCAACGAAAAUUGAAAUGAGUUGGAAAAGUCAUCAAAUAGGACACGUGUCAACACCUGGCAGAAACGACUUAUUUCAUCUGGGAUAUUAUAUUCAAAAUUAGCCAUUGGAAAAUUCUAUAAAUACAAGCCCAUUUCAUUCAUUUAAGGAGAGGAAUUCAUAUUACACCUUGAAGCUCUGAAGCUCUGAAACUCCGAAGCUCUCAAGCAUCCAGGUUCCCGAAGAAUCAAGAAAGUGUUCUUCGUUCUUCGUUCAUCGUUCUUCCAAGAUCAAGCCUCGACGGCCCUUGGAUCAACAAUCAUCCACCUUCAAGAUCAAGCCCCGACGGCCCUUGAAGAAAGCGUUCUUCGUUCUUCGUUCAUCGUUCUUCCAAGAUCAAGCCCCGACGGCCCUCGGAUCAACAAUCAUCCACCUUCAAGAUCAAGCCCCAAAGGCCCUUGAAGAACUUCCACCAAUUCAAGAUCAAGCCCCGACGGCCCUUGAAGAAAGCACCAUCGUUCAUCAUCCGUUCAUCCAAGAUCAAGCCCCAACGGCCCUUUAGAUCAACAACGUCGACAAAUCCACACAUCCAACCGUUCUUCAAGAUCAAGCCCAAAAGCCCUUGAAGAUCCGUUCAUCACUGUUCUUCAAGAUCAAGCCCAAAAGCCCUUGGAGAUCCGUUCAUCACUAUUCUUCAAAGAUCAAGCCCAAAAGCCCCUUUGAAGAUCCGCUCAAAUCCACCUUCAAGAUCAAGUCCACGGCCCUUGAAGAACGUUCAUCCUUAGAUCAAGCCCAACGCCCCUUUGGAUCAAUCGCACAUCCACAAAUCAACACCUUACGGAGAUCGAAUCAGAGGAUCAAAAUAGAGAGAGAUUGUAACCCAAAAUCAUCAAAUACAAAUAUUUGUUUGUGCGCGUUGUUCUUGUCUCUUUCGUUUCAGGAAUUUUCCGUGUUCACAAUGUGCUCUUGAAAUCAAAAUGAGGGCACUGCUCCAAGAACAAGAAGGGCACCUUGUCGAGGUCGCCAUCCGCCGUGAGGGAAAACCGGAAGAAGUUGGACAACAAUGAUAACAUCAAUUUGCGGCACCCAUAUCGGGACAUCACACUGUGAAAUAAAUAUUGAAAUAAAUACUCAAAACUCCUGGAAAGUCCUCGAGACAACAAACUUUCAUCUCCUUCAAACAUUUCAUUUUACUAAGUUUUAUCUUUGAAGGGAGGGAAAAAAAGAGAAGAGAGAAUCCUACUCCUUAUUCCUGAAUAUAUUCAAGAAUAGCUAUUGAAUAAAGAGAGAAUGGAGGGUGAUCGAAAGAGGAGGGAAGAGAAUUCUAGUUCCAAACAUAAAAAGGACCACAACUUUUAAAUUAUCAGCACAAUCAUCACCUAAUUGAAGAGACCAUUCACUGUGAAACAUAUUGUCAAUCAGUCUAUCUAUAUCUAUUUAUAUACCAUAUUUUUAGAGUAAGAUUCUCUCACCUCCUAUUACCAUCCCCUUCCAUCCUUUCAUCUCAUACUCUUUUUUUGUUGUCUUAUUCUCUAUAUAAAAAAAUUCAAAACAAGAUGUAUACGUGACGUAAUCGUAACCGUUUAAAUAAGAGGGGAUAGAAGAGAAGAGAGAUUAGGAGAAGGGAGAAUCCUACUCCCACAUUUUUCUUCUUCAUAAACAAAAGAGAGGUUCUAGAUUACUUGACUCUAUGCCUCAUUUUUUUCAUCAAGUAUUUGUGAUAAGUGGGUUCAUUUUCAAGUAUUUUAGUUUUUUUGUCAAAAUUGAGAAAACUGAAAAUCAAACAUUAAUAUGAAAAAUUAAAAAAUCAACAUAUAAUUAUUUAGAAAUCGCAAUAGAAAAGAAAAAAAAUGGAGGUUUGUGAUGAAAAAUCUUUUAUACUAAGUAAUUUAGUAUCCUUAUGCAUGAAGAUAAAUCAAUUUGUUCGUUACGGUCAUACUCUUUUUUGAAUUUUUGAACACAUUCUCCAUAGGGCCUUCUUAUAUGUUCCUUCUCCAAGCUCGGGUUAUGGAAGAAGUAAAAGAAGGAAUCGAAAAGAAAGUAUUGGUAACAACCGAUUUCAUUACGAGACAACUCUUGAUAUUCAUAUCAAUCUAUUAUGUACCUUUGCAUCUAGCAUUAGACAAUAAUUGUCAUAGCUUUACCAUAUUUUUUUGUUUCAUUUCUUCUGAAACAAUCUCACACACUUUUUUAUUAUGUGUCUACUACUAGGAAUUCAAUACGUAAUCUUAGCAUUCAAUAGUUAUUCCUAAAUAAUUUCAAUUUUCAAAUGAUCAACCAUUUCAUUUUACCAAGUUCAAUCAAUGUUAGUCAGAUUAGUCAACAUUUAUAUAUUUUGAUGCAACAACAAGAUGUUAUUUGUAACAAGUGAUUUUGUUAGUUGGUUAAUUGGUCACAAGUUAAUGUUCGGUUCAGUUUAGUUUUUCUCUCGAUUUUUUGUGAUUCGGUUUUUUCAAUUCUCUUUAGGGUCGGUUCGGUUUUGUUUUUUUAUUUAUACUUGAAUUUUAUUUUAAUUUAUUUUAAUUUAUUUUAUUUUAAAUCUGGAAACACCAAGAACAACACAAGCACAUAGUCAAUCAAACAACUAUCCUUCUCCACAAAUCAUAGUAAUAAUUACAUUCAUUGAGCUGAAAUGCAAAUAACUAACAAACUCACAAAAAUCAAAUAAAAACUACAAAUUGCUUACUCUUUUUCUUUGGGUUUCACUCGAAAAGUGUCGGUAAAAUUUAGGGUUUGCAAGAACGCAACUGAAAUCUAAAACGGAGGCCUUGUGGCCUAUGGGUUGCUAUUGAGUUCCAGUACAGAGAACCUUGCUUAAUCUCGAUCACGGUACAAAGUAUCGAGUACCUUUAGCACUGUAUUUUGGUAUGAUUGGUAGAACCAAAUUAAAAGCUAACAUCAACAACAACUACCAGAGACAAAAGCUCUUAUCAAUGCUUUGGAAACAUUUAUGUAUCUCCAAGUGUAAUGAUAUAAUUGGUUGGAAACUUGUGAUUUCGUAUCAAAUCAAUAAAAAGUUACAAUAUUGACAAUAUAUUAGCAAUUUUUAUGUUAAUUAUGAACAAGUCAAUCAUGUAGAACCAAAUUAAAAGCUAACAUCAACAACAACUACCAUAGACAAAAGCUCUAAUCAAUGCUUAGGAAACACAGUCCUGUAUCUCUAGGUGUAUUGAUAUAAUUGGUUGGAAAUUUAAAAGAAAAAUGGUGAUUUUGUAUAAAAUUGAUAAAAAGUUACAAUAUUGACAAUAUAUUUGACACACCCCGACCAAGAUCAAGGCAUGCUGGCCGUCACAUGAGAGUGACGUAACCAUGUGCACAGUGCGGAAGCAAUAAUGAUAAGAAAUAUAUGAAUAAUUAAAAACCGAAUCUACUAGAGUGCACUACUAAACAGGAAGUAUUAGGAGUAAGAUACAAAAGUAAAUACUCCUAAUCAGAGCAUAGAAAGUCUAGGUGCAAUCCAGUAGGACAAGUACUAAUUAUACAGUAUAAAAUGUCUUACAAUUAUUUAGAUAGGUCAGAACCGCCGAAGUCCUCACACCCAACAACUGCAAACUUACUUAAAACCUGAAGGGGCGCAAAAUAGAAAACGUGAGUGGGAAAAAACAAAUGUUUUACAAAACCAUUUCAUUUAUCAAUAUAUCUAACCCCUCGCUGUAAACAUGUAUAAUUUUUCCCAGAAUCAAGAUAUAAGCAUAUACAUAAAUAUAUAUAUAAAUAUAUCAAUUCAAAUCAUGCUUCACAUAAUCAUAUUCAUAUGUAUGUCAUGCCAAGAUAUAACAGAGUAAGCAACUCAGGUAAGAGUAAUUUCAUAGAAAUAUAACAUGUUAGCCGGAACCCCUGUAGUAGUCUGUACGGCUGAAUUCAUAGCUCAAAAGUCAAUCUAGCCGAAGUCACUACAAUGACCUAUACGGCAAUAUACUGCACAAGAGUCGGAACCAAAUGAAAAGAUCUGUACGACAAUAAUGGGUGUUGUUGAUGCACAAAAUCAGUGAGGACUUUGGUACAACAGAAAGUGUUAAGUUUGUGACAUUCUCUAGAUUACUCCGAUCACUAGUGUGGAUAAGUAUGUAAAUGGAUAAAGACAGGGAAGCAAACACAAGAUGUACGUGGUUCACCCAGAUUGGCUACGUCCAUGGAGUAAAUGAGUUCUUAUUAAUUGUGAAGGGUUUACACAAGUAUAUAGGUUCAAGCUCUCCUUUAGUGAGUACUAGUGAAUGAUUUAGUACAAAUGACAUUAGGAAAUAUUGUGAGAGAAUGAUCUCUAUUUAUAGAAGAGAGUUUCUAGUUUCAUUCUGACAUUGACACGUGUCAUGUUGUGAUUGGCUUCUGAUGUUGACAUGUGUUGCACUAUGAUUGGCUUUAGAUGUCAACAUGUGUCGCGUUGUGAUUGGCCUCCUGGUUUGAGGGAAACUCUUCUGGCUCCUUGACGGUAUAACGUUGAUCGAUGCUCAGUAGUUUCGGGAUUGGUCAAGUAUGGUACAAACAGGUGUAAUAUAAUCAUACUCAAUACUACUCUCACAUAAUAGCUGGGUGAUAAAUCGCUAGUCACCUAUGAGUCAGAACGAUAAUAAAGGUCUGUACGAAGACUGUGCACCUAAAUUGGAUCCAAUAUGACCAUAUGGUGCGGGAUGUGACAUUAUAUACAGGCUUGUGCCAUCACUGGCGGAGCUACACCCACGGCUACAGUAGGCUGUAGCCUAGGGAGGAUUUUAACAAACUGCUGGUAUAAUAGUUUAUAUAUGAGUUUGUUGUUGCUUAUUGUAUGUAUAAUAGCCCACAUAAAUCCUGCCAAAAUUAUUAGUUAAUGUGUUUCUUAAUUUAUAAAUAAUACUUUUAUUACCUUUUAUUAUUUUAUUAUUUUUAGGCUAAAAGUAAAAAUGGUAAAUUAAUACAUAAUUAGGUUUCUCCUAUUCCCCAUGCUUUUUACCUAUUCGUUCAAAACAAAAAAAUUAAACCCUCUACCCUAAGAAAAGAAAAACUAUGAAUCACCAUCAAAUUAUUUUCUAAUGAAAUUCAACACUAGAUAUGCUCUUCAUGUCUUCAUUUAACCUAUUUCUUGAUUCAAUUGUUCAUUCCAUAUAUCUACAGCACGACUUGAAUUGGUAUCCCCUAACCUUUUUUCUUUUGGGUACUUGUUAUCAACAAAAGUGAUAAUAUUUGUUCUCUUUCUAUUGCUUUUUUGUAUGCAUGUUUUAUUUGUGUAAAAAUUAGUUGGAAAGUAAUUAAUAAACUUGUUUGGAUUAUUAGUACUUCAUGUUCCUACUUUUAUGUAGAUUACUAUAUAAUUUUAUGUAGGCAAAAAAAAAAUUCAUAAGAUUAUAUGCUAAUGAUUUUAGUUAGCCCACCCAAGAAAAAUUUUCUGGCUCCGCUAUUAUGUGCCAUAACUCUGGCAAAAUCACAAUCACCCUAAGUGCAGUUUUAUGAGUUCAACGUUAUUCUAUCACAUAUCACAUCAUCGAUAAUUCACAUAACCAAACAUAACUCACAUGAGCUUACCUGAGCGUCCACAGUACCAUAAUUAUAUAUAAUGCAUCAUAUACGAAAUAUAAAUUCAUAUGCAUGGCAUUUAAGGUAUACUUUCAUUUAAACACAUAUUUCUGGGAAAAUAUCAAGUAUAUAAAUAUAUACUGAAAACCAAAAGCCCACUCAUUGGUAUGUCGAAGGGUCGUAGCCCCCGAGUCGCCUUUGAAUACUCUCGUCCUCGUGAUAAGUCUCACCUAUAUGCGAAUUAACUAUAAAAACGUUAUUUUAGAGCACAUACAAAAAAUUAGCUAAUAACUCUCAUACAAUGCUCAAUUUUUGUAUUUGAAUAUAUCACAGUGACCUACACAACCUCAAGAUCAUCCCUAAAUUUUUACAAUAUUUUUCUGACCCCUCACGCGCUGCCACGCACCGGCAAGGGCAACGCCUUACUCGCCCCCACGCGCGGCCACGUGACAAGCAUACUGAUGGCGUCAAUCAACAUCAUCAGGAAUAUUCUAGGGAAUAUUCUGUUAAAACCCAAUGGUAACUGUUAAAGAUGACUGACGGCAUGAGCAUAUUCUGUCAACCUUGACGGAAUAUACUCCUUUCUUCUCCGAUGAGUCGUCGGUCGCCGGCGACUUCGCCGAUUUCUUGGUAAAACUUUAAAUCGCUUAUUCUUCUUCGUUUCUUCGCCAUUUUUCAUGAAAUUGGUACCAAAAUGAAGCUAAUAACAUGUAGAAUCACUUUGUAUAAGUUUCAAGGCUUAAAAUCUACUAGUUUUUCCCUGAGAAAGCUCGAUAGUUCGGCUUACCUAGAUAUGCGUCGAUCUCAGCCCUCCGACGUCCAAUUCCUUCCAACGAAGUACCCCAAGACUCGUGAGGACCUCCUUAAGCUUCCUAUAAGCUUCAAAUUCCCUGAAACACAAGAUUUUACGUAUGCAUGAACAAUGCACAAAGUCGGAGCUAGGGUUUCCACGUGAAAUCGAAGGUUUCCUUACCUGAAAAUGGUUCCUUUGAAUUCGUAUGGUUCUCACGAACACAAUGGUGAUCUUAAAACCUUCGAUCUACAAGGUUUAAGAGGGUUUCUGGGUUGGUCCGUACGAAGAAGGGAGAGAGAGAAUGAGAAUCUGCGAGAGAGAGGGCACGGGAAGGAAAGAGAAAUAAGAUAGGUGUGUGUAUGGUCCAAAAGCCACCAAUCAAAACUAAGAAAAGUCUUAGUUGUAAUUGGGUCACCAAUCUAAAACAAUUUAACCCAAUAAUAACUUACACACAUCAUUUAACAUCCGAGGGUAAUUCCGUCAUUCUACGUCAUCGAGAAUAAUCUUCCGGGACGGGCUGUGACAAUAUCAGCAAUAUUUAUGUUAAUUAUGAAUAGGUCAAUCAUGUAUUUAAUACUUAAAUGUAUUUAAAAUAAACACCUUAUCAAUGUUUUCUGAACUGUGCUCGAUUUUUCUCCUUCGCUUUGGUUCUGUCCCAUUGGAUUUUUCAAGCAAGAUUUUAUCAAGGCAACUAUCAUUAACUGUGAACAUAAUUUAUCAUUGAGACACGAACAUCCAAGGGGGAGUGUCGUGGAAAAAAAUGUAGAUAUCUUUAUACGUUGUAUGGUAGUAAACCAUCAUAAACACCAUAAAUAUGUAGAAACGCCCUUGCGGUACCUUUGAAUGAUAACUCAUGUAUUUGUUGCCCUAUGUAAAGAUGGCUAAUGAUAAUGGAAGACUAAUUUUCUCAUCCCAAUCUCUCCUGUCUCUCUUAUUCUCUUUUCUCUAUAUUUUAUUUCCAACAAGUUGUGUUUUUUUUUUAGUAUUGUUAAGCAACCCAAUAGAUUUUAAUCGUAGUCUUUGUUUUUUUUCUUUUAUAUUUUUAAUCAAUUUCAGUUGCUUAUCAGUUCUAGCUAAUUGAGCUCUUUUACAGCAAUUUUUUUCUUUAAAUAAAAUUAUUAUUAUUAAAAAGAGUGAGAAAAUUCGAAAUUGUUACAAUAAUUUAAAAAAAAUAGGAGUUUCAAAUCAUGAAGGUAGAGGGAGUUAACAACAUUUUAGGGGGGGGUGUAGUCAAACUAGGAUUUUGAAGGAUUUUAAAAGUGAUAGAUUUGAUAGGAUUUAAGAUGAUUAAAGACUCUUACAAAAUUCAUAUGGAUUUUAAAGAAUAUGAAUGGAUUGCGGUGGAUUGUGGGGGAAGGAUUUGAAAUCCUAGGGGGUGAGGUUUGAUUCUUUUUAGUUUUGGUUAUAUAUGGUAUGCUUUCAAAUCCCAGAAAAUCCACAACUUUUUAAAAUCCUUUAAAAUCUUAAUUUUUUUAAUACACUUAGAUUUGGAUGGAUUCUAAAAUCCUUUAAAAUCUUUUAAUUGACUACACCUAGAUUUGAAUGGAUUCUAAAAUCUUUUAAUUGACUACACCUAGAUUUUAAUGGAUUCUAAAAUCCUUUAAAAUCUUUUAAUUGACUACACUAUGAUUUUAAAGUCUUUAAAAUCCUCUCAAAUCCAAGUUUGACUACACCCCCUAAAGAUUUUAAGGAAAACUAAUGAAAAUGGCUUGAAAACUUUGAGUUUUAACUAGGGGUGGGCAAACGGGUACAGGAACCGCGGGUAGGGGUGGGUAAUUCAAGUUCGGGGCAGGUAUGGGACAUGUCCAAUAUUUCUAAACACAAAACGGGGCGAGGCUGUUCGGGUAUAUGAAAUUAUCGGGGCGGGGCGGGUCUUAAAAUAGAAGGGAACGGGCCCCCAGCCUGACCCGUUUCUUUUCCUCAUCCCUAGUCUUCUCUAUCUCUCUUCCCCGACACUUUUCAUUUCACUCAAACCCGGCCCAUUUCUUUUCCUCAUCAGUCAUCCCUAGUCUUUUCAAUCUCUCUUCCCUAACUCCUUUCAUUUCACUCGUACCUCGAGACCUCCUCUUAACUCGCUCCCAGCCUCCCACCGUCCUAGCUCCGUACCUCGCCAUCAUCAUCGUCAGACCUCCAUCUCUCCUGAUUUACUCAUGUCUUCCUCGCUGCGUCCGCCGCCAUGUCUCUCUUUCUGUGACGAACUUAAAGGGACGGACGAAGUUGAACAACUCGAAACGACGCCUCUUCUGUCUGAAUUAGACCCAUAUUUGCAGCGCACGACUCUGCUCAUAGUCCUCUUCGGUUUUAAGGUAUUACGUUUUAGAGAUUUAGGAUUGAAAAUUAAAUUAGGGUUUUCUAGAUUUAGGGAUUUUGUUGGGUUCUUGAACCUUGACCUCUGUUAUGUUCCAAUUUCAAAUAUAUAUUGAAUUGAAUUUGAAUCGACUGUGUUUGAAACUUCUGUUGAAUUAAAUUGAAUUUGAGCAGGAGAAGAGGCAGAUGUGGGUUGGGCAAUGUCGAAUCUCAUUGUGGGUGGUGAGGUGGGCAUGGCGGGCGACAAUAUUGACUGGCAAUGGUACGGGCGGUGCUAUUAAGUUGCAGAAGAAUACGAAGGAGGGGGUGUGGGCAUGGGUGGAUAUCGCAAGCUCAAUUGAAUUUUUUCUGGUUUUGUUUGUGAUUAAUUGCUUGUAUAUGAUAGUUAUUGAUGGAUCUUGACAUGCCCAUUUAAUUGUUAUUGGCAAUGCUAGUUUGAUUGUAACAAAUUCAAACCGAUUGAAUUGUAUCCCAGAAAAAAAAAUCAAUAAAGGAACUGAGGACCCGGCCCGAACCAGCCCAUUUCAACCGGGCCAGGUUAGGUUCGGUUCUUAUAUUAGAAAAUGUUGUUCCCGGCCCGUUUCUCUUAAGCCCGGAUCCAGUCCGAUCACUUCGAAAUUGGCCCCAACCCGGCCCGGGCCCACCUCUAGUUUUAACGAUAAGGACAAAAUAAAGGGUAAAGUGAAUAGUACCAAGUUUGACUUUUUAGUGUAAAAAUGUAAUUUUUCGUUAAAAUAAGAUUUUAAUGGAUUCUAAAAUCCUUAAUUAAGAAAUUAGGCUUCAACCCAACUCAUCUUUGCAACGCCGGUUCCACUUCACAUCAACAGGCAAUGUUUUCUCCUCAACAAAUAGUAUUCUUUUAUGAGACAAAGACUAAUGAGGGUGAUAUAUAUAAUUAAUAAUAAUACUUGUGUUCCCUUUGUGAGUGAAUGCACUUAUUUUACCAUUCUCUAAUAAUGUAUCUUUAUUAUAUAAAUUUAUAUCAUGUGGAUAUCUUCCUAUAAAAAAGUUAUUCAAAUUGGAAAUCCUUACGUCAUCAAAAUAUAUAAAAAAAUGGACGAUCUCAUCGUAAAUAUGUUAGUUACUCACACUAUAACUUUGUAUAUUCCCUCACGUAGGAAACGCAAUAAUUAUCCUCUAAUUAAUUCUUCUUGAGAGUAGAAUUUUUAUUGUUGGUUUUUCGCAACCUUCAGACCUAAAGCUGAUAUGGACCUCUCAUUGUUUUUUGGGUUGCCGUUCUUAUUUUGCUUGGUCCUUUUACCUUUUCUAUAGUUGUUUAUCUAGUUCUUUUGAGCCUCGUACUAAUUUUUAAUGUAAUGAAAAUUAUCUUCGUGAUAAAAAAAAAAAUCAUUAGUCCUCGUAUGAACAUGCGAUGUAACACACUUUCAUGGAACAACAGAUGAUAAAGACGAUAUCCAAAUUUUCUCUGUGUUAUGUGGACUUUCCCAACCAAAUAAAUAAUAACCAAUAAACAAAUAAAUAAGAGUUUAACUUCAAACAUUGAGAAGCGAAAUUCCAACACUACGAGCCUAACUUUUGUCUUCAUCAUCAUCAUAGACUAGUCUCCUAUCCAUCAACUCCUACAUCAAUUUUUUUUUUUACUAGAUUGUAGCUCACUUUCAAAAGAGUUACGUAAAGUAUUUAAGCACCAUAAAAGAAAAUUAAACGACAACGAUUGACAUAAUAUUAGUAGUAUCAUGGUCUAAAAUAUUCAUAAUAUCUUGAUAUUUUUAUUGAAAUUUUCGUGUUUUUAGACUACCUAUAUUUUCAAUAUCAUCGAUAUUUUAAACCUUGCUAAGUCACUCAUGUAUCUUACCAUGCAAUGUAUAAAGUGUAAAAUAUUGUACUAAUUCAUUAUAUAUAAAUGAUUAUAGUGUGUUUAAACUUCUUUCAUUAAUUACUACAUAUUUUCUACACUCACAAUGUUUGCCAGCUCGCUAUAUAAUCAACUUAAAUCAAUUAUAUCUAUCAUGUAAUGCAUUUCCUUCCAAUUUUUUGUGAUAAACUAAUAGAUAAUUGACUAAAUAAACAUCCUGCAAAGUUUCAAUAAAAAUUUCCAAGUUUUUCUUACAAUUUCCGUAGUUUUUAUUCAAUUUUUAUCGAUAUCGAUAAUAUCCCGAUAUUUCCAUCGAAAUUUCCGUAUUUUUAGACUACUGAUAUUUCCGAUAUCAUCGAUAUUUUAUACCUUGGUAGUUAUACAUUUUAUCGGCCUCAUUUUUAUGCAACUUAUACAUUAAAUUAUUGUCAAAAUGUACAUAUAAAGUAGCUGAUCAACGAUGAGAUUUUAGGCAACCAUUUUCUUCUACGACGUCAAAGGUUGUAGAGGUGGCCAUGUGCACUACAUGCGUAAAUCAACUAGGGACUUGGAUCCUCUCUUAAGCCCAAGGAGAGGAUCCUCCUAACCAAAUGACUUGGAUUGUUGGAUGAAAAUCUAACGAUUACAAACAGAUGAUCUCUUUAAAGUUAUAAUAUUUAUUACCGUUGAAUUUUCAUCAAACGGUCAAAUAUCAUUGGUCAAAAGGGUCCUCUCAUUGGGCUCAGAGAGGACCCAAGUGCAUCAACCAGAACUAUUGCUAUUAUAACAAUUCAUGAAAUCAAUUAAACAAUAAUUUUCCUUCUGGCAGGCAUGUUAGUUAUUUCUUAUUUGGCCAAUUGCCUAGUGGAUUUGGUAGAUUUAACCUCUCCACCACAAACACAUUUAAAAAUUUCCAGAAAUCCGUAACGUAAAAUUUAAAAAUAAAUAUUAAUAACAGCAAGUUCUUUUCACCGACCGUGACCGAGAUCUGUCACAUAUCCAAAAUGUCACCUCCUUAUCGCAAAAACCAAAUUUGACUUGGGAUAAAUACCGUGUACAAAUUAAACGCGUUUCUCUAGCUUUUGCGUAAAGAGGCAACCCAACACUAAACUAGGAAAACGUUGGGUUGACAAAGAUACCAUGAAGAAUAAAGGGGUUAUGCAAUCCACUUUGCAAGAUAAUCAAAGUUUCCCGUUGUAGACUUGUCUUAACCCAACACUAAACUAAGAAAACGUUGCUUUCCCGUUGUAACAUGAAACAACAUUAAACAACAUUAAACAAUAUUAAAUAACAUUAAAUAACAUAAAAAUUAUACAACAUAAAAAAAACCAUUUAACAACAUAAAACUUAAAAUGCGUACUUCUUGCUUCUUGUGGCCUAAAGAUGUGCAACAAGAUCUUGAUGUAGGUACUUGUUUGUGGCACGAAAACGUAUCAUCCUAGCCGUUGGAUUUGAAUUUUUUUUGUUUUCGGCCAAAAAAUUUUAAAUUUAAAAGUUGAAGAUGGUGAGAAAUAUGAUCCUACACUGUUCAUUAAAAUAUUAAUUUCUUGAAUGACCAAAAGGCUAAAACAAGCCAUCCUUCGGUUGGAGAUGCCUAAGGAGAGACUAGAGAUAGAGAGUUUCCUAUAUAUGAUUUUCAUUAACAAGAUUGAAAUGAUUUCAGAGAGAAGAUCAAGUAUGGUUAUUUUUAUUUUGUAGAGUGUAGACAUUAUAACUAUACAUUCAUAAUAACAUGAGUAAUGUUAUAUUUAUCACAUUUGUACUCUUUCUCUGAUAAAGGUAGGGUUCAUCAACACAUGUGGGUUCUAUUUGCCCAUCAACACAUGCGGAUCUCAUUUUUAUUAGAAAAAUAGUACAAAUAUGGUACGGAAAAUAUGAUAAGAUCGCAAUUUUGUAAUAACAUAUAUACUCAACUAUUUAUAUACCGACCCAUCUCCUUUUAGUGUAGAUAAUAUCGUUUGUUAAAAAAAAUGUUGAACUUGUCAUAAUCAUUGAAUCCAUUUACCAUGAACAAACGGCAGUUUACUAAACUUGCCCUCAGAGUAUAUAUAAAAGGUGAAUCACAAUCUAUUGCAUUAAUAUAAGGAAACAAUUUAUAGGGUUUGACGGGUGACUUAAUAUGCUAUAUGGCACAAUGAAAAUUAAGUUCACACUUUAUCCCAAAUAAGGUGUUGCACCUUUAAUUUAUGGAUGCUGGUUUGACGUGUGACCGAAAUAAUCAAAUUGUAGCCAUUAAUCAUUUUACAAGUAAUAAUAUGUAGUUUUUACUGUUUACGAUUCACACAACAAUCUGCUAGGAAGUAGAAAAUGCAGUACUUGUCCCUCUCACAGAAGUCAUGAAUAAUUAUCAAAUUCAAAGAUAAAGAAAAACCACACAAUUUACAAGAGGAAAGAAAAUGAAGGGAUAAAGAAAGUAAGAAAGGAAUACCUCUAUGGGAGGACUCUUAUUUGCUUCAGAUGCCUACAAUAUUCAUCAUAUAAACACUGAUUAAGUAGUCAUCGAAAACCAAAACAAAUGUCGAACAUAGGGUGAAAAACAGAAAGAAUAACCGCAGCUCAUCAUACCAAUAGAGAUAGAACUGCCCGAUGCCCAAGUAUGACUGAAAAAUGGCAAUCCAAACAUGGCGCCUUCUAGCUCAUCAAACUGUCAAAACCUAGGUUCCACCAAAAAGAUACAAGUCACCUAGUUACUUGUAAAAUAAAAAUCUGUUUCAAAAUAGUGGAAAAUAUUAUUAACAUUGUUCAAAGUCCACAUUGUUGUACCUACCAAGAAACAAGAAGGAUUGUAUCUUAUCAUGAAAAAGAACAUAGGUACCUUUUCAAUUGUAAUUGUACAAAAAUGAGAGACCACUUCCGAACUUCUCUUGGAACUUCAAUCAAUUUCUGCCCACUUUUAAAUGCCUUGACAUACUUAAGCCUAUUUCUUUGAGCUUCAGUUUUGGCUUCUGAUGCCUUUAAAUUUCUUAAAGAUUCUUACCAAGUUUUACAAACUCACUUCUAUACAACCAUUUGUCAGUAUACAUACCAUUUUCUUUGAGCUUCAGUCUUUGCAACACCAAAACCCCCCAAAUAGACCCGGAAUUUUGCAAUGUGCAGGGAAUAUACAAAAAAAACCCUCCUAUCCAUCUAAAACGAAAUCAGAACCCAAACCACAAUCAAAAUCCGUAAAAUUAAUUUAGCCAACCCUAAAUCUAAUAAUUCUAACAAAUAUUAUAGUAUCAAUUGAGAGAGAAUUUGAGAAGAUACCUAGAGAUGAAAGGAAGAGCGUUUCCUCUGAUAGGGGUUCCGUGAAAGCAUCUGUUGACCAGAAAAGAAAAGGCAAAAAACCCCAAAUUACAUAUCAAGCAAUUAUAGAUAGAUCGAACCUUGAAAAUUGAAAUUUCAAACAAGAGAAAGGUUAUAAACUUACAACGAUCUGGGUGUUGGUUACUGGGUUUGGAUUUGGGUUUCUGAUAAGAGAGAGAAUCGUAUGAGGAACCGAUAGAGGAACUGCACCGGCAACAGAGAGCAACUGAUAUGGUGGAGAAUAGAGAUGGGCAAAAUAUCCCGGUUAUCCGCCCAUUUAAAGUUCACAGUUACGGUUAUGGUAAUUGAACGGUUAUGGGUACUACCCGUGGUUAUAACGGGUAUCUAUUGGUUAUGGGUAUUAUCCGCGGUUAUAACAGGUAUUCAUUUACCCAUUUAAUUUCAUAUAUGUAAAAUUUAUAAUAUUUUUAACAGUUAUAACGCGUUUUUGUAUUUGUUGCCAAACUUUUCGUAUACAAAAAAUUUGAAGCACAAGAAGCCAACAAGGAGAAAGAUCAAAGAGCUUACUUGAAGCUUAUGAUCUAUCCUGCGGUUAAUAGAAAGUACUGGUAUUAGUGUAGAAAAAUGUUUGUUUUUAGAAGCUUUAUUUUGUAAUCAUAUGAAUUAUAAUUAAAGACUUGCUUGGGUGUAGUAAAAAAAUAUCGUUUGUAAACUAUUAUUUCAAUUAUUAGAAUUGUAUGAUGACCUAAAUGAUUAAAAUAGAGAAAUGCAUGCUAAAAUGUAUUUAUAACAGUGUUUAAUUGUCAGAUUUUUUUUUUUUUUGUAAUUUUCAAGUUGUUAAAAAAAACAUGCAGAGAGGUGAAAAAAGGGAUUAAAAAAUGAUAAACGGGUUCAAAACGGGUAAACGGGUAAAUGAUUAUGGUUAAAUAGGUAAACGGUUAUGGGUAAAUGGGUACACGGUUAUGGGUAUGAGUAUAACCGUUUAUGCAAUUACCCAACGGGUAAACGGCUAUGUGGGUAUGAACAUAAAUGGUUAUGAGUAAAUAACCGCGGUUACCCGCCCGCUAUAACCAUUGCACAUCCCUAAUAGAGAACAUACGAGAAUAGCCGCUUGGAUGGUCAAUCCAAGAAGAGAAAAUCUUGCCACAAUCACGGUACUUGAAAAAAAAAACAAUUUUAAAGGAGGGAAACAAUCGCGCCUUUUUUUUAAUAGACUCUGUCGACGAUAUUCUUGACAAAUAGUCGGGUGAGCUUAUUUUUCACAACAUUUUAUUUAGGACUAGGUUCGGUUGGCAAAUCGUGUCAAAUUUCUUGUGCCAUUUGCCAGCCACAUAUACAUAAUUACCAAAAAUCAGUUACCGUUCGCCAACCAUCUUCUUGCGGUUGCCAAAAAUCGGUUCAACCAAAAUGAUUGGCUGGUUCGGUUGGUAAAUGGCACAACCGGUGGUUUCCACUUCUUCCUCGCUAUCUUCUAGUUGCAAGGGCUCAAUUUGAUUUUCAGAUUGGGAUGCUUGUUCGGUUGCAUUGUGUGGUUCAUUUUGGGUUAAUCCAUGUUGUGCACUAGCAAUUAAUUGGCUAGACUCCAUCAUCCUAAACAUAAGCAACACAUAUACAUUCAAAAUCAUAUAUAUGUACGUGUAUAUAUAGUAUCAGUAAUCAUCAUGUUAUCAAUUUUGUUAACAAUAUUUUCUAUAUUGAUUAUGGCAUGAAUCAUAUACAUAUACAUAUAUUUUUUAAACCCUAAAACUAAGGAGUUAUUUAUUUUCUAAGCCCUAAAAUUGAGGAGUCAAGCAUGUAAAAAAAUACUUAAAAUAUCUAAAUAGAAAAAGAAAAAAAAAAAAAAAAAUAUAUAUAUAUAUAUAUAUAUAUAUCGGUAGGUAUGGCAUACCGCCGACAUACAAAAUCAAUUACCAAAGCCAUGCCAUUAAUUGUCGGUUCGGUAAAAUGCCAACCGAUUAUGAAAAAAUGCCAAAACUAUACCAUACCAUUUUGAGCCAACCGGUAUGGUUCGGUCGGUAAAUCGGCUUAUGGCAAAAUUUCUCACCCCUAAUUUUAUUUGUCGCCUUAAACCUAUUGGUUUCUAGCCUACAAUUUGGAUAUUUUGUUGGGGAAAGAUUUUUGUACCAAUAAAAUUUUGCUUUGUCAGCUUAGGAUUUGUCGGCAAAAUGACAUUUUCUAGUCGUUAUAAUAUUAGGUAGAUCAAAUUUGUAAACUAUGUGAUGUGUCACCAAUAGGAAAAAAAUUCAGUGUGCUGAAAAUACAGUCUAGAACACCAAGUGUCAUAAUAUAUACUUGGUUGGAAAUUUUUUAUUUUCAAGUUUCCAACUAAUUGUAUUGUAACAGUUGGUGUUCCAAGCUAUUUUCUCGAUGCGUUGGAAAAUCUCUUCACCAAUUAAAAAUAAACAUAUUAAUUAACACUUAAGUAAUAAUCAAAGUAUCAACAACUACGUCAUAAAAUUUACGAAAUAUGAUCUUAAUUAAUGAUCUCCAUGGCAUUACCCUUUAUCUUAGCGUAUACGUACGCCUUCACAUGUUUAUUUGCUGAUAUGCAGCUUGAGUAAAAAUUUCUUUUUAAGAACAUAUAUGUGAAUAUAAACAUAUAUAUCUAGUGAUCCAUGUUGCGUUAUUUAAAAAUAAACAAAUUAAUUAAUUAAUAAAUGAACUGUGUGCAUGUCUGUGUAGAGUAAUCCAUAUGCAUGCUUGAAUCCUGAUCACCACGAAACCAUAAUAUAAGCUACUCAAGGCCCGGAAGCUAGGAUUGAAGAGAAAAACACCCAGUCAGAUUAAGCCAAUAUAUCAAAGUUAAUACUUCGAAAUGUAAGCUUUAAGAUAGAAAAAUCACUUACUACCUUGAGCAGUCGAGCUUCUUCAAUGGCAUGAAGCUUUUAGCAUGAGAUUGACUGCAUCACAACUAAAAUUUUCUCUUGGAAACUACAUAAGGAAUAGCAUGUAUACCUAUAACGUUGAGAAAGUACGCCAAUUUUUUCCUUCUGCACAUUCAUGUUUAAAAGUAAUCCUCAAAUGAACUUGCCCACAAUGAAAUGCAAUUUGAGGUAGUCGAGUGUGUUCCAUUUCCAUUCCAUGGGAAUUACUACUAAACUUUGAGAUGGUAAAGGAUUCAUGAAAUUUUUUACUUUUGAGAUAGCCUCUUUAACAUUUCUCGACUAUAACAAUGAGGGAAUACUUCACCUUGUAUCAAACAAGGGAGAGCGAAAAUCAACUACUAAUAGCAUCACAGAGCCAGCAGAAGAUUGAGGAGGCCAUGAAGAGGAGAGAGAAAAUACACUCUUUUUUUUUGUAAGGACAGAGAUAAUACAUUCAGUAAGGGGUACUGAUGUUUAUAUGCAAUGCUGAUUAGGUUUAAAUAGUCCUAUUUAUUCUGUACAGUGCCAAUAUUACCACCCGUUAGUACACUUUCAAGACACUGUACUCCAGUGUGUGCGCUAUGCAGUACGUAGUACUCCUCAUUUUUUGGGGAAAUUCAUUAUUGGUCUUCAUAUCUUCUUUAUUUUCCUUUUCCUCAUUGUGCCACGUGUUUAAAUCACUAAUUGUAGGUAAUCUUUCAAUUUAAUUAAAUCUUAUGUAAAAAAAGAUAUUUAAAUAUCAUUUAGUAUUACAAGAUAGUGAUAUUCCUCUUUAGUAUAAAAUUUUUAUAAUUAAAAGCGUUCAGUUUUUUAAUCUUCAUUUGAAUACUAUCUAUAAAGAAAAAUUAUUCGAAUAAGAGAUCGUUUAUGCAUUCAAAUGUACAAAAUGCAUCGACAGUGUGAGAACGAAUUAAUAUAUUUUUGAUGAAGUACAAUUAUUGAAUACAUUUGAAUGAUCAAAUGAUAUAUGAUUCAAAAUACAUAUUAAGAUAAUAAAUAUAAGUGAAUUGUUAUUAGCACUCCAAGAAUCUUAUUAUACACUCUAAAUUUUCUAUAUUUUGAAUGAAAAAUAAAUUUAUGAAGAGUGUAGAAUGAGAUUUUUUAAUGCUAAUAACACUUCUCUAAAUAUAAUUAUGAAAUUAAUAAAGUAAAGAUACAUGACCUCGUGAAUGAUGUAUGUAUUAUUCAAAAAAUUAUUAAAAACAAAUUGAAAAAGGACGCUGUUGUUGCCACCACUUAUGCAAUGAUCGUCGCUGCCAUCACCAACCCCCAACACCCCAUUACAGCUCAUAAAAGCACAUCAUAAGCAAUUUAUGAAAUAAAUUUACUGGAAUACUAAUUUCCCCCUUAGUUUAGGUCACCAAUGUUUAAAUUUAGGGGUGUGAUAUGCACAUACCUUUUUUUGCUUCUCUCACACUUUUUUUGUUGUUGUCGAAUCAGAUGAAUUGAAGAAGAUCAAUUGACAGAAAUUAACAAGGGGUGUAUGAAAAGUAAAAAUGGAUGUGUAGAUAACACAUCCCUAAAUUUAUCACAACUUUCAUUCCAAAUUUAAUUUUUAUGCGUAGUUUUGUUUGUUCAAAUUUACUUUGACAUUUCAAUUAGUAUUAAAAUCUAAUUUAAAUUUUAGCGUUCAAGCUAGAAAAAGUGUUCCAUUUAAUAUUUAAUCUCAGUUUUUCUCUUUAUUCUUUUAUUCCGAUUUGGUUGCAUCGUAUCUCCAUUUUUCUCGGUGUUGUAUGUUCAUAAGGCCUGGGAAACGUUGGCACGGAGUGAAGGGUACUCACUUUUUGGCCCAAAAUGCAUAAGGCAUGUAGAUAUGUUAAUCAAAUUUUGUAAACUAAAGGAUAUAGAAGUUGAUACUUAGAUUAUAAUUUAAGAUAAUACUAAAGAGACUAAAUUUGCAAACUAAAUGAUGUGUCACCAAUAAAAAUAAGCACGUUUAUCAACGCUUAAGUAAUAAAUCAAUCAUCAACUUUCAUGUCCUUUAGUUUCCAAAAUUUAAUAUACAAAUUUAGUCUCCCAAGCAUUACUCUAUUACUUAAGUAUUGAUUAACAGACUUAUUUCUUAUGGUGACAUAUUAUUUAAUUUACAAAUUUAGUCAACCCAACAUUACUCUUUUGAAAUUGUCUUGUCCACUGAUAUAAUUCUAUUUUUCUUGUGAUCAAAACUUCAAAUGUUAGCAAGUCGCACGUAAAGUCACUUCUGAGAGAAUGUGCUCACAUUGUAGUUGAAAGAUUAUGUGGCUAGCAACAUUACAAAUUUAAUUUGGUAUAAUUUAAAAUAUAGAUUGAGGAAAAAAUGAUCACAUUAACUAGAAACUGAAAAGGUUUCAGCACAGUUUGUUCAAGCAAGAAACUCAAUUUUGAUGCUACCGAUCUUAACAGCCUGAGCGCCGUACCUGGGCACUAAAGUCACCACCACACUCUCAUCAUCUUCAGCACCCAAAUCCUCCAACAGGUCCGUUAACCCCAACCUUAAACAACUCUUGCUCUUUUCCUUCUGCUUAUGUGGAACACUCACAAAACUCCCAGCAAACUCGCUCUUGUCGGGUCCACUCGGUGCCGCAUCCUCAUCGUCCACGUCAUUCACAUACACAUCAAACUUCACAGCCACAUCUUUGUCAAGCUCAAUCCCCUGAAUCACCAGUAUCUCCUCCUCAUCCUCUUUCUCCUUCUUGCUCCUCUUCUUCGGCUUCGGCCUUGACACCACCGUACUUAUCUUUGUCUCCAAAUUUAUUGGAAAAUCUUUACCCGCCACCACCUUCCCCGAUGACGUCGUCUCAGCGGCCUUCGCCACUCCAGCCGCCUUUGCCUUUCUCGCAAGCUUUGUCCGACGUGGCGUCGGUCUAGACUUGAGCCAUGGAAUCUCAACAUCUUCAUACGUAUACCCUAGCUUUUUAUUAUCAAGAGUGUCCCUCACCGUGACCCUAACAAGCUCAGCAUUCUCGUCAUAAAACAAAAACCCCGUAUCCAACCAAUCCUUAUCGUUAAUAUCUUUAUUUUUAGUCCCUAUACUUUUCCAAAUAUUCCACAUUCGAUCUAUAUUCGAAUGGUGCGAAAAAAAUAUUGGAUCCCUUGCAGCGGAGUAAAAAUUCCCCAUGUCUUCAAAAUUAGGUUGCGUGUUAUCUCCGGUCCAUGUAUGAACCGGACCAUGUGGGGUCGUUUCGAUUGAACCGGCCCCUGGAUCUGGUUCGGUGCCAGCCCUGUAGGGCGAACCAAAGAACAACAGCGGUUUCUUGGAGUUGGAAACCAUCUGCCUAUACAUGAUUUUGAGGUUGGCGUCGAUUUGAGCAUCCUUGGACAUUGUUUCAUCCGUGCCGUUAAAGUCAAGAUCGAUGAGAGUCGGCGGCUGAUGGCUGGCAGCGCGGAGCUCGUCGUAAAGCGGAGAGUCCGGGUUAGCGAACAAGGCAGGGAGUUGCAUGCCAGCUGGCGCGUCCCAGUUCCAAAACGGCAACGCGAACGUCGGAUCGUCUAUGAGUUUGGCCAAGAUUCUUUCGUGGAAGUAUAGGUAGUAACGAUGGAAGGGGAAGAAAAGCCAGGAUUGAUGGAUUUGGAGCUCGAGGUUGGGGAAGCCGACUUGAUCGUACGCGCCGUCGCAAUAGGCACAGUGGAUAUCGGCUUGCUGGGUGAAGCUACGCGGAUCGUCGUCCGGGAGGGCUUUCAUGAGCUCGAUGGCUUUUGAAUAUUUUUCGAUGUAGGCUUUAUCCACGGUGUGAGCUGCCGGCCUGACGCGGAGUUUGGUAGGGGAGGGGAAUUUGAAGUCUACGAUUUUUUGGGACGUUGGCGGGCAACAGUUGGUCGGGACUGCUCCACUUGGAAAGUCCGCACCUCCGCAUUUGGCUAGGUCAGGCGGCGACACUGGCUUUGCAACAGCGAAGGGGUCGCUGCCAAGACCAGCCACUCCACCGUACAGGCUUCCGAGACCUAUAAGUACAUGUCUUCUGUCUAGGUUUACUGGAGAAAGGUUUUCAUGGUCGUGAUCGUUGGAGCUAGUGGAAGGGUUUUUGUUUUGGUCACUACUAUUAUUCGUGGCUUUGCAUGAGACGGCUUGUAAAUUGGAAUGCCUAGGGUUUUCAAAUAAGGAAAUUCGGUGAUACUUUUGGGAGAAAGGGAAGAGAGAAGUUGUGGGGAUGAUACUUGUGGUGGAGGUGACGAGUGGAGCUGACAUAGAAGCCAUGGUUACUUGACUCUGAAUACUACGUUGUAUAGGCUUUGCUUUUAUAAUGUGUUCUAGGUUUUACUUUUCUUUGCACAGGUGGCAGGCCGUACACAUUGGCGGUCCUUAAGGGUUUGACGAGGAAUACUACGUAGUCAUUUAGUACAGGGCAACCAUGCACUAUAGCACGUGGCAUGUAAUAUUUACGUAGUCUCAGAAGGUGAAGCGGUUUUGGGCUUCUUGUGUACCAAUAAUAUUUACGUACUCAUUAUUCCACUGGAUGGAUUGCGUGCACGUGAUCUUUAUUCAAACAAAUCACUAUUGACCAUAUAUUGCAAUUGGUUAAUGUUAGGCAAAUUAAAUUUUUACAUCAAAUAAUGUGGUUGCUGAUUAUUGAAUUAUUAUUUAAGUUUGAUUAAUGUGCUUAUUUUUUAUCGGUAAUACAUCAUUUGAUUUGCAAAUUUGAUUUACCUAAUAUUACCAGUUAUAAUUUGUAUAAAUGGACUGGUACCUAACAUUACCAAUUGUAAUUUGUAUAAAUGGACUCGUACCUAACAUUACCGGUUGUCCCAAGAGCACACGCUACUGCUCAAGAAGCAAAGUUCUUAUUUGCCCAAAAAAAAUCAUGGUUUUUUAAUUGAUGCUCUCAUUUUAAUUUACUAGCCCCUUACUUGGCCCUUUUUAUUUAUCAUUUUAUACAUAUUAAUAUUUUGUUUGUAAAAUAUAUUAGUGUUAGUUUUAUCAAAAUUAAAAAUAAAUAAAAAACUUAGCUUUAGUAUUUAGUUAUUGAAAUUGUAAAAAAAGUGAUAAAGUAUUGGGUGCUUUGUUUGAAAAUUUUCAAAAUGAUAUUGUUUUUACCACUGAACCCCUGUUAUAUACAGUGAUGGCUAAUUUGUCAAGUUCUACGAAGUUGGGAUACCCAGCGUUUUAGCAUAUAACAUAGCUUAGUAUUUCAAGCAUAAUUAAUUAACGAAAAAUUAGUAUCCGGUCCCUAGUUUUUACUGUUCAUUGACUAAGACCUUAUUAGUUCUCAAAUUUUGAUUCAAGUCCCUAGCAUUAAUGUGAUAAUGAAUUUACAUGUUUAUUAUAUAAUUUUUUAAUAUAAAAAUUAGUAAUUAAUUUAGGGUUUAAUACUCACACCUCUAUUAAACUUCUAAUUAAUUUUCAAUUCAGACAUUUCCAAAAUAAUAAAAAAUUAAAUUAAAUUAAGUUUGUACCUAUUAGUUUUUUUUUAUAUAUAAAAAGAUUCUCAAUUUUUAAUCUUAAAUGUACAUCUUAAAUGUACCCAUUCUCAAAUAUAUCAAUUUGUUAUAUGUAAAAUGUACCCUUUUUUAAUAUAAAAUCCAUUCAAAAUUUUUAAUCCAUGUUUAAACUUAUAUGGGUACAUUCUUUUUCGUUGAUUUGAGAAUGUAUCCAUGUUUUGGUACAAUAAAUUUUUUGUUAAUUUUGGUUAAUGUACCCAUACAUAUAUGUACACACACACACACACACACACACACAAUAUAAUAGAGAGUAUAAUUUAUAUUUUAUUAUUUUUAAUCCCAUAAAUGAUGGGUUUUAUUUAAAAUCUCAUUAAUAUAAACAAUUAUAAAUUUCAAUUUUUAAUUUUUAAUUUAAAAAAUAUAGUAACUUACAUUAUUACAUUAAUGUCAGGGACCUCAAUAAAAAACUAAAAACUAACAAGGUUUCAAUCAAAGAAUAUUGAUAGCUAGGGACCACAUCCAAAGUGUCCCUUAAUUAAAGGGUAAAUUACAUAGUAACCCCUCAGGUUUGAUGUCUAUUACAACCCCAUACAACAUCUUUAAAACAUUUCACUUUCAUACCUCAAGUACUAUUUUAUUUCAAUAUAAUACAUCUGUUAGAUUUUCCAUCCAUUAAUCCGUUAAAUGCUGACAUGGAUACCACAUUUGUGCCACGUGGCUGCCAAAUGCGUGUCAUGUGGCAAAAAUAAUAAUUUUUAAAUUUAAAAAAAAAUGAAUCUUCAACCCAAAAAAAAAAAAAAAAAAAAAACCCCAAACCCAGAUCCCAUCAACCCCCCCCAAACGAUUAUCCCUUCCCCAUAUCCCCCAUCCCACCCCCCAACCCCCCCUCUGCGACCAACCUUACCAUAGCGCCCCCCAACCUCGCGACCCACCUCACUCAAGGCCCUAAUCCACACUACCUACAACCCAGAAACGAAAAAAAAAAACAAAAAACAAAAAACUCAUCUCCCUUUCCCUGCAACCCAAAUCCCAUCUUCCCUAAUGGGUAUGGAUUUAAGAAGUGGGGUGUGUAGAGGAGGGAAGAGGGUGGGUGCGGAGGAUGGGUAUGGUGGGUUGCAAGGAAGGGGGGUCGGGUAAGAUGAAGAUGGGUUUUUUUUUUCUCUCUCUCUUCUUCUUCUUCUGGGUUGCAAGUUGUAGGUUGGGGUUUUUUUUUGGGGGGGGGGGGGAGGGAGGGAGGGAAGACGACGUGGGGUUUGGUUUUUUUUUUUUAAUUUAUUUAGAAGAUUUAGGUUUUUUGAAAAAAAAAAAAAAAUUCCACGUGGCACAAAUGUGGCAGCCACGUCAGCAUUUAACAGAUUAAUAGAUGGAAAAUCUAACGGAUGUAUUAUAUUGAAAUAAAAUAGUACUUGAGGUUAGAAAGUGAAAUGUGUUGAUGCACAAAACCGAAGGUCUUUGAACAACGUAAAUCCGAUCGUGAAUAUGCAAGUAAUGUAAAUAACACAAGAUGUAUCGUGGUUCACUCCAAUGUUUGGGCUACGUCCACACUGAUUAUUGUAUUUCUCUGAGAGGUGAGGGGGAGAGCUUUGAGAAAGCUUAGAGCUUAGGGGAUGUGAGAAGGCUUAAGAAUUGGCCUCCCUUAUUUGUGAGGGUGAUGAGUCCUUUUAUAGAAUAAGGGAUCCUCACUUAUUACAUAUUUGCCCAUUCCUUUAUUACAUAAUUACAUUUAAGUCCCCUGAGUACUUGUACAAGGUCUAAAUACGGAGGCCCUAAGUAUGGUACAAACAGUAGUCCCCCAAGUCUUCAGUCAAGAGAGUCUUUUGGCUAGAGACUUGAAAUUCUGUCCAUGUGUGAGCCGAAAUAACUAGAUGUCGUCUAGAACUGAUAUUUGAUAUGCGGCAGUGCCCAUUUUGAAAUAAUGCUCAACUAGAAGUAGCACAUGCUGCGAGGCUGCUCUGCUUGUGUUGCCUUGGUUGGCUCGACUUGUGGCGUUGAAGGUGAGAGAGUCCCUUUUAUAGAAUAAGGGCUCGCUCCUCAUUACAAAGAUGAUGGGUUAGUUGGUGCUUGCGGUGAGGCGGAUGCUCAGCUGGCGGCGAUGCUCUCUAAUGAUAGUGAGGGAGUCCAUUUUAUAGAAUAAGGGAUCGCUCCUCAAUACAUAAAUAAUAGGUGCUCUCUAAUGAAAGUAAGGGAGUCCCUUUUAUAGAAUAAGGGCUCACUCUUCAAUACAUAAAUAAUGGGCUAAGUCCCCUAAGUAUUUUUUAUGAGGCCUAAUUGAGGCCCAAUAUAUGGUACAUAAUGUAGUCCCCCAAGUCUUCGGUCAAUAGAGUCUGUUGGCUGGAGACUUCAAAUUGAAUCCAUGUAUGGGCCGAAGUGGCGGUUGUUCGGAAGCGGUAUUUGUAUACCCUGCACUGAAGCUUUAUAGGUGAAGCUUUGCAAGUGAAGCUUUGAAGCUGGAGCUCAGUAAAUGAAGCUUUUGAAGCUAGAGCUUUUGUAAAUGAAACUUUUGAAGCUGGAGCUCUAUAAAGGAAGCUUUUGUAAAUGAAGCUUUUGAAGCUGAUUCACAUGAGUGAUGCUCAUGAAUGUUUAUGUUGAUUGAUAUGAGUGAUGCUUAUGGAUGUUGACAUGAGUGAUGCUCAUGGAUGUUGACGUGAUGCUCAUGAAUGUUAACAUGAGUGAUGCUCAUGAAUGUUUAUGUAUGAUUGAUAUGAGUAAUGUUCAUGAAUGUUUAUGUAUGAUUGACAUGAGUAAUGCUCAUGUAUAAUUUGAAGUACUGGGCAUACUUUUGAUUACCUGGUUGGCGAUAAUAGCGGCAGGGUGCCGAAUAAUUUUUUGUAGUACUGGGCGUACUUUUGGUCACCUGGUUGGUGAUAAUAGCAGCAGGGUGCCGAAUAAUUUUUUGUAAUACUGGUCGUCCUUUUGGUCACCUGGUUGGUGCUAUUUUGAGCUUAUGGGCCUUCGCCCUCUACACAACAUUCCAGCCUAUUUAUUUUGGGCUUUACCGUUUUUUUUAAUUACCCUAUGAUGGGGUUUAUACAGAUGUCUCCGAAAGAUAUGAAAAAUAAAUUACAUCAUUCAAAAAUAAAUCCGACCCUCUGCUCAAUGGGUCACGCCAAUAAUUCUUUUUUUUUAUGCAUGCCAUCACCACCGCAAUUAUGUCUGCUUCUUUUUAUCUUCUUUUGCUUUCUGCUUUUGCUUUUACUUUAUCUUUCUCUUUUGGCAUAUGGCAGACAACGCCAAAACGGAAUAAUGAAUUAUUAUGAGAACAUGAAUCUUAUCUUUUGCCUGGUUUUCCACUAGUGCUCGUGGUAUUCUCAGGAGAUUGGAUCUGGGGGUAGGCGACUACCCCAGCACCUUGCCCUGAUACGUAAUAGCCUGAUGUCCCACUGCCAUCUCCAUACUGGAAGGUGUACGAACAAUGGUUAUUCUGUGUGGAACAAAUAGAAUCCGAUUGAGAUUCAAGACUGCACCUUCGAUCUGAGCAAGAAAUGAAUUGUGACGUUGAUGAACUUCUAGGAGGAGAAGCAGAGGAUCUUUGACUAUGAUGAUCUUUGAAUUCCAGAUGAAACUGAAUAAAAUGCAGGUUGUGGAGCUUGAUGUGGGCCCAGAUCUGCUUGACAGCUUUGGGGCGGGAGGAUUCCUUGACACUGAGGAAGAUUCCCAGAGCUGGAGGGAUGAGAAUCGACUUCAUAAUCCCGAUGGUGGGUUUGUGCUUGGUCGAAAGAUCAUUUCUGGCAGGGGAAAACAUGUACCAUACCUAUUGCAAAUCUUGCAAAUUCUCUGCUUCUCCAUGGAAGAUGAAGAGCAUCGAAUCUCUGUUUUCUCUCUCUCUCUCUAAAACGUUUUCGUUAUAGAGUGCCCCAAUAGAAGUGGACGGGCAGUGAGCAUGCCAUUUAGUGCCUCCUCCAAGACAGUAACUGAUACGGUGGUCUUUAUUGGCACUCCAAGUUUACUAAAAAGGGCAGCAAAAAUAGUAUUUACAGCACCCAAACUUGAAAGAUCUAGCUCCAACUAGUGGCUUUCUGUUUCAACAGCCUGAAAGCCGGCAGUGUCAUACCGACGCCGUUUGUCUGGAUCAAAUAAUAUAUUAUAAGAAAACAUGACCUUCUUGAAGAUAUCAGCUGUUUUAGAGUCAUUAGCAUUUUUGUCAGGAUGGUACUUGAGAGCCAUUUUCCGGUAAGCACUUUUGAUUUCCUGGUUGGUGGAAUUCCUAUUGAGGCCGAGGACCGCAUAAGGGUUUUGUCGGAGCUGCUUCUUAGCUUCUUGCUUCUCCGAUUUUGAUCGGCUGCCCUGCAUUUUUGAAAUUGACGGUCAAUUUCUUCACAAAACCCUAGAAAUUGCCUCUCGAUUACCUCCGAAACACAUAAUUCACGACUCUUGGUUGAAAUUUUUUUUUUUCAUUUCAAAGAAGUGGCGGAGGUAAAUCAGUUGUCACAUAGCACCGGAGCAUGAGGAAAACCUAGAAAACCAAGAGGCAGAGAGACUCCAUGCACAUCUAACCUGGAACCUUGCAGGAGAGAGCAGAGAGAAAGAGACAAGAAAGAUUGAGGGAGAAGCGAUCUUGGUGCAUCGUCUGUGAUUCCUUGGUGAUUUGCUCGAUCGGGACUCUGAAUUCGUGCAAGUCAUUGCUGUUAAGCAAGAAUCGCGAGGAGUCGGAGAGCUUGGAAAUCGAGAAGGAGAGAGGGCCUUUAGUCAGGGCUUGGAGGGUGUCGGACUCCGUCGGCCAAGAUUGGUGCACGGUCACGGCGUCUGGGCCCAUGGCGGUUGUGUAAAUGGGGGAGGUUCUAGGAGUCCAAGAAAGAAGAAGAAGCAGCGACCAUAGAUCUGGGAGUCCAUGGCGCUUGAAAGAUACGGCGAACAAGUCGGACUUGCUGCUGGGCAGCUGGCGGUGAUAAUGUUGGUGCAUGGGUUUUGGAGUGGGAGUGUUUGGAAUGGGUUUUUUGUUUAGUUUCUAUGUGUUUUUUCACAGAGAGAGAGAGAGAGAAGUGAUGGUGUUUAAGGGAUGAGUUUUGGAGCUUAGUGAAUGCUUUUUCUGGAAAAGCCCAGUGAGGUUUGUGGGUUUUUGCAGAUUUUGCAGAUUCGCGGUGGAGGUGAAAGAAUGAAAGAGAACCGACACAACUUUUCGUAUUGAUUCCCACAUACGGCGCCAAAUGUUGAUGCACAAAACCGGAGGUCUUGGAACAACGCAAAUCCGACCGUGAAUCUGCAAGUAAUGUAAAUAACACAAGAUGUAUCGUGGUUCACCCCAAUGUUUAGGCUAUGUCCACACUGAUUAUUGUAUUUCUCUGAGAGGUGAGGGAGAGCUUUGAGAGAGCUUAGAGCUUAGGGGAUGUGAGAAGGCUUAGGAAUUGGCCUCCCUUAUUUGUGAGGGUGAGAAGUCCUUUUAUAGAAUAAGGGUUCCUCACUUAUUACAUAUUUGCCCAUUCCUUUAUUACAUAAUUACAUUUAAGUCCCCCGAGUAUUUGUACGAGGUCUAAAUACGGAGGCCCUAAGUAUGGUACAAACAAAAUGUUUUAAAGAUGUUGUAUGGGGUUGUAAUAGACCUCAAACUUGAGGGGUUACUAUGUAAUUUACCCUUAAUUAAAAUAAGGGCAAAUGAAGAGGAUGGUUGAACUUGUUAAGUUUCUUAAGUGUGUCUAAUUUAAGUGUGUUGUUAAUAAACAUUUAUUAUGGAGGCAAAGAGAGGGAAGGUGCGGCAUAGAAAGAGAAGAGAGAGAUAUGUAAUUGUGAGUUGUGUUUUAUUCCAUCCCAUUGUGCAUUUAUUUAUAUUAGUUGGGAAAGUUAAUUCUUUAACCUUUUAGGAUUACAACUCUAAUAGGAAAAUAUAUAAUCUAAAAGAUAUGGUAGAAUCCCAUAAGAAUAUCCUAGAUAUGUUAGGAUUUACACAAUCAUAUUCCUAUUCCAAUAGGACUGCAAAACAUUUGUAUUUUUUUAUAAUUUUUUUGAUAAUUUGUUGGCAUUUUCAAUUUUUGUUAACAUUGAAAAUAUAACGGUUCAGAUGAAAAACCUUUGGAAAUCCAACAUUGAAAAUAUAACAGUUUGACGUUGGGCUGUGGUGAAGGAGGCUGGGCUGUCACGUGGGUGGGGCCCUCCCUCUCCCACUUGGUGAUUCAAAGGGCGCAGGCCCGUGCAACAAUUGAGGCAGCCCAUAGAGAUCCUGCGUUUCACCCAUUUGCCAUUUUUUCCACCGCUGGAGCACCAAAAUUCGGUCCAAAGGCAGGGGUUCCAAUUGCAUGGGCAAUUUGGUUUCCGCUGGAGGUGCUCUUUGUCGACUUUGUUUAUUCUUUCUUUUUAGCUUUGCAGUAAUAUUGAAGUAAUCACUCCAAUUGUAUCCGAACUUUUGUUGUCCAUCAAUUUGUAUCAAAACUAUUGGUUAAUUUACAUAUUCAGACUAACCUUCUCAUUAUUUUUAGUAUUUUUAUCAUAAAUAAUAUCUAAAAUAAUCACAUUUUAUUCAACAACCACUCAAUUAAAAAUUAAUUAAUGUUGUUUCUAAACCAUUACAUCGAGCUUUUGUAAAUACACAUCAAUAUUGCAGCGAUCCGAGGCAUUGUUUUCUACGCCUUGGAUUUGGCGAAUUGGAAAAGAGAAGAGUUACGAGUAAAAGUCCCUCACAUUAAGAGGGCUCCUCCUCGGGGAGAUGAAGAUGAUGAUCUUUUGUUUUUGUUUCUUAAUGAUUAAUCCACGCAGCAACAUAUAAUUAGAUUGUUGGGAUCUACUCAAGUUCCAUAUCACGCACUAAUAUAAAGUUUGACAAACGAAACGAAAUAUGUGCUCUCGAAAGCAAAAUGAGGGCACUGCUCCAAGAACAGGAAGGGCUCCUUGUCGAGGUUGCCAUCCGCCAUGAGGGAAAACCGGAAGAAGUUAGACAACAAUGAUGACAUCGAUUUGCAACACCCAUAUUGGGACAUCAAACUGUGAAAUAAAUACUCAAAACUCCUGGAAAGUCCUCGGGACAACAAACUUUUAUCUCCUUCAAAUAUUUCAUUUUACCAAGUUUUAUGUUUGAAGGGAGGGAAAAAAAGAGAUGAGAGAAUCCUACUCCUUAUUCUUGAAUAUAUUCAGGAAUAACUAUUGAAUAAAGAGAGAAUGGAAGGGGAUCGAAAGAGGAGGGAAGAUAAUUCUAGUCCCAAACAUAAAAAGGACCACAACUUUUAAAUUAUCAGCACGAUCAUCAUCUGAUUGAAGAGACCAUUCAUUGUGAAACAUAUCGUCAAUCAAUAUGUCUAUAUCUAUUUAUAUACCACAUUUUUGGAGUAGGAUUCUCCCCCCUCCUAUUACCAUCCCCUUCCAUCCCCUUCCAUCCCCUCCUUUCAUACUUUUUUUUUUCUUAUUCUCUAUAUAAAAAAUUCAAAACAAGAUGUAGAUGUGUCGUAAUCGCAAUAGUUUAAAUAAAAGGAGAUGGAAGGAGAGAUAAAUUACGAGGGGAGAGAAUCUUACUCCCACAUUUUUCUUCUUCAUAAACAAAAGAGAGGUUCUAGAUUACUUGACUCUAUGCCUCAUUUUUUUCAUCAAGUAUUUGUGCUAAACGGGUUCAGUUUCAAGUAUUUUAGUUUUUUGUCAAAAUUGAGAAAACUGAAAAUCAAACAUUAAUAUGCAAAAUUAAAAAAUCAACACAUAAUUAUUUAGAAAUCGCAAUAGAAAAGAAAAAAUGGAGGUUUGUGAUGAAAAAUCUUUUAUACUAAGUAAUUUAGUAUCCUUAUGCAUGAAGAUAAUCAAUUCGUUCGUUAUGGUCAGACUCUUUUUGAAUUUUUGAACACAUUCUCCAUAGGGCCUUCUUAUUUGUUCCUUCUCCGAGUUGGGGUUAUGGAAGAAGUAAAAGAAGGAACCAAGAAGAAAGUAUUGGCAACAACCGAUUUCGUUACGGGACAACUCUUGAUAUUCAUAUCGAUCUAUUAUGUACCUUUGCAUCUAGCAUUAGACAAUAACUGUCAUAGCUUUACCAUAUUUUUUUGUUUCAUUUCUUCUGAAACAAUAACACACACUUUUUUAUUAUGUGUCUAAUACUAGGAAUUCAAUACAUAAUCUUAGCAUUCAAUAGUUAUUCCUGAAUAAUUUCAUUUUUCAAUUGAUCAACCAUUUCAUUUUUCCAAGUUCAAUCAAUGUUAGUCACAUUAGUCAACAUUUAUAUAUUUUGAUGCAACAACAAUAUGUUAUUUGUAACAAGUGAUUUUGCUAGUUGGUUAAUUGGUCACAAGUUAAUGUUCGGUUCAGUUCAGCUUUUCUCUCGAUUUUUUGCGAUUCGGUUUUUUCGAUUCUCUUUAGAUUCGGUUCGAUUUUGUUUUUUUAUUUAUACUUAAUUUUUUUUAAUCUGAAAACACCAAGAACAACACAAGCAUACUCAAUCAAACAACUAUCCUUCUCCACAAAUCACAGUAAUAAUUACAUUCAUUUAGCUAAAAUGCAAAUAACUAACAAACUCACAAAAAUCGAAUAAAAACUACAAAUUGCUUACUCUUUUUCUUUGGGUUUCACUCGAAAAGUGUCGGUAAAAUUUAGGGUUUGCAAGAACGCAACCGAAAUCCAAAACGGAGGCUCUGUGGCUUGUGGGCUGCUAUUGAGUUCCAGUACGGAAAACCUUGCUUACUCUCUAUCACGGUACAAAGUAUCAGUACCUUUAGCACUGUAUUUGGUAGAACCAAAUUAAAAGCUAACAUCAAUAACAACUACCAGAGACAUAAGCUCUUAUCAAUGCUUUGGAAACAGUCAUGUAUCUCCAAGUGUAAUGAUAUAAUUAGUAAGAAAUUUAAAAGAAAAAUGGUGAUUUCAUAUAAAAUCAAUAAAAAGUUACAAUAUUGACAAUAUAUCAACAAUUUUUAUGGGGUAAAUUACAUAGGACCCCCUCAGGUUUGAGGUCUAUUACAACCCCAUACAACAUCUUUAAAAUAUUUCACUUUCAUACCUCACCUACUAUUUUAUUUCAAUAUAGUACCUCCAUUACAUUUUCCAUCAAUUGAUCCAUUAAGAGCUGAAUUGGUUGCCACAUUUGACACGCCCCGAUCCCGAUAUCCUCGGGAUAUCAGGAUGGUCACGUGCUGGCCGACACCCGAGGGUGACGAAAGCCAUUUAUUGAGUGCAAUUGCUGAAAAUAAAGGAUAGAUAAAACUUAUAAAUGUAAAAGAAUAAGGAAUAUGCAUUUAAGGAACGUGUUCAGAGCAUACAACUAACUAGAACACUAAAAGAAUGAUAUAAAAUGGAAUGAAUAAAAGAAUGAGUCUUACACCAAGAGGACUCGAAGAUGCCGAUGCGGAAGUACCUUGAUUGUCGGGAUUGUACGCCUCGAUCCUAAAUCCUGAAGGGGGCGCAAAACAAACAUGAGUGGACCAAGUUGAUAUAUAUAUAAUAAAACAGUUAUCAAUAUACUAACCCCCAGGUUUAUGAAAACAAAUAUAUAAUGAUGAACAUAGGUUUUCCGAAACCUAGCAUGAUGUGCAGUAUCUCAAAUCAUAACUCAUAUAUAAUAAUCACUAGUGAAUUGUCCGAUAACCUGCAGGCCCCAUGCCGGCUCCCCGUCUCUGAGCAGACAGUCAGAGGAAAAUACACUUCAGGCCCCAUGCCGGCUCCCCGUCCCUGUGCUAAAUAGCCAGAGGAAACACACUCCAGGCCCUAUGCCAACACCAAACCGUCGCCCGGGACGGACCGGAAUCUAUUCCUACGUCCCGUAGCGGAAAUGACCACUAGGUAAGUACAAAACCAUUGAACAUACAUAUAUUGAAAAACAACUUCAUAGUAUAAAGUCAUCCAUCAUCUAUACUAUAAAGAGGUGUUCGAAACAUGUUCUAAAUAUCAUAUCGUCAUCCAUCAGAUAUUCUAUAAGAACACGGGUUAUAGGAAAAAUAGUAAUAAUUCAAGGUAGCCUCAGUAAGCAUGUUAUCUCAAAACGUUUCAUAAAACGUAAUCAUUAAAUCAUGCAUUUCAUGUAUGCAUUUCUACUAUUAAAACAUGCUUUUGAAGGGGUCCACUCACAGUACUUAGCCGCCGAAGAGCCACGCAAACUAACGUCACCAAUAUUGCCCCUAAGCACAUAAAUGGUCCAAUUAAUAAAACUAUAUAAUAGCAAUUGGAUUUGGGAAAACGGACGUUGGAAACGGAUUCAGAACGUCGAAUUACCCUAAGAAGGGUCCCGGACGAAAACCCGAAAAGUCAACUCUAAAGUCAAUGUUGACCGGAGGUCAACGGUCAAAUUAGGUCUAACGGGUUUUAGGCUUGAAAUCCGGAUUAGGGUUUAGGUUAAAUAGGAUUAGGAUUUAUUGGGUUUUGGAAUUCUAAGGUUUUUGGGUUAAAAGGGUUUAGGGUGAAAAUGGGUGGUUUGGGCUUAAUCCCAAACUCACACACAACACACACACACACUACACAAACCCUAAAACACACACACACACACGGGCUGCACUAGGGCAGCCCUCACAACACUUCACAAAGGCCCUAAGGCCUUAUUAAAGGACAGGGCUUUAAGCCCUUUAAAGGAUACUGGCCCAAGGCCCGUCAAAAUAAGGCCCGAGGCCUUUGGGUUUUAAAAAGAACAAGAACAAAUUUAAAAGAAAAGGGGCUGGGGUCUACUGGGCUAAGAUAUAACGGGCUUAAGGCCCGUGGGGUUUUCUAAAGGGCCUGAGAGGCCUGGGUUUGUCGAAGGAGAAGGCCGGAAUUUCGGCCGGAAAACCACCCAACUUUAAAUGGCCAUAACUUUGUCAAUACUCAACGAAAUCAAGCAAGACAAAAAUGAAAGUUGUAGCCCUUGAAGCGACGAAGAGAAUGGUUCCUCACACGACGUCUAACUCGCCGUGGUUUGGCCGGAAAAUGCCUCGAAAUCCGUCGGACUCGCCGGAAACUGGGUAAGAUUCAAAUGAGUAUAACUUCUUCAAUACUCAACGAAAUUAAGUGAAACAAAAAGGAAAGUUGUAUUACUCGACGAGACGAAGAGAUUGAUACCUUACACGCCGGCCAACUCGCUGUGGUUUGGCCGGAAAUGGCCUCGAAAGGGGCGGUGCUCGCCGGAGCUUACUCCGUGCCGUCGAACUCGCAGGGUAGGGUCCGGGGUUCGUUGCAAGCCUCUCUUCGAUGGUGACUCGGUCCUAGUGAGUCCAGGGGAAGAGAGAGAUGCGAAAGGUUGAGGGAGAGAGAGACGGGAGAGCUGAGAAAGAGAGAGCUACGGGAGGGAGAAACGAAGAAGAAGAAGAGAGAGAUCAGAAAACAUAAAAAAAAUAAACAAGGUGGGCCCCACGGGCUCACCAAUUAAGGCUUUAAAACAAUUUUAAAAUAUAAAAGAGGGUUGGGGUGUUUCAACAUUUGUACCACGUGGCAAAAAAAAAACCUAAAUCUUCUAUACAAAAAAACUAAAAAAACCAAAAAAAGCAAAAUCGAACACUCCACCCCGCAAAAAUCCUAGCAUCUUCCUUUUAUUCCCCACAACCCCAAAUUCCCCCCCAAAACCCCUAAAACCCAAACCCUAAUUCCUCCCCCACAUGAAGAAAAUCCCAGUCCAAUUCAAUCCCAAUUACCUCAAAUCCCACCAUAGAAACCCUAAAUUUUGGUUCCUCAAUCCCUAGAUUUCCCACGCCUCUGUUGCCUACACCUUAUCAAUCUUUAGCUUUCUCCCUCAUCCCCUCCAUGAACGACACUUUCUCUCAUCCGCUGUUCCCCAGCAACGGCACCGAUACCUACGAGGCCUGGUACGGCAACAUCCAGUACCUUCUCAACAUCUCCGCCAUCGGCUCAUUCUUAUGUGUCUUCUUUUUCACCUUGGUCAAGCUUUGAAGCGAUCGCCGCCGCAUGCCCGGCUCGUCCUCCCUCGUUGCUAAGCUCUUCGCAGUGUGGUAUGCUACCUGUCGAGAGAUUAUGCUCCCAUGUGGCGCUGAGGCCAUAAUACUCACGCACCCAUCUACACACCCACACCACCACUACCGUGGACUCUCUCUCACUCUCCCUCGUCUUUGUAGAGCUAGGUGAAGCCUAGAAACCGAGAACUAGCUCCAGCAAACCCCGUGAGUUUCGAGCCAGAUCCCUGCCGACUCCGACCAUCCCAUGACCAAUCUAAGGUACAAAACAUUUCCCCUUGACUCUAUGCUCUUUUUCGUAUGUAGAUCGUAGGGAAAAGCCCACAGAAUGAGAGAGAAUAGUGACCUGAGAGAGUCCACGGUGAUGGUGGUGUGUAGAUGAGUGCGUGCGUGGGUGUACUGUCGGGGAUAGAGUCUGAGAGAGAUAGAGAGUGAAAGAGUCUGAGAGAAGAGUGACUUGCGAGAGUGAGAGAUUCGAGAGAGACUCGGGAAAAGAUUUAUGGGUUUGGGUUUUUCUGGUUUUUUAUUUUUAUAAUAAUAGGGUUAAUAUUAUAAUAUUUUUAAUGUAUAAAAAUUUCUUUUUUGCCACGUGGCAGCCACAUCAGCACAAAUGUGGUAGUUGUAGAUGCAAAUUUCUUCCUCUUGAUCUUGGACAAUUUUGCACCUACAAAACAAUUAACACCUUAGGUUAAGGCCAAAAGCCUCACACACCCACAAUGAAUGGGGGGCUUUGGCCGAAGAACCUCUGUUGCCAAAGUUAGAAUUUAGAGAGAAAGAGUCUUUACAGAAUUUUGGGAUUUUUGCCAAAGUGUUGGAAUGGCUUUCUGGUGAGAACGGGAUCACUUUUAUAAGGAUAGGAAGUGGUCGGCCUAGCUAGGGUUUUUGGGUUUAAUUUAGGUUUAAUUCUUCAAUUUAUUUGGCUAAUUAAACCCUAAAGAAUAAAUUGGUGGUUACAAAAUUGAUUAUUUGUAUAAAUGGGGUAAUAAAAUGGAGAAAAGUGAAAAAGGUUAGGAAAAGGGAGGUAGCUAGCUUCUUAGUAGUUUUAGGUGUGAGUGGGUGUUUUAAUUGAUAAUUAAGGGAUUGAUUAGGUAAUUAAUCCCUUAAUUAAACAAUUUUUAGGGAAUAUGAAAGGAAAUUAUUAUUUAGCUAAUUGAUUAGCUAAAUAAUGGAAUACAAAAUAUAUAGAAUAAAUUAGGCUUUAGGUAUUACCUUAUAGAAAUGAUUUGAUGAAAUAGGCUUUAAAUUGUUAACUAUUUUGGGCACUUUUGACUUGGUUGAGGAUGAUUGUCUGCCGCUCGCACGUAGGAAUCUCGAUAUGCCUUAAGGGUAUUUUUGUCCUCUUUUACCCAAAAAUCCACGUGUCGCCUUGUGAUUAUUUUUGGCUCCACAAAUGCCCCCACACCUGUUGGGCUGCUCGCAGAAAAUGGCAGCAGGUGUAGAGAUCAUCUUGCUUUAGGAAACGUAGGACUACUUCCUCUUUAGAUGUAGAUUCUCUCUUUAAUAGGAAAUUAGGUUCUUCUAGGAAAGGGAAAUAAAUUUCUGUUAAAGCCUAUUUAAGUCUACCUUAAGUGGGUUAUUAAAUCAACUUUGGAGAGCGAUUUCUUAUACCCUACAAGAGAGAGGGAGCUUAGAGAAUAUUUGUUCCCCCUCUUCUAGCAAUCUUCUACAUCUUUCCCGUGCAAAGGAUCGUCUUUCGUUGAUUUCUUCGUCUUCUCCGUGCCGCACCGAUGUAAGAAAAAUUUAAUUUUUUGCUUAUCUUCUUCUUGGAUAGUACUAUUACAGGGCAACCGUUAAGGUAGUGCGGCACGUCUACUGGCAGGGGCUAGGAGUUGGCUCGGCAUCGGUCGAUGAGGCAUUAUGGCAGGGGCCACUGCUUAGGCUGUUUGGCUUGGCUAGAGCCAAUGGCAGCUUGUGCGGCUGGGGUCGCGGAUUGUGGCGUUGGGGCGCAAUGCUAGGCGAGCCACAUGGUUAAUGUCCUUUAGGCUCUUAGACCUUACUCGGGCCAGGCUAGCGACUGAAAGAAAUGAGGAGGUCGUGGGCCUCAUGGGUUGUUGGAAUGUUGGGCAUGCAGGCCUCCUGUCUGCUAGAAUGCUAGGUUGAGCUCCUCUGCUGAGUACCGUGAAUGGCGUUGGCUGCUUAGUUCUUUUUACAGAGAGAAAGGUGGGCUGCUCCCGAAAGAGGAAGUAAAGAGGAUCAAGGUGGAUGCAUUGGCUCGUCUAAUCGCUGUCGUGGAACCUCCUAUGAAUGAAGAUGGAAAUAAGAGAUCUUCCCUGCCUACUCAAGAGAUGCCGAUCGAGAAAAAUUGAAGACUUUCUCCACUGCUGCUCAUGAUGAUUUGUCUGCUGUCGAUAGGCCUGUGAUUGGCAUGACUUCUUCCAAUGGGAAGAAAAAUGAGGCUGCUAGAUCUGAUCAUGUGGUGCCUUCCAUGUUGAGAAUUGCUAGUACAAUUGUUGAUAAGAUUGCUUAGCGCAAAGGUUUUAUCAUGCCCCCAGUACCGAAGUCUGUACCAGGACUUUCGUUUGGAGCAAAGUCUGGUUCACCUUUGGAGAUACUUGCUAUUAUGAAAAGUGGUAAGGUGGACUCUGCUGCUAAAGUGGCGUCAAGGCCCACUCCCUUUGUUGCUGAGACUGAUUCGCCUGCUAGGAAGGAAGAUACUACUUGUAUGGGCAGCUGUGAGAAAUCCACUAAACUUGCUUCUGGGGAGGCUGCUGAGAUCAUUGUGCUUUUGAAACUAUAUCUGCUUGAAGACAUGGACGCUUGUGCCAAGUUUGUUGAUGGCGGUAGAAAGGUUGUUUACCUAAGUUCCUUUGCGAAACAUACGACCCAAUAUAAAAUGACUGCUCUGCUUACUAGGAUGCAUAAAUAGCAAGGUUGUCAAGGAGGUGGCGAAGAUUAUGGCAGCUAAAGCUUAUUCCUCAGUCGAGGAGAUCAAAAGGUUGAAUUAUGAGCUUGUUGCUUUGAAAGAAAUGGAAGAACUGCAACACGUUCGUGUUAGUCUGUUUGAGAAGAAUGAGCAGCUAAACGGUAAGAAUGAUGGGCUUGAGGUUUCUCUAUUUUUCCGGAAGACUUGCUUACUUUUACUUUUGAGGCUUCCAUUGGUGAAGUAGUUGGAGACGUUAGUGCCCAGGCUUAGGCAACCGGGGGUGAAGCACCGGAUGAUGCCGCUGCUAAGAACGUUACGGCUGCUGAAGGUGUGGAGACCAAGUAGUCGUGGGAUGUCCAAGCUGCUGUAGUGUAGUAUUUUAGGUAGCUUUUAUGAUUUUCUUUGUUUUUCCUUGUAGCUCUUGUUUUGCUUGAACUUCUUCGGCCUUUGCUAGUUGUAUAAACAUGUUUUCCUUCGCUUUUCUUCAUCUUCGCUUCUUUUGUUCAUGCCCUAACCUUUAGACUUGAUAGACCAAUGGCAGGCAUGCUACUUUUUUAUAAGCAGACAAGCUCGCGUAGCCUAUGCAGCCGUAAAUGUUGGUGUAGAACUUUGCAAAGUUGUUAGCCAUUAGGUUGGUAACCAGAUACCUUACUUACAGAAGUAGACAAGUCCGCAUAACCACUAGGCUAUUAACCUUGACUUUCUCCAAUUCUGUAGGUUGCGUAGCAAGUAUCACAACACUUUAGGAAUUGGUAUAGGUUGCUCCGCACUUGGCAGAGGUGAAGCCUAUCGACUACGUAGCAUGUCGGCAGUGGAUAAAACUUCCAUAUAUGCGCGCUAGCUUGUUUAACCUUUCACAAGAAUGUGCGGUUGUAUAAGUCUAGCACGGUUUUACUGCUUGAAGGGCAAGCCGUAGGCAGUCUUCCGGAAUCCGUAGGCUACCUUAAUGUACUCGGUAGCAGCUUUAGGGUUCCAGGGCAGCCGUCUAUAGAGCGUACUGCGUAAUGUGCCCCAUCCGUCUCUAGCUCCCGGUUCCCCACAGAUUAGACCAAGAGACCCAAAAUCCUUCAGUUAGUUAAGCCUUGAAAAAGACCAUUGUGGCUACUUCUAGGAAUCCCGGCUCAAGCCAUCGUACAUCUAGUUAUACUAGGGUAGCCAGGCUCAUCAGCGUCUGGAUAUUCGGAGUGUAAAGUUUAUCCUCCCGUCUUAGAGAGCUGACCCAUAUGAGUGUCGGGGAAUUGGUUUACCCUCUCACACUAGAGAGUAAUUAAUUUACCCUCUCGCACUGGAGAGCAAUUAGUUUACCCUCUCGCACUGGAGAGCAUGGUUGGUCCAUCGGGGGGCGCAAUUCCUGCGAUGAGUCCCUAAGAAGGGCGCAGUCUUCUUUUGAAGUGCAGGAAUGAUUAGUUGUUAUAAGCAUGUGAUCGAGUCAAGUUGUGAUUACUUCUAAAUUCCUCAUUGAAAAACGAGUGAAACGAACGAGAACUUAGCCGUAAGGUAGGAACUGCAUAACAACUGGAUAGUCCUCAACUUGUGUGGUGGUACCCAUCGAGCUUCUUGAGUCUUCGGGCUUUGAUGUAGUGGGAGGUUACACAUGGCACCUUUUCAGAUUGUAGGCGCUCUACUGCUUUUCGAACUUUUUUUUUGUUGUGUAAUUGCUCUUGCUGCCUACUCGGCUAAUCUUAUACAGACUUUCUCGGAUGAGAUUCAUCUUUUUGGAGCUUCUCUGCUGGCAGUGAUGAAGGCUUUUCUUAGGACUAGAUCUCUGGGCUGGAACUGCCAGAUUUUGGCCUUUUUGUUGUGGCUGGAAAAGAACCACUGCUGGUAAGUUGUAAUGCAGAUGAUAGUCUGCUCGCACUUCUCCUCUGCCAAAUUUAAGCUUGUGGCCAUCUCCUUUCGGUUGCUCGUCUUUUGGUGUUGCGAUGUGCCCAUAGACAUCCAGGGAGUUUGUCUGGCCAUUUUCUUUUCUUAUUGGUAGGGGAUUUCUUGUGGCAGUCGAGGAUCAUCUUAGUGGAUGUUUUGGCCAGCCUAUUGCCUUGAGGAUAUCUUGGCGUAGACAUGUGCUGCUUGAUGCCAUAUUUUUAGAAGAAUUUCGCCAAAUCUUUGCCCACGAAUUACGGGCCGUUGUUGGUGACGAUGGAUUAAGGUAUGCCAAAUCGGCAAAUGAUGCUCUUUCAUAUGAAGCGCUCUAUGUCCGUUUGAAUUGUGAUCGUCAUGGGCUCUGCUUCUACCUAUUUGGUGAAAUAGUUGGUUGCCACGAUCAUCAUGCAUUUGCCCUUAGUAGUCUGGCUGGUGAUUAGCUGGGAAUCAGAAUGAAUUGAAAGCUUUUUCACCACCAAGUCUUUUGUCACUCGAAGGCCUGCUAGUGGGGCUUUGUACUCUGCUUCGUUGUUAGGUGCUUUGACGCUUAGAGUGAUCGCUUACUCGAGCAUUGAACCGUCUGGGGUGGCAAGAACCACGGUUACUUAUAAGCCUUUGUAGUUGGAUGCGCCGUCGACAUGCAAAUGCCAGAAAUUUCCAUUGAGGGAGUAGGUAUGGCUAAAGUGUGCUCGGCUACCUUCGAAGCGUCGUUGGGCCGCUUUGUUACAUUGUCAAGGCUAGGUUUGAAGGCGCGGUAGAGAGUCGUGGAGCUGGGGCCAUGUUACAUGUAGCAGGAGAUGCUCAACUUCCGGUAUUAGGCCACUCUAGAGCUGAAUAAUGGAGCAAAGGUCGGCUAGGGUCGUAUGACGCGCAGCAGAAGGUAGUGCUCGACUGCUAGUACAUGUUGCUCUUACGUAGAAUCUUCUGAGGCGACGAGGACAAAACUUGCUUUUAAGUGUUCCUUCUAGUGUUCGUCUGCCCUUGGCGUGUCUUUUGGGCUGAGUUGUUGCGUUCGUCAGAAAACUUUGCAUCUGCCAGGGUUUACGUCUUUAUCAUCACGGGUUUGGAUUAGGCGGAAUAGUGCGUCAUGAUGAUGACUGCGUACAUUUGAAGGUAAAACUUAAGCUUUUGGGUUACAACAACUAUCACCAAAGUUAGCUUUUGAAUUUUUAAUAGCAUCGAGGAGAGCUUUUGAACUAUAAAAUACAUGUAGUUGGGCCCCCAACUCUUCUCGCAUGACGGUACAGCUUAUUUCUACUUUAGAUACCGUCAAACAUGCGAAUAAGUCCUCUGCUGCUUCUAGGGAGGUGAUGUUGGGUACUUCUUCAAGCCCUUGAAUGUGCAUUGGCGAGCCUCAUCCCAAAGUGCAUGCUUCUCUGCCAAAGAAAAAGAGUCUACCAGAGUUAGAUAUUCUUUCAUGAUCAAUUUUCUAAAUAGCGGUGGUCUGCUGGAAGGCCUUUUUGGAAGGCUGCUCUAGCUAUUGAGUCGCUGCAUCCGACUAUCAUUGCCUUCUCUGUUUUGAAUCUCUUCACAUAGUCACGAAGUGACUCCUUUGGGUUCUUUUUUACGUCAAACAAAUGGUCGGACUUCUUUUUGAUCGAGCAAUAAGAUGAAUAUUCUUUGGUGAAAACCAAAGAAAGUUCGUAGAAAUUCUAGAUAGAUUGUGGCGGCAGGGUGUAGAACCAAUCUUGUGCCUCGCCUUCAUAGUGGUGGCGAAUAUCUUGCACAUGAGAUCAUCGUUGUUUCGAUAAAGGAUCAUUGUGCUUCGGUAGCGCUUUAAGUGUCUCUUCGGGUCUUCAUCCCCUUUGAAAGAUAUGAAAUGUUGCAUACUGAACUCGCAUGGAGGCUCUGCCAGCUCGAUCUCAUCCGUGAAGGGUGACCUGCUUAUGUUGGUCAUGUUCCGUCGUAGUGCCUCGUCGGUGACCUUGUUGCGUUAGAAAUCAUGCAAUCGCUUGAUUAAAAGUCUCUCUACUUCUUCCUGAAUUUUCAUUUGUUAGGGUAGCAGAGCUCUCGGCUGCCCCUAGCCAUAACUUACUGGUCUAGGAUGCUCUUCCAUGUGUUUGGCUCGUAUACCGUGGAUGCAGUGUAUGUGGUGCGGUCCUAGUAGGUGAGCGAGUUCUUCGCAGGCUGCUAGUUGAACUUGAGCUGGAUUGAGUGACUACUUCUCUCCGUCCGUCGUGCUGCCUACUCCAAUGUGAGGUGAAAGAUGCUCCUUGCAGGCUUAGCCACGAAUGAACACUUUACCUGGAAGGUUGCUCAUGUUGACUAUCAGAGUAUGACCCUAACCGUGAAUGUAUAUUCACCCGUGGGCUUAGUCGAGAGUGCACGCUCCUCCGCGCGCUAAGACGAGAGUAUACGUUAUCUCGGGAGCCCAAUUGGGAGUGUACACUGCCCGAACGCUCGGCUCGUGGCUGGUCGAGUGGCUGCUUGCCGAAACGCUGCGGGAAAGGUUCGUCUGCCCUUGUCCUACUUCGGGAUACCUUGUUUGGGGCACGUUGGAUUCUGGUGCAUUGCAAAAGUUGAUUCACCAAGGUUGUCUGUUGUGCAAGGGUGCUCGUAAACGCUACGACUUGUCGAGACAAGUGUUGUUCGUCAUUUGGAUUGGAAUAGCUUGGAAGGAAUGUGCCUUCUUGGGCAGUGGAAGGGUGGUAGACUCCGGGCUCGAGAUUUGAGUUGGGAAAUGUCAAAUCUACGAAAAAAUGUGGUGAGAAUGCCCCCGGCUCGAUGGUAGGUCCGGAUGGUUGAGAUAGUCUUGGGCCGACUUGGGCUGCUUGGAAAGCCACGGGAGCAGGCUGGGCCACGAGAGUGAGCUGCUCGGCAGGAGUAGGCUGGGCUACGAGAGUGGGCUGCUCGGCAGGAGCAAACUGCUUGGAGUGUGAUGCACAUGGGUGCGAGGCUUGGGCUCGGCUUGGUAACACAUUGAGUUCGGGUUUGGCUUGGAGUGACAUGACUUGGGCCGUGGCCUUGGUGUCGUGAGCCUUGGAUGGCACGGCUCGGGCAGUGGUAGCUGUGCCAUGGACCUCGCCGCGGGUAGUGGUGACCGUGAUGGCCACCGCGGUGGUUGCCAUGGUGGAGCCCCGUAGUGAUGGUGCCGCUCCUAUGAUCACAUUUAGCCUCGUGGAUCGUCGUGGUCCCAUUUCUUGAAUAUUAGAAUUUUCACUUAUGGAAUUUUCUAAAUUUCUAGCCAUUAUAUUUUUCUUAUACGUUUUAUCAAAGAACCUUUGCAAAUAAAAAAUUCUAAUAAUAAGAACGUAUGAAAAAAUAUUCAAAUGGACUAGAAAAUAGAGAAAAACCUUUUUAUGCGAGAGUCUUCUACGAGUAUAGAUCUCAACUCUCAAUGAAAGCACCAAUUUGUGGAUGCAAAUUUCUUCCUCCUUGAUCCUAGACAAUUUUGCACCUACAAAACAAUUAACACCUUAGGUUAAGGCCAAGAGCCUCACACGCCCACGAUGAAUGGGGGGGCUUUGGCCGAAGAACCUCUGAUGCCAAAGUUAGAAUUUAGAGAGAUAGAGUGUUCAGAGAAUUUUGAGAUUUUUGCCAAAGUGUUGGAAUGGAUUUUUGGUGAGAAUGGGAUCACUUUUAUAGGGAUAGGAAGUGGCCGGCCUAGCUAGGGUUUUUGGGUUUAAUUUAGGUUUAAUUAGUCAAUUUAUUUGGCUAAUUAAACCCUAAAGAAUAAAUUGGUGGUUACAAAAUUGAUUAUUUGUAUAAAUGGGGUAAUAAAAUGGAGAAAGGUGAAAAAGGUUAGGAAAAGGGAGGUGGCCGGCUUCUUAGUGGUUUUAGGUGUGAGUGGGUGUUUUAAUUGAUAAUUAAGGGAUUCAUUAGGUAAUUAAUCAAUUUUUAGGGAAUAUGAAAGGAAAAUAUUAUUUAGCUAAUUGAUUAGCUAAAUAAUGGAAUACAAAAUAUAUAGAACAAAUUAGGUAUUAGGAAUUACCUUAUAGAAAGGAUUUGAUGAAAUAAGCUUUAAAUUGUUACCUAUUUUGGGCACUUUUGACUUGGUUGAGGAUGAUUGUCUGCCGCUCACGCGUAGGAAUCUCGAUAUGCCUCAAGGGUAUUUUUGUUCUCUUUUACCCAAAAAUCCACGUGUCGCCUUGUGAUUAUUUUGGCUCCACAACAACCACGUCAGCAUUUAACAGACCAAUGGAUGGAAAAUCUAACGGAGGUAUUAUUUUGAAAUAAAAUAACAAGUGAGGUAUGAAAGUGAAAUGUUUUAAAGAUGUUGUAUGGGGUUGUAAUAGACCUCAAACUUGAGGGUCCUAUGUAAUUUACCUAUUUUUAUGUUAAUUAUGAAUAGGUCAAUCAUGUAGAACCAAAUUAAAAGCUAACAUCAAUAACAACUACCAGAGACAAAAGCUCUAAUCAAUGCUUCGGAAACAUAGUCUUGUAUCUCUAGGUGUAAUGAUAUAAUUUGUUGGAAACUUAAAAGAAAAUUGGUGAUUUUGUAUAUAAUCGAUAAAAAGUUAUAAUAGUGACAAUAUAUCAGUAAUAUUUAUGUUAAUUAGGAAUAGGUCAAUCAUGUAUUUAAUACUUACAUGCAUUUAAAAUAAACACCUUAUCAAUGUUUUUUUAACUGUGCUCAGUUUUUCUCCUUCGCUUUGGUUUUGUUCUAUUGGAUUUUUCAACUAUCAUUAAUUGUGAACAUAACUGAUCAUUGAGACACAAACAUCCAAGGGAGAGUACCGUGGAACAAAAUGUGGAUAUCUUUAUACAUUGUAUGGUAGUAAACCAUCAUAAACACCAUAAUAAUGUAGAAACGCUCUUGGGGUACCUUUGGAUGAUAACUCAUGUAUUUGUUGCCCUACGUAAAGAUGGCUAAUGAUAAUGGAAGUCUAAUUUUCUCAUCCCAAUCUCUCCUGUCUCUCUUGUUCUCUUUUCUCUAUAGUUUAUUUCCAACAAGUUGUGUUAUUUUUUUUUUUUAGUAUUGUUAAGCAACCAAUAGAUUUUAAUUAGCAGUCUUUGUUUUUUUCUUUUAUAUUUUUAAUCAAUUUCAGUUGCUUAUCCGUUCUAGCAAAUUGAGCUCUUUUACAGCAAUUUUUUUCUUUAAAUGAAAUUAUUAUUAUUAAAAGAGUGAGAAAAUUCGAAAUUAUUACAACAAUUUAAAAAAAAGAAGUUUCGAAUCAUAAACACAGAGGGAGUUUACAACAUUUUAAUUAAGAAAUUAGGCUUCAGCUCAACUCAUCUUUGCAACGUCGGUUCCACUUCACAUCAACAUGCAAUGUUUCAGAAGGUCACGCGGUUUUGGGGUUGUUGUGUACCAAUAAUAUUAUAUAUAUAUAAAUUAGGAUUGAAGGAUACACGCAUUUUGUAGAGCUUAUUUUGUUAUGUAUUUUAAUGAUUUAAAUGCUUACGUUUUUCUUCACUACAAAUGAGUGAAUUAAUGAUUUUAGAAUUUGUCUAAUUUUUUACAUUGAUUAUUUAUGAAUAUUGAAUUGAAAUAUAGACGAUUCAAAAAUCGUUGAUAUACAUUACAAAAUGAACUCCACAAAAUAAGCGUCAAAAUAUGUAUAUAAAAUGGACAGCGUGAAAGGCUUGGAAAUUGGAAUAGGUUUGAAAAUUGUGCUUUUUGUAGCAAAUUGUAGCAAAGUUUGCUUGGACUUUCACAACCGUAUAAAUUAUGCCGCAGCACUCUCUAUUUUCUCUCUCGCUCUAUAUCGUGGUCCCUCUCUCUCGCCGUCCUCGAUUGCUCGAACUCACUAUCCUUUAUUGCUCGAACUCACCGUCCUCAAUUGCUCGAACCCACUGUCCUUUAUUGCUCGAACUCACUGUCUCCAACUUCCUCUGUUUGGUUCCCGAUGAAGAUGGUAAAACAGUAGGGGCAAGAAAUUAUGACAAUGUUAGAUUUGCAUAUUAAUCUGGUAGGGCUACAAUUCUCCAAUCCACACCCCUUCCAUCUAUGCUAGUGUUUGUACCCAAUAUUAGAUAUCCGGUCUGUGCAAUCGAGAUCGUUGAAUGAGAAAAAUUCUAAGCCGUGGGAUCAAAUAUAAUGAUGUGGAUUAAAUAAGAAAAAUUUAAAUGUUUAUCUUGGUUGAAUUACCAUGAUAAUAUUGUGGAAUUAUCUUCUGCAUAACGGGAUAGCGAGAAAAGUCCAAGGGUGUAGGGAAGUUGUGUGGCUGACUACCGCUUUUUUUUAUGGUGUCAUUAGUAGAGUAAUAUCACACUUAACAUUUAUUUGUACCAUCUCUCUAAUAAAGAUAAAGACCAUCAAUGCAUAAAUAAUGAUACAAAUAUAUAAUAAGAGUAUCAUAUUUGUAACUAGAAUAGGAGAAGAAAGACUUCAAGAUGGGGUCAGCCAAAUAAUUAGCGUCAGGAUAAAAAUAUGAGUAAUGAUAUUUGUAAACAUCGAAAUUUCGGUAAAUAAAUGUUGACCGAUAAAUCAAAGUUUCAACGCUCAUGUAUUACAUAAAUUUUACACGUAGCGUAUGUCUAAACAAAAAAUCGAAAUAAGUUGGAAAAGUCAUCAAACAGGACACAUGUCAACACCUGGCAGAAACGACUUAUUUCAUCUGGAAUAUUAUAUUCAAAAUUAGGCAUUGGAAAAUUCUAUAAAUAGAAGCCAAUUUCAUUCAUUUGAAGGAACCAAAAUCAUUAGGCAAAAUUCUUGAAGCUCUGAAGCUCUGAAACUCCGAAACUCUCAAGCAUCCAGGUUCCCGAAGAAUCAAGAAAGCUCUCUUCGUUCUUCGUUCUUCGUUCAUCGUUCAUCCUAAGAUCAAGCUCCAACGGCCCUUUAGAUCAACAAUCAUCCACUAAUUCAAGAUCAAGCCCCGACGGCCCUUGAAGAAAGUGUUCUUCAUUCUUCGUUCAUCGUUCUUCCAAGAUCAAGCCCCAACGGCCCUUUGGAUUAACAAUCAUCCACCAAUUCAAGAUCAAGCCCCAACGGCCCUUGAAGAAAGUGUUCUUCGUUCUUCGUUCAUCGUUCUUCCAAGAUCAAGCCCCAACGGCCCUUUGGAUUAACAAUCAUCCACCAAUUCAAGAUCAAGCCCCAACGGCCCUUGAAGAAAGUGUUCUUCGUUCUUCGUUCAUCGUUCUUCCAAGAUCAAGCCCCGACGGCCCUUGGAUCAACAAUCCACCAAUUCAAGAUCAAGCCCCAAAGACCCUUGAAGAACUUCUACCAAUUCAAGAUCAAGCCCUGACGGCCCUUGAAGAAAGUGUUCAUUGUUCAUCAUCCGUUCAUCCCGAAGAAUCAAGAAAGCCUUAUUCGUUCUUCGUUCAUCGUUCUUCCAAGAUCAAGCCCCGACGGCCCUUGGGUCAACAUCAUCAACAAAUCCACACAUCCAACCGUUCUUCAAGAUCAAGCCCAAAAGCCCUUGAAGAUCCGUUCAUCACCGUUAUUCAAGAUCAAGCCUUAACGGCCCUUGAAGAAACACUCAUCCUCAAGAUCAAGCCCCAACGGCUCCUUGAAGAUCCGCUCAAAUCCACCUUCAAAGAUCAAGCCCACGGCCCCUUGAAGAAACAUCCAACAGUUCAUCCAAGAUCAAGCCUCGACGGCCCUUGGAUCAACGAAACAUCUACAAAUCAACACCUUACGGAGAUCGAAUCAGAUGAUCAAAUUAGAGAGAGAUUGUAACCCUAAAUCAUCAAAAUACAAAUAUUAUUUUGUGCACGUUGUUCUUAUCUCUUUCGUUUCAGGAAAUUUUCGUGUUCACAAUAUUCUUACCAUCUAAAUAUACUAUAAUUUUAUACCAUCUUAUGUGGCAAUUGAGAUGGACUUCCACAUAAGUUUUAAAAAAAUCUCAUGUCAGCUAAGGUGGAUAUUUACGAUUUUACGAUUUUACUCAAUGAUUUUUAUUAAUAAAAUAAUUAAAAAAUAAUAAUGAAACCUACUUGCUCCCGUUUUCAAGCCUCAUCGCUGGGCCUCCUCCCUCUUCGCUCUCCAAUUUCACCUUCCUUCACCAACGAUCGAUGGUGCUCGACCCCCUUCAUCAUUGCCAACUGGCCGAAUAUCUUGAUGGUGCUCCCAGUGAUUGUUUUGCUCUGCCACCAAAUCAAGUUUGCAAUUUUAAUGGUUUAUGCCUUCUGGCCAAGUGUUGGAUUUGAUAGGUUUUUAAUUCCAGCAACAUUGAACAAAAAUAUGAAAAGGAUUGGAUACGAUAUUUUCCUCUGUUCUACUGCUGAGGAUUUUCCGAAUAGAAGAAGAUUUGGAAGACAACCUCUUUUCUUUUUUCUUCAUGGACUUUUGGUUAGCACCAAAAUCUUUUCCUAAUCCUCUAUAGGAAUGAAAAUUUCAUUCCAUGUUAUAUCCCGAUGUUGUCCAAGGUUUUGGCUUGAAUUUUCAUUGGAAUUAUCAUAUGUUGGAUCAGAUCAGGUGGAGAGAUGAAACGUAUCUAACAAGGAAGUUGAACGGGUAGGGUUUGAGCAAAAAUAAACAGAAAUUCCACCUAGGUUGACACCUAAGCUUCCACAUCAUGUGGUAUACUAAAUGUGGUAUAAUAAGAUGGUAAGAAUAGCAUUAUUGAAUGGGUAAUGUUAAGAGAAAUUUUUAGUUGUGACGGGAACACGGAUGGUACACCAUGCGUUUUUAUGUAAAUGGUGGAAAAUUUUAAUUUUUAAAUUAUUAACCUUUUAGCACACAUAUCCCACCAUUUAUAUGAAAACACGUGAUGUAUCACCUCGUGUGAUAGUCACAUUGAAAAAUCUCUCGUAAUGUUAGGAAAACUAAAUUUAUAAACAAAAGUUACAAAUUAAAUGAUGGGUUACCAAUAAGAAUGAUUACGUUUAUCAAUGCUUAAAUAAUAAAUCAUUCAUCAACUUCCAGUCCUUUAGUUUUUAAAAUUUUGUCUAACAUUACCCUUUCAAAACUCAUGAAAAUAAUUUUCAAUUUUUUUAACUGAAAAGUGAAAGUUACUAAACAAGAUUUCAGUUUUUAGCUUUCAAAAAAAUAAAAACAAAAGCUAAAAAUAAAAUGGUUAUCAAACAUCCCUAGAAGUCAUUCUUAGUGAUAGUAAGGUCAUCUCCAACCGAAAGAUCCAGGGGGCUAGAGGGCCGAAAAUAGUCUGAAAACCAUUUCCAAUCAAAGGCCAUGCCAAAGGGGUCGUGGACCCCAUUAGACAAAAAAGGGCCAAAGGGCCAACUGGCUGGCCCCAGUUCCAACAAUAACUAGAUGACGUCAGUUAACCGUUAUUUUUGAAUUUUUUUUUUAACAAAUUUUAACUUUCUAAGCCAUUAAACAACAUUAAAUUAAGUAAAAAAGAAAAUUCCUAUAACUUCCUAAGUCAUUAAACAAUAUUAAAUUAAGUAACAUGAAACAACAUUAAACAAUAUUAAACAAAAUUAAACAAUAUUAAACAACAUUAAAUAACAUUUAACAACAUAAAAAUUAUACAACAUAAAAAAAAACAUUUAAGAACAUAAAAUUUAAAUGCCUACUUCAUGCUUCUUUUGGCCCAAAGAUGUGCAACAAGAUCCUAAUGUAGGUACUUGUUUGUGGCACGAGAGCGUAUCAUCCUAACCGUUAGAUUUGAUUUUUUUUUGUUUUCGGCCAAAUUUUUUUAAAUUUAAAAAUAAAUUAUGUUUGACCUUUUGGCCCUCGAUUGGAGAUAGUUUUUUUUGUGACAUGACUAUGUUUAGCCCUAUGACCCUUUGGCCCUCAGUUAGAGAUGGUAAGAAAUAUGACCCAACAAUGUUCAUUAAAAUAUUAAUUUCUUGAAGAGCCAGAGGGCUAAAACGAGCCAUCCUUCGGUUGGAGAUGGCCUAAGAAGAGACUAGAGAUAGAGAGAUUCCUAUACUUAGCUGUGAGAGUUUCCUAUAUAUGAUUUUCAUUAACAAGAUUGAACUGAUUACAUAGAGAAGAAGAUCAAGUAUGGUUAUUUUUAUUUGGGAGACUUUGGAUGUGGUCCUUAGUUAUGAAUAUUAUUUGAUUGAAAUCUUGUUGGUUUUUAAUUUUUUAUCAAGAUCCCUGAAAUUAAUGUGAUAAUUUAUUUCUAUGUAAGUUACUAUAUUUUUUUAAUUAGAAAUUAGAAAUUUUAGUUGUUUAUAUAAAUGAGAUUUUAAAUUAAAAAAACCAUAAUUUGUGGGAUUAAAAAUAUUAAAAUAUAAAUAUACUAUUGUGUGUGUGUGUGUGUGUGUGUGUGUAUAAAUAUGGGUACAUUCAUCAAAAUUAACCAAAAAAUUUAUUGUAUCAAAACAUGGGUACAUUCUUCAAAAUCACAAAAAAAGAAAGAUAUUAGGCUUAAUAACAUUAGUAAAUUUCUUCGAUUAAACUUGACAUGGAUACAUUUUAAAAUCAAAGAAAAAAAAUGUACCCAUAUAAGUUUAAAAAUGGAUUAGAAAAAAAAAUUGAAUAGAUUUUAUACAAAAAAAGGGUACGUUUUACAUAUAACAAAUUGGUAUAUUUAAGAAUGAGUACAUUUUAAGAUUAAAAAGUUUUACAUGAAUGGGUUCAUAUAAUUAGCAUGGGUACAUUUAGCAAAAUAAAAAGUACAAAUACAAAAAAAUAUAUGUGUACAAAUACAAAUAAACUUUAAAAAAUAUGGGCACAAAAAGAAAUUAAUAUAUGGGUACAAAUUAAAACCGAAAAGAAAAUUGGUACAAGUUAAAAAAGAAUUACAAAUUAAAAAUGGGUACAAACUAAAACUAAAAAUAUAUGAUAAAAAAUUUAGUCAUAAAUAUAAAUAUACUAAUUGUAACAUUUUUAACAUUAAAUGAAUAUAUUUAGACAUAAAAAAUAUAUUUUAUUAUUGAAAUAAUUAAUGAUGUUAUUAAUACCCAAGGACCUUGAUAAAAAAUUGAAAAGAAAUAGAAUUUUAAUCAAUGGAGUAGCAAAAGAAAAGAUGAGAACCUAAUUUCUCCUUUGUAUUGUGUAGACAUUAUAACUAUACAUUCAUAAUAACAUGAGUAAUGUUAUAUUUAUCACAUUUGUACUCUUUCUCCAAUAAAGAUAGGGUCCAUCAACACAUGUGGGUUCUAUUUGCCCAUCAACACAUGCGAAUCUCAUUUUUAUUAGAAAAAUAGUACAAAUAUGAUAUGGAAAUUAUGAUAAGAUCGCAAUUUUGUAAUAACAUAUAUACUCAACUAUUUAUAUACCAACUCAUCUCCCUUUAGUGUAGUUAAUAUUGUUUGUUCAACCAAAAAAAAAAAAACUGAACUUGUCAUAAUCAUUGAAUCCAUUUACCAUGAACAAACGGCAGUUUACUAAACUUGCCCUCAGAGUAUAUAUAAAAGGUGAAUCACAAUCUAUUGCAUUAAUAUAAGGAAACAAUUUAUAGGGUUUGACGGGUGACUUAAUAUGCUAUAUGGCACAAUGAAAAUUAAGUUCACACUUUAUCCCAAAUAAGGUGUUGCACCUUUAAUUUAUGGAUGCUGGUUUGACGUGUGACCGAAAUAAUCAAAUUGUAGCCAUUAAUCAUUUUACAAGUAAUAAUAUGUGGUUUUAUUGUUUACGAUUCACACAACAAUCUGCUAGGAAGUAGAAAAUGCAGUACUUGUCCCUCUCACAGAAGUCAUGAAUAAUUAUCAAAUUCAAAGAUAAAGAAAAACCACACAAUUUACAAGAGGAAAGAAAAUGAAGGGAUAAAGAAAGUAAGAAAGGAAUACCUCUAUGGGAGGACUCUUAUUUGCUUCAGAUGCCUACAAUAUUCAUCAUAUAAACACUGAUUAAGUAGUCAUCGAAAACCAAAACAAAUGUCGAACAUAGGGUGAAAAACAGAAAGAAUAACCGCAGCUCAUCAUACCAAUAGAGAUAGAACUGCCCGAUGCCCAAGUAUGACUGAAAAAUGGCAAUCCAAACAUGGCGCCUUCUAGCUCAUCAAACUGUCAAAACCUAGGUUCCACCAAAAAGAUACAAGUCACCUAGUUACUUGUAAAAUAAAAAUCUGUUUCAAAAUAGUGGAAAAUAUUAUUAACAUUGUUCAAAGUCCACAUUGUUGUACCUACCAAGAAACAAGAAGGAUUGUAUCUUAUCAUGAAAAAGAACAUAGGUACCUUUUCAAUUGUAAUUGUACAAAAAUGAGAGACCACUUCCGAACUUCUCUUGGAACUUCAAUCAAUUUCUGCCCACUUUUAAAUGCCUUGACAUACUUAAGCCUAUUUCUUUGAGCUUCAGUUUUGGCUUCUGAUGCCUUUAAAUUUCUUAAAGAUUCUUACCAAGUUUUACAAACUCACUUCUAUACAACCAUUUGUCAGUAUACAUACCAUUUUCUUUGAGCUUCAGUCUUUGCAACACCAAAACCCCCCAAAUAGACCCGGAAUUUUGCAAUGUGCAGGGAAUAUACAAAAAAAACCCUCCUAUCCAUCUAAAACGAAAUCAGAACGCAAACCACAAUCAAAAUCCGUAAAAUUAAUUUAGCCAACCCCUAAAUCUAAUAAUUCUAACAAAUAUUAUAGUAUCAAUUGAGAGAGAAUUUGAGAAGAUACCUAGAGAUGAAAGGAAGAGCGUUUCCUCUGAUAGGGGUUCCGUGAAAGCAUCUGUUGACCAGAAAAGAAAAGGCAAAAAACCCCAAAUUACAUAUCAAGCAAUUAUAGAUAGAUCGAACCUUGAAAAUUGAAAUUUCAAACAAGAGAAAGGUUAUAAACUUACAACGAUCUGGGUGUUGGUAACUGGGUUUGGAUUUGGGUUUCUGAUAAGAGAGAGAAUCGUAUGAGGAACCGAUAGAGGAACUGCACCGGCAACAGAGAGCAAUUGAUAUGGUGGAGAACAGACGAGAAUAGCUGCUUGGAUGGUCAAUCCAAGAAGAGAAAAUCUUGCCACAAUCGCGGUACUUGAAAAAAAAAAAAACAAGUUUAAAGGAGGGAAACAAUCGCGCCUUUUUCUAAUAGACUCUGUCGACGAUAUUCUUGACAAAUAGAUGCUUCGUCGGGUGAGCUUAUUUUUCACAACAUUUUAUUUAGGAUUGGGUUCGGUUGGUAAACCGUGUCAAAUUUCUUGUGCCACUUGCCAGCCACAUAUACAUAAUUACCGAAAAUCAGUUACCGUUAGCCAACCGUCUUCUUGCGGUUGCCAAAAAUCGGUUCAGCCAAAAUGAUUGGCUGGUUCGGUUGGUAAAUGGCACAACCGGUGGUUUCCACUUCUUCCUCGCUAUCUUCCAGUUCCAAGGGCUCAAUUUGAUUUUCAGAUUGGGAUGCUUGUUCGGUUGCAUUGUGUGGUUCAUUUUGGGUUAAUCCAUGUUGUGCACUAGUAGUUGAUUGGCUAGACUCCAUUAUCCUAAACAUAAGCAACAAAUAUACAUUCAAAAUAAUAUAUAUGUACGUGUAUAUAUAGUAUCAGUAAUCAUCAUGCUAUCAAUUUUGUUAACAAUAUUUUCUAUAUAUUGAUUUUGGCAUGAAUCAUAUACACAUACAUAUAUUUUUAAAACCCUAAAACUAAGGAGUCAUUUAUUUUCUAAACUCUAAAAUUGAGGAGUCAAGCAUGUAAAAAAAUACUUAAAAUAUCUAAAUAGAAAAAGAAAAAGAAAAAAAAAUAAAUAUAUAUAUAUAUCGGUAGGUAUGGCAUACCGCCGGCAUACAAAAUCAAUUACCAAAGCCAUGCCAUUAAUUGUCGGUUCGGUAAAAUGCCAACCGAUUAUGAAAAAAUGUCAAAACUAUACCAUACCAUUUUGAGCCAACCAGUAUGGUUUGGUCAGUAAAUCGGUUUAUGGCAAAAUUUCUCACCCCUAAUUUUAUUUGUCACCUUAAACCUAUUGGUUUCUAGCCUACAAUUCGGAUAUUUUGUUGGGGAAAGAUUUUUGUACCAAUAAAAUUUUGCUUUGUCGGCAAAAUGACAUUUUCUAGUAGUUAUAAUAUUAGGUAGAUCAAAUUUGUAAACUAUGUGAUGUGUCACUAAUAGGAAAAAAUUUCAGUGUGCUGAAAAUACGGUCUAGAACACCAAGUGUCAUAAUAUAUACUUGGUUGGAAAUCUUUUAUUUUCAAGUUUCCAACUAGUUGUAUUGUAACAGUUGGUGUUCCAAGCUAUUUUCUCCAUGCGCUGGAAAAUCUCUUCACUAAUUAAAAAUAAACAUAUUAAUUAACACUUAAGUAAUAAUCAAAGCAUCAACAACUACGUCAUAGAAUUUACGAAAUAUGAUCUUAAUUAAUGAUCUCCAUUACCCUUUAUCUUAGCGUAUACGUACGCCUUCACAUGUUUAUUUGCUGAUAUGCAGCUUGAGUAAAAAUUUCUUUUUAAGAACAUAUAUGUGAAUAUAAACAUAUAUAUCUAGUGAUCCAUGUUGCGUUAUUUAAAAAUAAACAAAUUAAUUAAUUAAUGAACUGUGUACCUGUCUGUGUAGAGUAAUCCAUAUGCAUGCUUGAAUCCUGAUCACCACGAAACCAUAAUAUAAGCUACUCAAGGCCCGGAAGCUAGGAUUGAAGAGAAAAACACCCAGUCAGAUUAAGCCAAUACAUCAAAGUUAAUACUUCCAAAUGUAAGCUUUAAGAUAGAAAAAUCACUUACUUCCUUGAGCAGUCGAGCUUCUUCAAUGGCAUGAAGCUUUUAGCAUGAGAUUGACUGCAUCACAACUAAAAUUUUCUCUUGGAAACUACAUAAGGAAUAGCAUGUAUACCUAUAACGUUGAGAAAGUACGCCAAUUUUUUCCUUCUGCACAUUCAUGUUUAAAAGUAAUCCUCAAAUGAACUUGCCCACAAUGAAAUGCAAUUUGAGGUAGUCGAGUGUGUUCCAUUUCCAUCCCAUCGGAAUUACUACUAAACUUUGAGAUGGUAGAGGAUUCAUGAAAUUUUUUACUUUUGAAAUAGUCUCCUUAGCAUUUCUCGACUAUAACAAUGAGGAAAUACUUCACCUUGUAUCAAACAAGGGAGACCGAAAAUCAACUACUAAUAGCAUCACAGAGCCAGCAGAAGAUUGAGGAGGCCAUGAAAAGGAAAGAGAAAAUACACUCUUUUUUUGUAAGGACAGAGAUAAUACAUUCAAUAAAGGGUACUGAUGUUUAUAUGCAAAGCUGAUUAGGUUUAAAUAGUCGUAUUUAUUCUGUACAGUGCCAAUAUUACCACCCGUUAGUACACUUUCAAGACACUGUAAUCCAGUGUAUGCACUAUGCAGUACGUAGUACUCCUCAUUUUUUUGGGGAAAUUCAUUAUUGGUCUUCAUAUCUUCUUUAUUUUCCUUGUCCUCAUUGUGCCACGUGUUUAAAUCACUAAUUAUAGGUAAUCUUUCAAUUUAAUUAAAUCUUAUGUAAAAAAAGAUAAUUAAAUAUCAUUUAGUAUUACAAUAUAGUGAUAUUCCUCUUUAGUAUAAAAUUUUUAUAAUUAAAAGCGUUCAGCUUUUUAAUCUUCAUUGGAAUAUUAUCUAUAAAGAAAAAUUAUUCGAAUCAGAGAUCAUUUAUGCAUUCAAAUGUAUAAAAUACAUCGACAGUGUGAGAACCAACUAAUAUAUUUUUGAUGAAGUACAAUUAUUGAAUACAUUUGAACGAUCAAAUGAUAUAUGAUUCAAAAUACAUAUUAAGAUAAUAAAUAUAAAAGAAUUGUUAUUUGCACUUCAAGAAUCUCAUUCUACACUCUAAAUUUUCUAUAUAUUAAAAGAAAAAUAAAUUUGUGAAAAGUGUAGAAUGAGGUUUUUUUAAAUGCUAAUAACACUUCUCUAAAUACAAUUAUGAAAUUAAUUAAGUAAAGAUACAUGACCUCGUGAAUGAUGAAUGUAUUAUUCAAAAAAAUAUUAAAAACAAAUUGAAAAAGGACGCUGUUGUUGCCACCACUUAUGCAAUGAUCGUCGCUGCCAUCACCAACCCCCAACACCCCAUUACAGCUCAUAAAAGCACAUCAUAAGCAAUUUAUGAAAUAAAUUUACUGGAAUACUAAUUUCCCCCUUAGUUUAGGUCACCAAUGUUUAAAUUUAGGGAUCGUGAUAUCCACACACAUUUUUUACUUCUUUCACACUUUUUUUUUCGGUUGUCGGAUCAGAUGAAUUGAAGAAAAUCAAUGAACAGAAAUUAACAAGGGGUGUGUGAGAAGUAAAAAUGAAUGUGUGGAUAACACACCCCUAAAUUUAUCACAACUUUCAUUCCAAAUUUAAUUUUUAUCCGUAGUUUUGUUUGUUCAAAUUUACUUUGACAUUUCCAUUAGUAUUAAAAUCUAAUUUAAAUUUUAGUGUUCAAGCUAGAAAAAGUGUUCCAUUUAAUAUUUAAUCUCAGUUUUUCUCUUUAUUCUUUUAUUGGGAUUUGGUUGCAUCGUAUCUCCAUUUUUCUCGGUGUUGUAUGUUCAUAAGGCCUGUGAAACGUUGGCACGGAGUGAAGGGUACUCACUUUUUGGCCCAAAAUGCAUAAGGCAUGUAGAUAUGUUAAUCAAAUUUUGUAAACUAAAGGAUAUAGAAGUUGAUAAUUAGAUUAUAAUUUAAGAUAAUACUAAGGAGACUAAAUUUGCAAACUAAAUGAUGUGUCACCAAUAAAAAUAAGCACGUUUAUCAACAAUUAAGUAAUAAAUCAAUCAUCAACUUUCAUGUCCUUUAGUUUCCAAGAUUUAAUAUACAAAUUUAGUCUCCCAAGCAUUACUCUAUUACUUAAGUAUUGAUUAACAGACUUAUUUCUUAUGGUGACACAUUAUUUAGUUUACAAUUUUAGUCUACCCAACAUUACUCUUUUGAAAUUGUCUUGUCCACUGAUAUAAUUCUAUUUUUCUUGUGAUCAAAACUUCAAAUGUUAGCAAGUCGCACGUAAAGUCGCUUAUGAGAGAAUGUGCUCACAUUGUAGUUGAAAGAUUAUGUGGCUAGCAACAUUACAAAUUUAAUUUGGUAUAAUUCUAAAAUAUAGAUUGAGGAAAAAAUGAUCACAUUAACUAGAAACUGAAAAGGUUUCAGCACAGUUUGUUCAAGCAAGAAAUUCAAUUUUGAUGCUACCGAUCUUAACAGCCUGAGCGCCGUACCUGGGCACCAAAGUCACCACCACACUCUCAUCAUCUUCAGCACCCAAAUCCUCCAACAGGUCCGUUAACCCCAACCUUAAACAACUCUUGCUCUUUUCCUUCUGCUUAUGUGGCACACUCACAAAACUCCCAGCAAACUCGCUCUUGUCGGGUCCACUCGGUGCCGCAUCCUCAUCGUCCACGUCAUUCACAUACACACAUCAAACUUCACAGCCACAUCUUUGUCAAGCUCAAUCCCCUGAAUCACCAAUAUCUCCUCCUCAUCCUCUUUCUCCUUCUUGCUCCUCUUCUUCGGCUUCGGCCUUGACACCACCGUACUUAUCUUCGUCUCCAAAUUUAUUGGAAAAUCUUUACCCGCCACCACCUUCCCUGAUGACGUCGUCUCAGUGGCCUUCGCCACUCCAGCCGCCUUUGCCUUUCUCGCAAGCUUUGUCCGACGUGGCGUCGGUCUAGACUUGAGCCAUGGAAUCUCAACAUCUUCAUACGUAUACCCUAGCUUUUUAUUAUCAAGAGUGUCCCUCACCGUGACCCUAACAAGCUCAGCAUUCUCGUCAUAAAACAAAAACCCCGUAUCCAACCAAUCCUUAUCGUUAAUAUCGUUAUUUUUAGUCCCUAUACUUUUCCAAAUAUUCCACAUUCGAUCUAUAUUCGAAUGGUGCGAAAAAAAUAUUGGAUCCCUUGCAGCGGAGUAAAAAUUCCCCAUGUCUUCAAAAUUAGGCUGCGUGUUAUCUCCGGUCCAUAAAUGAACCGGACCAUGUGGGGUCGUUUCGAUUGAACCGCCCCCUGGAUCUGGUUCAGUGUCAGCCCUGUAGGGCGAACCAAAGAACAACAGCGGUUUCUUGGAGUUGGAAACCAUCUGCCUAUACAUGAUUUUGAGGUUGGCGUCGAUUUGAGCAUCCUUGGACAUUGUUUCAUCCGUGCCGUUGAAGUCAAGAUCGAUGAGAGUCGGCGGCUGAUGGCUGGCAGCGCGGAGCUCGUCGUAAAGCGGAGAGUCCGGGUUAGCGAACAAGGCAGGGAGUUGCAUGCCAGCUGGCGCGUCCCAGUUCCAAAACGGCAACGCGAACGUCGGAUCGUCUAUGAGUUUGGCCAAGAUUCUUUCGUAGAAGUAUACGUAGUAACGAUGGAAGGGGAAGAAAAGCCAGCAUUGAUGGAUUUGGAGCUCGAGGUUGGGGAAGCCGACUUGGUCGUACGCGCCGUCGCAAUAGGCACAGUGGAGAUCGGCUUGCUGGGUGAAGCUACGCGGAUCGUCGUCCGGGAGGGCUUUCAUGAGCUCGAUGGCUUUUGAAUAUUUUUCGAUGUAGGCUUUAUCCACGGUGUGAGCUGCCGGCCUGACGCGGAGUUUGGUAGGGGAGGGGAAUUUGAAGUCUACGAUUUUUUGGGACGUUGGCGGGCAACAGUUGAUCGGGACUGCUCCACUUGGAAAGUCCGCAGCUCCGCAUUUGGCUAGGUCAGGCGGCAACACUGGCUUUGCAACAGCGAAGGGGUCGCUGCCAAGACCAGCCACUCCGGCUUUGCAACAGCGAAGGGGUCGCUGCCAAGACCAGCCACUCCACCGUAGAGGCUUCCGAGACCUAUAAGAAGAUAGAAUUCAGUUCUUGGCAGUAGAGGACUCUAUUGCAGGGAAAAACUGAUUUGAAUUAGGAAGGCUUAAGUAGUUUUCCAUAAGGAUUUUAAUAGGGAAUCCAUAUUCUAAUAUGAGAAGGAUAUGUGUGUACAUAUAUAUAUAUAUAUAUGGCAAUCUCUUCUCUCACAGGUGUGUGCUCUUUUGGAACUAAGCCCUAUUCUUAGUUUGAGUGAUAAAUACCCUGACAGAGAGAAGAAGAAUUGAUGUGCUUUUCAGGUUGAUCGAGAUCCACCAUGACUGCAUCAAACGGGAGUUCUACAGGUUAGUAUAAUUAGGUUUUAUUUGGAUUGAUGUUUUGUGUCUACUUGGUUGUAGUUUAAGUAACUGAAUCUUGCAGCUAGAUUUUGGUUUACAUGUGGUAUCAGAGCCAUAGAUUCAUGUUCUUAAAUUCAAUCGAUAAAAUUGAUUGAAUCCAAAAUAAAAUUCCGAUCUUCAGACUUCGAAACAGGUUCUGGUAGUUAAAAUUAGGAAAAGAAGAAACGGUGCGUUUUGAUUAAAAUAUGAUGAUUAAUACUUGACCGUUAAGAGCUAAUAAACUAUCUUCUCUUCCGAAUUGGGAAUACAAAUCGACAUCUAUCGAUUUCGAUUUCGGGGUUUGAAAAACUGGGUUAUAUGACAUCUAUCGAUUUCGAUUUCGAGGUUUGAAAAACUGGGUUAUAUGAAUUGUUAUUGAGUAUCCACAAUUUAUAUUAAUUGCUUCCGCUGCUGGGUGUUGAUGCUCAUAGAACAAACGGGUAUGUCUCCUGAACAUUGAAUUGAAAUUUGUUUUUUAAUCAAUCUUAUCUUGAAUUUCAUUAUGUUCUACAGCAUGAUUCGAAUAGUGAGCAUAAAAAUAUGCUUAUUUAUGCUGAUUAGUCCUAUGUUUAUGCGUUUUUCUCUAACCAUCUAUGGAAGGGAGUUCUUCGAUAAGAACCUCUGCAGAUUUCACUUGUUUUAUGCAGAAAGUUUUAUGAAGAACUGUUCAUUUGAUAAAGAUCUGCUAAAACUGUGUUCUUAAAUGGAAAAAUCUUUUAUUCUAUAUGUGCUUAUCAAUUCUUCAUUGUUAAGAUUAUAUAUAUGGAUAAAAGGUUUUGAUGAUAUGAUGUACAAAGGAUUGUGAGAUGAAAUCUGGAACUCUAAACGUUCUUCUGUGAUUCAUUGUGAUUUCAUUGUGCUACAGUGUCUGCAAUAUCAAUGAAGACUCUGAAUUUGGCUAACAUCCCAAUUCUUACUGGUGGGGGAAAUUACAAGAAGUGGAGAAGGGAAAUCAGUUUGCUGUUGACUCUAAACGAGUUUGAUAUAGCAAUCGAGAAUCCCAAACCCGUGGUCAAUGAUCAGAGCAGCACAAGGGCUGAAAAGGCAGAUUUUGAGAGAUGGACAAGGGCUAAUAAGGUAGCAUUGUCCAUCCUUGAGAGUGGCAUGACUGAUACAAUCAGAUGAGGAAUUAAGAAGCACGAUUUGGCUGCUGAUUACCUAAAAGCUAUUGAAAAGAAAUUUCAAGAAUCUGAAAAAGCUGAAGUGAGUCAGUAUAUGUCUUUAUUAACUACUUACAAGAUGGAGGGUACAAGCUCUAUAAGGGAUCACAUAAUGAAGAUGACAUAUGCUGCAGAAAGACUCAAUGCAAUGGAUAUAAACAUAGGUGAAAAGCAGUUAGUAUUCAUGAUUCUUCAAGCACUUCCCAGUAAAUAUAGUCAGUUGAAGAUCUCCUACAAUACUCAAGACAAAAACUGGGAUAUUGAUCAGUUGAUUGCACAGUGUGUGCAAGAAGAAACUCGUCAAAAACAAGAAAGAGGCAAAGAAGUUGAGGACAUCAACUUUGUGCAAACUAUAAAUGACAAAAAGCAGUUCAACAACAGAAGCUUUUCUGGUUCUGGUAAGAGUUCUAAGCCUUUUAAAACUUCUAAUAAGUUCAGUAAUUCUGCUAAAGUAGUUGACUCCCCUAGAAAAUCUAUCAAGUUUAAAGCUAAACCUAAAGAUGUGUCUAAAUUAAAAAUGUUUUUGGUGCAAAACUAAGGGCCAUUUAAAAGUUAACUGUGAAAUUUUCAAAGAUUAUGUAAAGAGCAAAGAAAAGGAACAAGUACUUGUCUGUAUUGAAUCAAAUUUGUGAAGUAUACCUGUUGAUUCUUGGUGGUUUUGAUAUACCGGAUGCUCAGUGCAUAUAACUAAUUCUUUAAAUGGUUUUCAAAAACAAAAGGAAUUUGGAAAUGCUACAUAUAAUGUUUUUGUUGGGGAAGGAACUAAAGUUGCAGUAGAGUCAAUUGGGAUAGUCAAAUUAGUCUUAUGUUCUGGUUAUGUUUUAGAGUUGAAAGAUGUGUGCUAUAUGUGCCUAAGAUGAGAAGAAACUUAAUUUCUGCCCUCUAAAAUUGUAAAAGAUGGUUUUUCUUUUCUUGGUGAUGAUGAGUGCCUCAAAAAUUUUCAAGAAAAACUGUCCUUGUCCUAACACUAUUUUAGGGACUGCUUUUUUGUCUGAUAAUUUAUGGAAUCUAAAUUGCACUGUUAAGGCACUCAAUCACACGAUUUUCAGCAUUAGUACUAAGAGAAUGAUAGGUCAGGAUACUUCAUACAUUUUAUGGCACAAAAGACUAGGACACAUCUCUAAAGAAAGGAUAAUUAAGCUGUAAAAAACUGACUUGAUUCCAAAAUUAGAUCUUUCUACUGCAACUGAAUGUGUUGACUGCCUAAAGGGUAAAAUGACCAAUUUUAGAAAAACAGAUGCCAAAAUGAGCCAGGGGUUACUUGAAAUCAUACACACUGAUAUCUGUGGUCCUUUUCCAGUUAAGACAAUAUGUGGAAACAAGUAUUUCAUUAAUUUCAUAGAUGAUUUUUCAAGGCUGGGAUAUACCUUUCUGAUUAAUGAAAAAGCUGAUGCCCUUAAGUGUUUUAUAAUUUACAAAACUGAGGUUGAAAAACAGUUAGGCAAGGUUAUUAAAAUUGUUAGAUCGGAUAGGGGAGGUGAAUACUUUGGCAGGUACACUGAAUCCGGGCAGCAAAAGGGACCAUUUGCUCUCUAUCUCGAGAAGAAUGGUAUUGUGGCGCAGUACACCACACCUGGAACGCCUCAACAGAAUGGUGUUUUUGAAAGAAGAAACAGGACUCUUAUUGGUAUGGUUAGAAGCAUGAUGUCCAGAUCAAAAUUGCCAGGAUUCUUGUGGGGAGAAGCUUUGAAAACAGCUAAUCAUAUAUUGAAUCGAGUUCCAAGCAAGGCAGUAUCUACCACACCCUAUGAGUUAUGGCAUGGGAGAGUUCCUAGUUUUACUUAUUUCCAUGUUUGGGGUUGUAAAGCAGAAGCUAAGUUAUAUAAUCCUAAUGAAAGAAAGCUGGAUUCAAGGACUCAGUCAUGUUAUUUUAUUGGCUAUCCUGAGAAAUCAAAAGGAUACAGGUUCUAUAUCCCUCAAGGUCACACUCGGAUCCAAGAGACACACAAUGCAGUUUUCCUAGAAGAUGAAGAUGUCUCUCAUUUGUCAAGGGAAAAUUUCAUAUUUGAAGAGAUGCAUUCAGAUGGUGGGGACCAUGUGACAAUGGAUUAUAAUAUCGGUCUCAUUGUUUCCCAAUCAAUCAUCAAUUGCCAUUGAAGAUAUGAGUGAAGAUUUAGGAGUUCCUGAUGACAACUCUGUAGGAGUUGAUUCCACAACAUAAGCUGCAACAAUUCCUUUUGCAGAAGCAUGUGAACCAGUUGCUGUUCCACCUCCAGUUGAAAUCAGAAGGUCACAAAGAGCUCGGAAAACCACUGCAAGCAAUGACUAUGUGUACUUAUAAGAGACUGAGUUCGAUAUUGGUGACAUUUGAUGAUCCUCUUACAUAUACUCAGGCAACUGAAAGUCCUCAAGCAGUUCUUUGGAACAAUGCAAUGAAGGAUGAGUUAGAUUCAAUGUCCAAAAACCAGGUUUGGACAUUGGUGGAAUCCAACUCUGAAAUUAGGCCAAUAGGCUGCAAGUGGGUAUAUAAAACCAAAAGGGAUGCUGCUGGAAGAAUUGAAAGAUAUAAAGCAAGGUUGGUUGCUAAGGGGUUUACUCAAACGGAGGGGAUCGACUAUAAUGAUACUUUCUCUCCAGUUUCCUCCAAAGACUCCAUGCGAGUUAUCAUGUCUUUAGCUGCCUACUUCGAUCUUGAAUUACAUCAAAUGGAUGUAAAAACCGCUUUUCUUAACGGAGACUUACAAGAGGCUAUAUACAUGAAACAACCUGUUGGAUUUGUUGAAAAGGGGAAAGAGAAUUUAGUAUGCAAGCUCAAUAAGUCCAUAUACGGCUUGAAACAAGCAUCAAGGCAAUGGUACCUAAAGUUUGAUCAAAUUGUCUCUGCAUAAGGUUUUGUAGAAAACAAACUGGAUGAUUGUAUAUACAUUAAGUUCUCAGGUUCCGAGUUCAUCUUCUUAGUACUUUAUGUUGAUGCCAUUCUCCUAGCUAGUUCAUGUCCCCAAUUGCUUCAUAGCAUUAAGAGAAUGCUAAGUGAUAACUUUGAGAUGAAAGAUCUUGGAGAAGCACAUUAUGUACUAGGAAUAGAGAUUGUUCGAGAUAGGAAAAUGAGGCUCCUUGGUUUAUCUCAAAAGGGGUACAUUGACAGAGUGUUGGAGAAAUUUCAUAUGGCAAAUUGCAAUUGUGGUCAGGUUCCAGUCAAUAAAGGUGACAAGUUUUCGAAGAUUCAAUGUCCAAGAUCUGAUUUGGAGGUGAAGAAAAUGCAAGCUAAGCCUUAUGCCUCGUUGAUUGGAAGUCUUAUGUAUGCAACUAUCUGUACAAGGCCUGAUAUUGCCUUCAUAGUUGGUAUGCUAAGACGAUUUCAAGCAAAUCCUGAGAAGCACAUUGGGGGUGGCAGCCAAGAAGGUUCUUCGAUACUUGCAGAGAACCAAAACUCACAUGUUAGUAUAAUGGCCGAACUGAUUCUUUGGAGCUCAGGGGGUAUAUACUCGGAUUUAGCUGGAGAUGUGGAUGACAGGAAGUCCACAGGGGUUAUAUCUUCAUACUCAAUGGAGGGGCAGUUUCGUGGAAAAAUGCAAAGCAAACUAUUAUAGCCACAUCAACUAUGGAAGCUGAGUUUGUAGCCUGUUUUGAAGGCAUGAAACAGGCAGCAUGGUUGAAGAAUUUUUUGACAGAUUUAAAGAUUGUGAAUUCGGUUCAGAAACCAGUAACAAUGUUCUGUGAUAAACAACUCGGCUGUGUUUUUUGCUAAGAAUAAUAAAAGGACUUCAGCAUCUAGAUUUGGAUGGACGAAGUUUCUUAAGGUCAGAGAACAAGUCAAGAAAGGAGUUAUUGAAGUACAGCACAUUAGCACUACUAUGAUGAUUGCUGAUCCCUUGACUAAGGCACUGCCAAUUGGAGAAUUCAAGAAACAUGUUUCUUCAAUAGGAGUACUAGAAGGUUUUGAUCAGUGGGAGUAAUCACGUGUGUGUUAAAGGCUUGGGAUUGCAGAAGCAGAAGUAUAUAUGUGUUUCAAGAACUGUAUGUGCAAUUCUGACAAGCUGAACUAAGGAUGCUUUAUGUUUUAACUUGCUUUAGUUAGUUUGUUAAGGUUGUUUGUGUUUUAAUAAGUGUCCUUGUCUGCUACUCAAUACUUUGGCUUUCAGGUGUUGAGGUACGGAUACUGGACUGAGUUAGAAUUUAGUUUCAUUAGUAACUUUGAAAGAACAGUUUGUCUGUUUUUUAAGUUUGUGGUUAAUGAUGUUAUAUAGUCAAUUACUAUGUUGCUUUUCUGUGAAGAUUAAUGUGUGUUGUGAUCUUUUGAAAAGUGGGAGCAUAAUGUUUGACGGUUUAUGUUAGUCAUGAGUCAUAUUUACAAAUUGAAUAUAUGUGAGCCUUGAAUUAAUACUACAAUUUGGUUGUGGUCUGAGAUUCUUGGUUUCUAUAUUUUGAGAUGUAAUGGGACAGUGGUCAUGAUGGUUAAAUCUUAGAUGAGGUUAUGUGAUCACUUCUUAUGAUUGGUGACGGCAAGGUUUGAUCUUUGUCUCAUGUUCAAGUGGGAGAAUGUAAGAAUGUGAACAUGAGAUAAGAUGAUCGGAUAUUAGUUGUUUGAGUCCAAUCCGAAUAAGAAAGCCUCUAAGAAGAUGGAAUUCAGUUCUUGGCAGUAGAGGACUCUAUUGCAGGGAAAAACUGAUUUGAAUUAGGAAGGCUUAAGUAGUUUUCCAUAAGGAUUUUAAUAGGGAAUCCAUAUUCUAAUAUGAGAAGGAUAUGUGUGUACAUAUAUAUAUAUAUAUGGCAAUCUCUUCUCUCACAGGUGUGUGCUCUUUUGGAACUAAGCCCUAUUCUUAGUUUGAGUGAUAAAUACCCUGACAGAGAGAAGAAGAAUUGUUGUGCUUUUCAGGUUGAUCGAGAUCCACCAUGACUGCAUCAAACGGGAGUUCUACAGGUUAGUAUAAUUAGGUUUAUUUGGAUUGAUGUUUUGUGUCUACUUGGUUGUAGUUUAAGUAACUGAAUCUUGCAGCUAGAUUUUGGUUUACAUAUUUUUCGAUGUAGGCUUUAUCCACGGUGUGAGCUGCCGGCCUGACGCGGAGUUUGGUAGGGGAGGGGAAUUUGAAGUCUACGAUUUUUUGGGACGUUGGCGGGCAACAGUUGGUCGGGACUGCUCCACUUGGAAAGUCCGCAGCUCCGCAUUUGGCUAGGUCAGGCGGCAACACUGGCUUUGCAACAGCGAAGGGGUCGCUGCCAAGACCAACCACUCCGGCUUUGCAACAGCGAAGGGGUCGCUGCCAAGACCAGCCACUCCACCGUAGAGGCUUCCGAGACCUAUAAGUACAUUUCUUCUGUCUAGGUUUACUAGAGAAGGGUUUUCAUGGUCGUGAUCGUUGGAGCUAGUGGAAGGGUUUUUGUUUUGGUCACUACUAUUAUUUGUGGCUUUGCACGAGACAGCUUGUAAAUUGGAAUGCCUAGGGUUUCCAAAUGAGGAUAUUCGGUGAUACUUUUGGGAGAAAGGGGAGAGAGAAGUUGUGGGGAUGAUACUUGUGGCGGAGGUGACGAGUGGAGCUGACAUAGAAGCCAUGGUACUUGACUCUGAAUAAUACGUUGUAUUGGCUUUGCUUUUAUAAUGUGUUCUAGGUUUUACGUUUCUUUGCACGGGUGGCAGGCCGUACACACGUGGUCGGUCCUUAAGGGUUUGACGAGGAAUACUACGCAGUCAUUUAGUACAUGACAACCAUACACUAUAGCACGUGGCAUGUAUUUAGAGAUCGAGAGAGAAUUGGGUAAGGUUCACGAGGGAUUGUAGUUUCAGAAGGUGAAUUGGUUUUGGUCUUCUUGUGUACCAAUAAUUUUUACUUAGUCAUUUAGUGCAGGACAACCAUGCACUAUAGCACGUGGCAUGUAUUCAGAGAUCGAGAGAGAAUUGGUUGGGUAAGGUUCACGAGGGAUUGUAGUUUCAGAAGUUCAAGCGGUUUUGGGCUUGUUGUGUACGGCUGUGGGUCUGCUGUCACGGACUCUCUGUCUCAUUUGUGUCUUAUUUUUUAUUUUUUGACACGUUUUAACGUCAAAUCAUUAUAGCAAUGUUAUGCAAUUGGGAGCUAAAUGACCGAUGCUCUUAUUUUUUAGUUUGCUUUUUUUCCAGAUCUGAUCAAAUCAUGAUAGCAAUGUUAUGCAAUUUUCAAGAGGGAGAGAUGCACCUGGGAGAGAAACGGUACGGUGACUUCUAAAUCACCGUCCAACAGAACAAUUCUCAGUAGAGACUACUAGAGAGAGAUGCACCUCACCAAUGAAAAAUUUAACUGCAAAAAUUCUGGGUAUCGGGAGUUGUGGGGUGGGUCUUGGCAGUUUUCUUAUUUCUUUGAAUUUUUUAUAAUUUAUUUUAUAAAAGUAACAGUGUUUUGUGGGGGUUAAAUUGUAAAACACGUGUCAUCAAACUAAAUAAAGAGACACCAAAGAGACAUGGAAUUCGGGACAACAGACCCACAGCCGUUGUGUACGGAGGCAGACUCUCUGCUCUCCUACUUUCUGUGUCCUCCUGUUUUGUGUAGUCACGAUUAAAUCACGUCAAUAUUUUAUAUUAUUAUUUUAUAGAUAUAAUAAGACAAAAAAGAAUAGUAAUUUAAAAUAUUAACGUGACUUAACUGUGACCACACGAAUAGGAAGGCAUGAGAAGUGGGAAGGCAAAGAAUAUGCCUCCGUUGUGUACCAAUAAUAUUAUAUAUAUAUAUAUAUAUAUAUAUAUAAUUAGGAUUGAAGGAUGUAGAGCUUAUUUUGUUAUGUAUUCUAACAAUUUAAGUGCUUAUCUUUUAGGUUUUCUCUUAAACAGCAUGCCUAUAAAAAAUCACCAAAAUUCAAACCAUAUGACCAUUAGAUCCAUAGUCAUUUUAGUGUUAAAUGAACUUCACAAAAUAAGUCUCAAAAUAUGUAUAAAAAAUGGACAGCGUGAAUGGUUUGGAAAUUGGAAUAGGUUUGGAAAUUGUGCUUUUUGUAGCAAAUUGCAGCAAAGUUUGCUUGGACUUUCACAACCGUAUAAAUUAAACUGUUCGCUUUGUUGGGAAAAACAAGUUUGCCGCUGGUCUUGGGUUCCAAGAUCGGCCAAUUUGACGGCACACUUUUUGGCGUUGAGAAGCAGUACGGAGAUGUGCAGAUUAACUUGGAUUGAUACUCCUCCAUCUUCGUUGGUUCGUGUAUUGAACAAAGAUGGCCUUCCUUGCCCUCCUUAAUAUUUUUUGUUCUUCCUGCAGUGGAGGCGGUGACGCCUUGCUCUUGGUGCAGCGUCUAGUGUUCUGUACCCUCCUCUUCUGCAUAUGUUUGUAUUUCCCCUCGUUGCCCCUUCUAAGUGGGCUUCCUAUUGUUUUGGCUUCGGCCCUGGUUAUGAAAUAUUUCCAAUCUUACCCAAAAAAAAAAAAAAAAAGAAGAAGAAGAAGAAGUCAAGCACGGUGGGAGACUGGUCAUAGUUUCUAGAUUGAUGCUCUAAUUCUAAUGUUAUACAACGCGUACGCUAAAAUAUUUUUAUCAAAAUAUUAGUUUUAGUGUUAUCAAAACAAUAAUGUUAUUCUUACCAUGUUUUUGUAUCACAAUUAUAUACCACCUUAGAUGGCAUAUGAUGUAGAUAGCCACAUCAUUUAAAUUAAUAAGCAUUUAAUUUCAAAUGUUAAUCAAUAAUUAAUAAAAUGAUUGUUAAUUAAAUGAUGAUUAUGGUAUACAAGGAGUCUCCUUCUUCCUUCCCCUUUCCAUUCUGCUUUUUCUUCCUACCACUUUCUGUUUUUUUUUUCAUGCCAGUUUUUGUAUUGAUUUCUAUUGAUUUCCAUGAUUAUGGUCAAUCUUUAUAGAAUUUACUCGUAUACCACAACCACCAUUGAUUUCUAUCUCUAGACUCAUGCCCCGUAGCCCUAAUCCUCAUUCCCCUUCAAGUAUUUCUGUCUCCAAUCUUCUUUGGUACUCCAUGGUUGUUCAUCUCGUGAUUUUUUUUUAUUAUUUCAUUAAGUAACGCCUAUUAGCUUUCAUGCGAAUUAGGAGUCAAAAUCAAAUUUGUCUAUCGGAUUAGGGUUCAUGCCCAAUUAAGUUACUAACGCAAGAGAGAUUUUGAAGUCUACAAUUUUCCUUAUUUAAGUGUUUUAAUUAAUAAGAAAAUUGAAAUUAAACGAUUUAGCUUGUCCAACUCAUCUGCCACCUAAGAUGGUAAAUAAAUGUGGUAAGAAUAGCAUUACUCUUAUCGAAAUUACAAAAAAAAAAAAAAAAAAAAAAAAAAGCUGAUUCAAUAUUUAGUUAUUAAAAAAAAUAUAAAAAAAGUGAUCAAGUAACUAUCCAAUACCCAUGUAUUGGGUGCUUUGUUUGAAAAUUUUCAAAAUGAUAUUGGGCUCGUUUGGAUAUGUUUUUAAAAUGACUGAAAGCGUUUUUAGAGAAAAUAUUUUUUUGAUUCCAAAAGCACUUAAAGUGUUUUCUGCAAAAAGCACUUAAAGUGCUUUCUGCAAAAAGCACCAGUUAUGUGCUUCUUCCUAGAAGCACUUUAAGUGUUUUUCAAGCAUUUACUUGCUUUUUUACUAAGGAUUGGUUCCAAAAACAUUUUCACAAAAAGUGUUUUCAGUCAUUUUAAAAGUACAUUCAAACGAGCUCAUUGUUUUUCCUAUUUUAAUCAAGUGCGUCGUCCCCUGUUGAGAAUGAAUCUCAUAUUAUGGGGAGAGGGGUCUUGCAUGGAUGAGAGGAGGGACCUUGCAUGAGCUUAUAAGUAAGUUGGGUUACUCUCUAUAUUGCCAAGAGAAAUUUUAUUUGGACCUACUUUUCCUCUCUCUAAACCCAACUUUAAUAUUUUGUUACCUAAACUCUCUAGUUUACCCUCAUAAAUUAUAAACAUAAAUAAACUGGAAAAAGAAAAACUCAUCAAACCUAUUUCCCAACUGUUCUGGCGUCUCUUCCCUGUAUUUGUUGGGUCUAUCUCCCUCCCGACUGUUUUUUUUCCCUGAUAUUCUCUGUGUGUUCCCCCACCUCUCCCACACCCACCGAUUCUUUGUGGUGGCUAUUCCACCCAACGUCCAGUGAAUCUUUCCAUUUUUCUUCUAUUGCGCGUGAUAGGGCCUUGCUGUUAAUAGGCAAAACUAAGCGGCAUCGUCGACUCUGUAAGCGACUUGUUGCAGAAGUCCAAAAUGGAGUCAAAAGGAUUUUGUAUUGGGUCGGGUUGUUGAAGGCGAUGGCUGAUUUAGCAAUCUCGCCUAACUACUUCUAUAUGCAGGAGAAGGAAGAGGGAGGAAGGUCUAAAGUGGUGGUUGAGUGGUGGCGAUGUAUGUGGGUUCUAUCUCGGUUGAAUGGGUGUAGAAAGAUAUUUAAUUUUCAGUUUCUUAUUUUAUUUUGUAUAAGGGAUAAUAUCGGAAUUACAUAAAAAGUUUUUUUUAUAGCUGGGUGUAGAAAUAGUAUUGUUGGGUCUAAAUAAAAUUACCCUAUUGCCAAACAUAGUAUUGUUGGGUCUAAAUAAAAUUACCCUAUUGCCAAUUAGCUUUGUUUGAAAAUUUUCAAAAUGAUAUUGUUUUUACCAUUGAACCCUUGUUAUAUACAGUGAUGGCUAAUUUGUCAAGUUCUACGAAGUUGGGAUACCCAGCGUUUUAGCAUAUAACAUAACUUAGUAUUACAAGCAUAAUUAAUUAAAAUAAAGGAAAAUGAAGAGGAUAGCUUAGUAUUACAAGCAUAAUUAAUUAAAAUAAAGGCAAAAGUAACAGCCUGUCCCUAAAAAUGACGAUUUUAUAAUCUUAACACGUGAGUUUAUGAAGAUGCCCUUCGAGGCAAAGUGUUGACUUGUGUUGACUACCGCAUCGUGUCAUGUGAGACUCAUCUUCUUGGCGUAUUCUCGUUUUACUUGUCACUACGGACGCAUGGGCGCAAACGGGACAUGAUUUGGAGCUAUAACGAAUGAGUUAUUAACAUUUAAAGUUAAGGACAUUUUAGUAAAUUAAUUAAUUUCAGAUUAUGUUGAGGGGAAAAUCUGGAGUGCCGGUGGGUGGCCCAGAUUAAAGGAAAUGAAGAAUGGAUGGUGGAGGUGUAAAGGAAAGAAGAUAAAAGAAAAAUGAGAGGAAGUGUGUGACUAAUAGGGAGAUGAGAGAGUUAGGAUGGCCCAAUCAGAAACAAACGAAAGGAGGAAAAAGGAGAGAAGAGGGGAGCGGGGGAUCCCUUCGACCCGGUUCCAUUUUCCGACCCGACCCGAUCCUUUUCAUCUUCUUUGAUGGUUUUUCGUCGGUUUUUUCCGACGAACCACGUUAUCUAACCCCUUGGAAAAUGUUCCACAACCUUCCCUCAACUAUUACAAUCCAAAAUUGUAGAAAUUUAGCCAUGAAAGUAUGAAAACCACACCGGUGGGUGCGGGAAACCCUUGUCGUCGAUUCUCCCAUUAUUGCAACGAUUUUCACCAAUUACCACCACCUACAACAUCCUCUUGAGGUCUGGAAUAAAGCCCAAACAAGUUUUGCACUACUACAAUAUUAGCUUUAGAUGGCAGAUGAUGGUGGCGGAUUUAGAAAAAUAUUGUCGGAUAAAUUAUAUCUGACACAUUAUUUAAUUAGUGGUGAAUAUAAGAAAAAUCAUGUCGGUUAUAACCGACAUAAAUUCGUGGCAGAUACUAGCAGAUAUUAAAAAACUCAUGUCGGUUAUAACCGACAUAAAUUCCUAGCGAAUAAUUACUGACAGAUAUUAUAAAACUUCUGUCGGUUAUAACCGACAAUAUUUUUGAAUUGGGGGAAUUUAAAAUUUUGGGAGGGAAUUUAAAAUUUUGGGAGGGAAUUUAAAAUUUUGGAGGAAAUUUUGGGGGGAUUUUUACCCAUAUUAAUUCAUGGCGGAUAAUUACUGACGAAUAUUAUAAAGCUCAUGUCGGUUAUAACCAACAAUAAUGAAAAUGUUUAUGUCGAUUUUUAUUAAAAAAAUGUUUCUGUCAGUUUUAACCGACAUUAAUGAAAAUAUUCCACAGUAAAACCCCUACUUCUUCUCCUUGUGCUGGUGCCUUCUCCCUUCCCCCUUCUUUCCCCCUUUUCUCUUCUCCUCAUUUCCUUUUCCUUUGUAUUUUUGAUUUUGACAAGGUCUCUCCUUUAUUUGAUUCUUUGUUGUUCAUCUCUCACAAAUGUAGAGAGAGUAAAGGAGAUGCUUAGAGCGCUUUCUUUGUUCCUUUUUUUUUUCUUUUCAUUUUUUCCCUUUUCAAACUCCGACUAUGUCUUACAUGGCCGGUCCCAAGCCCGGAUAAAGGAGGAGGGGGAGGGCGUCAGGUAGUCGACAGCCGGCACUCCAUGAUCACGUCGAAUCCUUAUGAAAAUGAAUCCAGAACAAAAUCGCGCUAAAGCUAGGGCGCCACCCGUAAGUGGCGCGCUGUGUGGCCCGAGCACAGUGAUAAGUGAGCAAGGGUCGCUGUAUCUCCAUCGGCACUCGGAUGCAGUGUUAAAUGAGCAAGGGGGCCAUAGAAACUUCUUUUCGAACGACUCCACUCAAAGUUGUUUGGGAGCAUAUGCUCCUAUCAACUUUACCCGGGACACACAAAAGAAGUACUUUGAUCCUAUUAGACGGGGGAGGGUGAAGAAGCUAGGACAGAAGGGUAGAGUUCAAGAGAGCAAAAUGCGUUUAGGAACGUGGAAUAUAGGAACCUUAACGGGAAAAUCUAUGGAAGUAGUGGAAGUUAUGGUGAGGAGAAGGAUAAAUAUUAUGUGCCUACAAGAAACUAAGUGGGUUGGUAGUAAGGCAAAGGAUCUAGAAAACUCAGGGUUUAAACUUUGGUAUUCGGGCACAAAUAGAACGAGAAACGGUGUUGGCAUCAUCGUGGACAAGACCUUGGUACAAGAUGUUGUAGAUGUCAAGAGUGUAGGAGAUAGAAUCAUGGCAAUCAAGAUUGUAAUAGGACAAGAACUUAUCAAUGUGAUUAAUGCGUACGCACCUCAAGUAGGGUUGGAUACGAGUUCGAAGGAGAAAUUUUGGGAAGAUCUUGGAGACUUGGUGCAAGGAAUUGCUCAGACGGAGAAGUUAUUUAUAGGAGGAGAUUUAAAUGGACACGUGGGCAGGGAGACAGGCAACUAUGGAGGUUUUCAUGGUGGCCAUGGUUUUGGGGAGAGAAACGAGGAUGGGGAAGCUAUCUUGGAUUUUACAAUGGCAUAUGAUCUCUUCUUAGCCAACACCUUCUUUAAGAAGAGAGAAGAACAUGUGAUCACCUACAAGAGUGGGUCGUCAAAAACACAAAUAGAUUUUCUUCUAAUGAGGAAAGGGGAUCGUAUAACUUGUAAGGAUUGCAAAGUUAUACCAGGAGAGAGCGUGGCUAAUCAACAUCGCUUGUUGGUGAUGGAUGUACAUAUCAAAAGAGUAAGACAAAAGAACAAGACUUGGAAGUGCCCAAGGACUAGAUGGUGGAAUCUAAAAGAAGAAAAACAAGUCAUUUUCAAAGAGAAGGUAAUCACCCAAUGUGUGUGGGAUAGAGAGGGGGAAGCUAGCCAAAUGUGGGAUUUCAUGGCUAGUUGUAUCCGAAAAGUAGCAAAAGAGGUAUUAGGAGAGUCUAAGGGCUUUGCCCCACACUAAAAGGAAUCUUGGUGGUGGAAUGAGGAGGUACAAACAAAGGUGAAGGCUAAGAAGGAAUGUUGUAAAGCCUUAUACAAGGAGAGGACCGAUGAAAAUGGUGAAAGGUAUAGAAAAAAAGCGAAGCAAGAGGCGAAGAAAGCUGUCAGAGAAGCUAAGUUAGCGGCUUACGACGAUAUGUAUAAACGACUAGAUACCAAAGAAGGAGAGUUGGAUAUCUAUAAACUAUCUAGAGCAAAGGAAAAGAAGACAAGGGACCUAAACCAAGUGAGGUGCAUCAAGGAUGAGGAUGGAAAGGUUCUUGCUACAGAGAACGCGGUUAAAGACAGAUGGAGAGGUUAUUUUCAUAAUCUUUUCAAUGAAGGACAUGAAAUGAGUGCUUCUUUAGGGGAGUUGAGUAACUCAGAAGAGUGUAGAAACUACUCUUUUUAUCGUCGAAUCCGGAAGGAAGAAGUGGUUGUAGCUUUGAAGAAGAUGAAGCAUAAAAAAGCAAUAGGCCCAGACAAUAUACCAAUCGAAGUGUGGAAACUUUUGGGAGAGACAGGUAUAACAUGGCUCACUGACCUUUUCAAUAGGAUUUUGAAAACGAAAAAGAUGCCAAAUGAGUGGCGAACGAGCACUUUGGUGCCUAUCUACAAGAAUAAGGGCGACGUACAAAAUUGCAUGAACUAUAGGGGUAUUAAGCUAAUGAGUCAUACAAUGAAGCUCUGGGAGAGAGUCAUUGAGCAUAGAUUGAGGCAAGAGACACGGGUUUCGGACAACCAAUUCGGGUUCAUGCCAGGGCGCUCAACCAUGGAGGCAAUCUAUCUCUUACGAAGAUUGAUGGAAAGAUAUAGAGAUGGGAAAAAUGAUUUACACAUGGUCUUUAUAGAUUUGGAAAAAGCGUAUGAUAGGGUCCCAAGAGACAUUCUUUGGAGGAUUUUAAAGAAGAAAGGAGUACGAGUAGCAUAUAUCCAAGCUAUAAAGGACAUGUAUGAAGAAGCAAAGACUGCCGUAAGAACUCAUGAAGGACAAACCGAAAGCUUUCCCAUAACUGUAGGAUUACAUCAAGGCUCAUCCUUAAGUCCUUACCUUUUUGCGUUGGUAAUGGAUGAGUUAACAGGACAUAUUCAAGAUGAUAUUCCUUGGUGUAUGCUUUUCGCAGACGAUAUAGUGUUGAUAGAUGAAACUCAGGAAGGGGUAAAUGCAAAGCUUAACCUUUGGAGAGAAGUGUUGGAAUCUAAAGGUCUUCGCCUAAGCCGAUCAAAGACAGAAUAUAUGGAGUGCAAGUUCAGUGCAAAUGGAGGCCAAAACGAGUUAGGGGUGAGGAUCGGAGAUCAAGAAAUACCAAAGAGUGACCGUUUUCGUUACCUAGGAUCUAUCUUGCAAAAGAACGGAGAAUUAGAUGGAGAUCUCAACCAUAGAAUACAAGCUGGAUGGAUGAAGUGGAAGAGUGCAUCUGACGUGUUGUGUGACCGUCGUAUGCCACUGAAGCUCAAAGGAAAAUUUUAUAGGACGGCAAUAAGGUCGGCGAUGAUUCAACUUGGCGGGUUCGAGCAAAUAGGCGUUGGGCCAUAUUAGACACAGAACCUGCACACUGAACACUGAGAGCUAGCGAAUCCUUAACAGCUAACUCAUCAGACCGUUUGGAAAGUAGUCUGUUAUCUUUGGGAGUGAGAAGGUUCCUGGCCACCACCGCAGCGGUCAUAUCAUUCUUCAUCACGGAAUCCCCAACGGUAAGAGGACCAGUAGGGGAGACAAAGGAUGGGCGCCAUAUGUUGUCUGGAGAAGGCGGGGCUGCCUCUUCAACAAGGUUCAAGUCAAAAAACGACGGUCGGAGGGCCAGACAUUUUCAAAGGUGUUGAAGAGAGAAGAGGUCGGACACAAAUCAAGAUCUUAGAAGUGCAAGAAUGAAGCUUCUACUGGUGGAGAUUCAAGUGUGCUUUGGAACUUAAUGCCAGCCCCUAUAAAAAUCUGCACUCGACGGAGCUUCAGAAAUCGAAGAGGCGUUUGCUUUCUCAAAAGCUGGGCUGCUUAGAGAUCACGAGGGUUGAUCUCAGGAAUCGAAGAGGCGUUUGCUUUCUCAAAAGUUGGGCUGCUCAAAGACCACGAAGGCCGAUCUCAGAAAUCGAAGAGGCGCUCACUUUCUCAAAAACUGGGCUCCCCAGAGACCACGAGGGCCGAUCUCAAAAAUCGAAGAGGCACCUACUUUUCCAGCCUUGUCAGCACCUGUCACACGCACACUCAGCUUUGCGGAAAUUAUGGGCAUUCUGUCGAAGACUUCUGGGGAAGUAGAAAACACAUGAAUCUUACUGUUCAAUCACCCACUUCCCACACGCAAUAAUAGCUCAUGGGUACCACAGAUAACUUUGCCAAAGUUCUCUGCCAAAGUUGAGCACGUGAAGCUUGCAGCUCCCACUACAUCGCUCUGACCAAGAAGGGUAAAAAGAAUAGCAAAGAAACAGCACUAACAAAGUUUAGACCCAUAAAUUUUGAAGGUCUAGCUACCAUAUUAUUACCCACAAGGGUAAAGGAACAGUACCACUGCUGGAUAAUUGGAAAGUCCCUAUGUGUCAACCUCUGUGCUUCGUGGCAAGGUAGACUAGCAAACAUGCCCAACCUUUACUCACAUUCGAGAAAACACUCCCAAUAAGAUUGCUUGCUCCAAAAUCGAAGAGGCACCGUCCUCCGAAUCUCGAGAGCCAGACUCCCAACAUGACUACUUUCUUAAAAAUCGAAGAGAGGGUAAAGGAACAGUACCAUUGCUGGAUAAUUGGAAAGUCCAUGUGUGUCAACCUCUGUGCUUCGUGGCAAGGUAGACUAGCAAACAUGCCCAACCUUUACUCACAUUCGAGAAAACACUCCCAACAAGAUUGCUUGCUCCAAAAUCGAAGAGGCACCGCCCUCCGAAUCUCGAGAGCCAGACUCCCAACAUGAUUACUUUCUCAAAAAUCGAAAGAGACACUGCUCCCCGAAUCUUCGAGAGCCAGACCCCCAGCAUGAUUGCUUUCUCAAAAAUCGAUGAGGCAUCGUUCUCCGAAUCAAUCGAAGAGGCGCUCGCUUUCUCAAAAGCUGGGCUGCUCAGAGACCACGAGGGCCGAUCUCAGAAAUCGAAGAGGCACUUACUUUUCUAGCCUUGUCAGCACCUGUCACACGCACACUCAGCUUUGCAGAAAUUAUGGGCAUUCUGUCGAAGACUUCUGGUGAAGUAGAAAGCACAUUAAUCCUACUGUUCAAUCACCCACUUCCCACACGCAACAAUAGCUCAUGGGUACCACAGAUAACUUUGCCAAAGUUCUCUGCCAAAGUUGAGCACGUGAAGCUUGCAGCUCCCACUACAUCGCUCUGACCAAGAAAGGUAAAAGAAUAGCAAAGAAACAGCACUAACAAAGUUUAGACACAUAAAUUUUGAAGGUCUAGCUACCAUAUUAUUACCCACAAGGGUAAAGGAACAGUACCACUGCUGGAUAAUUGGAAAGUCCCUGUGUGUCAACCUAUGUGCUUCGUGGCAAGGUAGACUAGCAAACAUGCCCAACCUUUACUCACAUUCGAGAAAACACUCCCAACAAGAUUGCUUGCUCCAAAAUCGAAGAGGCACUGUCCUCCGAAUCUCGAGAGCCAGACUCCCAACAUGACUACUUUCUCAAAAGCGAAGAGAGGGUAAAGGAACAGUACCAUUGCUGGAUAAUUGGAAAGUCCCUGUGUGUCAACCUUUGUGCUUCAUGGCAAGGUAGACUAGCAAACAUGCCCAACCUUUACUCACAUUCGAGACAACACUCCCAACAGGAUUGCUUGCUCCAAAAUCAAGAGGCACCGCCCUCCGAAUCUCGAGAGCCAAACUCCCAACAUGAUUACUUCCUCAAAAAUCGAAGAGACACUGCUCUCCGAAUCUCGAGAGCCAGACCCCCAGCAUGAUUGCUUUCUCAAAAAUCGAAAAGGCAUCGUUCUCCGAAUCUCGAGAGCCAGAUACCACAGACCACUUUUUCAAAGUGCUCUGACAGAGUUAAAACAUGUGAAACUGGCAGCUCCCACUACCGUGCUAUGACCAAGCAGGGUAAAGGAAUAGCAUUACUACUUGUUGUUAGGGAGACUCCUAUAUAUGUCGACCUCCAUCCCCAACGGACAGGCAGACCUGCAAAAAUGCUCAACCCUUCAUCAUAUCUGAGUGGGCACUCCCAACGAAGCCUUUCGAAAUAUUCAGCUUUCUUUCCCCCCGAUAAUACCUCUGCAAACAAGCUAUACUAGAGCAAGAAUAUCUCAUAUCAUCAGGGUUAAAAGCAAGAGUAUCCCAUAUCAUGCUUUUUCCCUGUCUUUUCCUUUGGCCUUGUUUUUACCUGCAAGACAAGGAGAAAGAGAGCAAUCAGUCAGCACUUGGAAUCAAGCUUCCAACCAGGAAAUGACUGCCUGGAACCCCUUACUUGGCAUUGCUCUCGAGUACUCAUCUUCAACAUCUUAUGUUUCCAGGGAAGAUUCUGCAUCUGCUUGAGGAACAGAUAGGGCAAGUGCGAAGGAUACAAGGAAGCAUGCGGAGACAAGCGUAACAGCACACGUGCCGAUACAUCCAUUACUCUGUCAAAAGCAAAAGUAUCCCAUAUCAGCAGGGUGGAACGUACUCUAGAUUUGAUGGACUUGUUUUGACCCUCAAAUUCUUCAGUCGGCCUUAUAUUCUGGAGGAAACCAGAAAACCCUCCAGCUCAGUUCAAGAAUAAGCCUGUGGAAAGUUACUUCUUCAAAAGCAAAAGUAUCUCAUAUCAUCUCUUCUCAUUUUUCUUCUCUCUUUAUCCUUCAUGCUGCUGCAAGAUGGGGAGAAGGUGAACAAUCAGUCGGAGCUCUGAUUGCUUACCUUGUCUGUCACCUCUUUCAGCAGACCCCCUAGCUCGGCGACUUGGGGGACUCCUACUAAAUGGUUUGUAUCGCGCUUGACCAAGCCUGAAACUACAAGUAAGCUUCAAGUGAAAUUGAUACAUUACCUUGUGCAUCUCCACCAGUUAAAGAUACCACCCCUGGAUGGAGGAAGAGUACUUCCAGAGAAGAUGCCACAUCUACCUAUGAGACAGAUAAGGCAAGUCAAGACGACACCACACUCCGAUACUUAGAAGUUUCGUGAUUAUGAGAUCAUUCUCCCACAAUAUUUCCUAAUGUCAUUUGUACUAAAUCAUUCACUUGUACUCACUAAAGGAGAGCUUGAACCUAUGUACUUGUGUAAACCCUUCACAAUUAAUGAGAACUCUUCUAUUCCGUGGACGUAGCCAAUCUGGGUGAACCACGUACAUCUUGUGUUUGCUUUCCUAUCUCUAUCCAUUUAUAUACUUAUCCACACUAAUGACCGGAGCAAUCUAGCGAAGAUCACAAAAAGCGACCGUUUUCGCUACCUAGGAUCUAUCUUGCAAGAGAACGGAGAAUUAGAUGGAGAUCUCAACCAUAGAAUACGAGCUGGAUGGAUGAAGUGUAAGAGUGCAUCCGGCGUGUUGUGUGACUAUCGUAGGCCACUGAAGCUCAAAGGAAAAUUUUAUAGGACGGCAAUAAGGCCAGCGAUGUUGUAUGGCACAGAAUGUUGGGCGGUGAAGCAUCAACACGUACACAAAAUGGGUGUAGCGGAGAUGAGGAUGCUUCGUGGGAUGUGUGGGCACACGAGAAAGGAUAAGAUUGGGAAUGAGGAUAUCCGAGGUAAAGUAGGAGUAGCCGAAAUUGUAGGAAAGAUGAGAGAAAAUCGGCUCCGGUGAUUUGGACAUGUGCAAAGAAGGCCGACUGACGCUCCGAUUCGAAGAUGUGACUACGGGACAGAGGUUCAGGGCCGAAGGGGUAGAGGAAGACCUAGGAAAACUUUGGAAGAGACUCUAAGAAAAGACUUAGAGUACUUGGAUCUAACGGAGGACAUGACACAAAACCGAGCGCAAUGGCGUUCUAGGAUUCAUAUAGCCGACCCCACUUAGUGGGAAAAGGCUUUGUUGUUGUUGUUGUUGUUGUAUUUUUUCCCUUUUCAAAAUCGAAAUGUUCUAAAUUAUUUCACUAAUCCUUGCUAGUUUGAACUGCAGGAGUCUGUCUCUGGAUUUGAAAGAUUAUCUGGACUUACAGUUUUGAAGAAUUGGGAUUCUAGUGUUACACAUAUUAUUGCAUCGACAGAUGAAAAUGAAGCAUGCAGAAGAACCCUUAAAAUUUUGAUGGGUAUCUUGGAGGGGAAGUGGAUUCUGAGUGUGGAGUGAGUUUUACUGUUUUCGUUUUAAUUGUUCUUCCUCAAGUGCUUGGACUUUACAAUUGUAAUGAGUACAGAAGCCGAAAUGAGAUAUUGAUAUACAUGUUCACAUUGCUGAUAAUUCGUUAUCCGUCUGUUUGUGUAGGAAUUAAUGCUUGCACAUAAGUAAUGAAACUAGUUAAUGAGGAGCCUUAUGAAAUCAACGUUGACAUUUAUGGAAUCAGGGAUGGUCCUCGACUUGGUAGACUAAGGCUGCAGAACAAGGUUAGCUUUUCCUCGAGUUUAACUAUCAUCACGAAAACUUUAGAUUUUCAUGGAUUCACCAUAGGCAUUGUUAAUCUUGUUCAGUCCAUAAAUAGGUUACACACUUAUCUUAACAAAGGUGAGACCUUCUCAAUUCCUCAUCGAGAUGAAUCAAGAGCAUAAUUGUAGCAGUGAUCAAGAGCAAUUUUUUUAUGUUUCUUCCAAAUUGUUGAGAUGAAUCAUCUGUGUUUUGUUCUAAUAAUCUUACAAAUUUGUUGAGCAAUUUUUGUAAAGUCAGAAUCUUUGGUUUCGGUUGUGAGGUAUCUGAUUUGGGUAUAUGUGUUUUGCAGGGCACGGUGGUUGUGGCGGAGGAAGAUUAGGAUUGACGACAGAGCUCUGGCCAUGAACUAUCAGCUCUGUCUUUCUCUCUCUAACUAUGAAUUGAAUACAAAAGUCUGUGUUGAUAUGGAAAAUGUAGCUCAAAAUUAUUACACAAAUGGCAAAAAAAAAAAGUUCGAGUGUGGAGUUUCACUUACUGAUACAGGGCUUUUGAAACAGGGUUGUCUAGACUGUAGAAGAAAUCCAUGGCUUUUGGAAGAGGGGAUGUUCCAAAUCUAUCUUUUCUCCCUCUCUAAUGUUCUUCGAGGGGUUCUUGUGAUGCAAAAAGUGGUUUAUAUAUAUUUUUUAUUAUUAAUAAAUUUUCUGUCGGUUUUAUCAGACAAUAAUUCUUUUAUUUAUUCUUAUUAAUAAUUUCUCUGUCGGUUAUAUCUGACACAAUUUCUGUCGAUUUUAGAGUAUUUUCUAUCGAAAAUUUCAUUUCCUGACGCAUCAAUUAUGUCGCUUAUUAUAUCCGCCACUGCACUCAUUUCAUGUCGGAUUUUGCUUAAUUUCCAACAGUAUUAUACAUUUCUUGUCGGUUUUUAAACCGACACUAAUGGGUACUUUUGUAGUAAUGUUGGGGCGUCGGAGUUCGUUUAAGGUCGAAUUGAGCACACCCAAAUUCAAGGGUUCCGUACGGUUCAUGGUAAUUUGAGGUAUUUCUCAGCCAAAUUGUCCUUAGUCACAGAUAUGAAAGUUGCUCCACUCGUUGAGAUCUUCAUUUAUGUCAAAUUUGAGAAUUUUUAGAAAUAAUUGGAUUUUCCAGCGAAUCGGGGCGGCGGACCACCACCGGACAGCGCAUGGCUAGUGGGCCCCCAAUGUCAUUUUACGUUAAAUUGGUAUCUUGAUUUUAGGUUUGAUGUCUAUAUGUUAUGACUUGAUAUGUGAACCUAGUUUAAUUAAGGUGCGUUAAUUGGUAAAAAUAUGAAACGACGAUCCGACCGUGGGAUCGUCACCAAUCUUUAUUAUGUUAUAGUACAUUAUAUUUGAGAAUCAUAGGGACUGACGGAUAGGAAAUCCGAUAUACGGAUCUUCCUGAAAUGGAAUUGUAAGUUCGAAGAAUAAACGUUAACCGCCACUUUGUUUUGACUAUUGGUGAAGAUCCAACCGUUGGAUCAUAAUGAAAUUUUAGGAUGAUGUUUUAGAAGCAUAAUGUGGAUCUUUGGAAGUUAUUGAUUGGAAAUCCGAGGAGCGAAUCUUCCGGAUUGAAUUACGUAAGGUUGUGGACCCUACCGUCGAUCGUUGACUGACGAUCGACUUUUGGUCAAUGGGGCUUAAAUCACUCUAAAAUGUUUUUAGGGAUGUGUUUUACGUAAAUUACAUUAUCUAUGGAUAAGAAUUCUGAGAUGUGGUUUGAUAAUUGUCCUGGGCGCCGAUCGUUAGGAACGCUUCGAUGGUUGUGCUAGGAAAUUGUAGCAUAGACUCCAGGUGAGUGAAUCUUUUCCUUCUUAUAUAUAUAUAUAUAUAUAUAUGAUUGACAAUUCCACAAACGUUUAUAAAUUGAUUAUUGCAUAUAACUACUGUAAAUACUUUGAAGUACUUAUGCGAACUACGAAUGGCUUGAUCCCUAUUUAGGGUACGUAUGCAGUCUAACAAGACAUUAAAUGCAGUCAUACAAUAAUUGAGAUUAAACAAUUGAGACAAAGCCUUGUAUGGGGAACUGGGCAAGGUGAACGAAUUUGGUAAAAAUGUGAGAUUUAACCUUCUGAAUUGGUGAUUAAAUGUUGGUCAUAAAUCAAUGUGUAAAGAAUCAAGAAUUUGAAGUAAGGAAACGUAAGUAAUGAUAAUUAAUUAAACUAGUGUCUAGUUGGGCUUGUCACCUAUAAUUAUCCCCAAAAAUGAAUAAUUCGGGAGUAGGGCGUUAUAGCUUCUGCAUUUUUAUGCCACAUUAUAUAUAUAUAUAUAUGUGUGUGUGUGUGUGUGUGUGUGUGUGUGUGUAUAAUUGGAAAUGCUAUAACGUGGUUGAGUAUCAGAUUUCAUCAUGGUUUAUCUAUAUGUAUAUUACCUGCACACAAUUAUUAUGAACACUUUGAAGUGCAAAGGUGAACGCAAGACACCCAGGAAAGUUCAGGUGAGUUUAUGGUAUUAGUUGAAAUGAUGGGGUUAUGGUAACUACAUGUAUGUUUAGGUUGCAAUGAUAGGCAACUCCGACACUGUCGUACAAGUUGCCCAUGAAUUGUAUAUGUUACAAUAGAUAGAGUUAGAGGUCAUAAACCUGCACCCCGGUGUUAGUGCUCCCACCCGUGGCUAGGGCACAGUCUUUCACGAGAUGUUCACCUCUCGCAUCUUACGCUCACCUUGGAUCCAAGGUAGGUGCACAGUCAUGUCAUAAAGACCACUAUAGGUGGUUCCGACUAGUAGAUGACCCGUGAUUAUUCGCACAGUCUUCACGUGAUUGUAGCACUUGAGCGUAUUUAUUUACACCCAGUCCUGUCGUACAGACCACUUUAGGUGGUUCCGACUCGUAUGCAGGUAUACUUAUUGAGCUAUGGAUAAGUCGUACAGGUCACUAAAGGUGACUCCAACUUAUGAGCUAGCAUAUGUGAUGAAAUAUGUGAUGAGCUAGCAUAUGUAAUGAGAUAAGUGAUGAGCUAGCAUAUGUGAUGAGAUAUGUGAUGAGUUAGCAUACGUUAUGAGAUAUGUGAUGAGUGAUAUAAUCAUAAUUGCAUACAUUUUCAUGCCCUUUUAGUUUAGAUUUUUGUUAUCCUUUUGAGUGAAUUUAGUUUGUUUCACUUAGUUUUAUGUUUUUCUUAGAUUUGAAGUGUGAAGAUGAAGAAAGAAGAAAAAAGAGCAUUUUUAGCGAUUGAAAUGAGUUUGGCAUGCUGGAAGCAGAGGCUAUUUGUGCGGAUCAGCCAACUUUACGGAUUAAACUGUACUUCCUUAGAAUGCCAGCUGUUGAGUCUUAUACCAUUGGAAAGAUAUGAAAGUUAGCUUUCAGAGGAAUUUUACGAUUCGUGAUUCCGAGUUUCCUAGAAGACGUUAUAGUGGUUUUUCUACCAGAUGUCUGCCAGCAAGGUUUUACGCGGGAUUUGCAAAGAGAUUCCAGAUUUACAAAGUUUAAUUAAAGGAAACAAGCAGAGAAAAAAGAAGAGGAAGCUUUUAGAAAAGUUCAGGACUAUUCUAAACGGUGCAUAGUUAAUAUAUUUAAUAGUUUAGUGUGCCACAUCAUCAAUAAACUAAUCUAAGUCAGAAGAGAAAUUCAAGAGUCCCAUUCAAGUAAGUAUUCCAGCAGUUUUAUUCAGGAAUAAAGGAGGGCAGACCGUCGGACUUUAGGAGCGGACAGAGAGAGUUUUUGGGUUUUCGAAGGUGCAGAGAAGAGGUCGCAGCAAGGAGUGAAACAGAGUCGCCGAUCAUCUGGGCAAUCCAUCACCAUCGUGUGGAAGUAUUUUAUGUUUUUCAGAUUUUUAAUUAUGUUUUCAGAUUUUAUGAGUAACUAAACUCUUUUUCUAAGGUUAGGAUGAUGCCCUAGCAUGGAUGUUUAUGGUUUGUAAUGUUAUUCAUUGGAUUUCCAGUUUCUUUUAGAUGAAUGCUUAAUCACUGUUUGAAUUGUUACUGUUUGUUUGAGUUCUUUGAUUGAUCACCUUAGGACUUUGCAUCUAGUAAGAUUGGAAGAUGAAUUUGAGACUGAACUAACAAUAUAAUUCAAUUAGCUUCUUGUGGUUAAGUGUGGUAAAUUACAUUAUUGCUUGAAAAAGAAUAAUGGUUUGUUUGGGUCCCUUGUUUUCUAGAGGGUAAAGAGUCCUACUUGUUAAAUUUAUGCCUUAACUAGGAUAGACUGCUUGUUAGGAUAUACGACCUCUGCCUAAACUAGGAGAGAAUCAUUCACAUAAGGAAAACUAUGGUCUAAUAUGCCUGACAAGGACUUAGAUACGGGAAUUAUCAUCUAAAGAAUUGAAAGAUCCAUUGAAUGCAUUGAAACCUAAACUAGAUUGCUUGUGGUUGAUUCCGAAUCCCUAGAUUUUCAUCACUUGCCUUAAAACACAACCGUUUCUUUUCUUUAAUUUCAGUUUUUACUUAAGGUUCUGUUUUUGUUCAUUUAUAAAAUCAUCACAACAAAUUUUUUACAUCUUUGAUUGACUUAUUAAUUAAGAUCGAGUCUAGUUCGUUGUUUGGGUUUGUGUGUCUUUAAUAUAAUUAGAUUUGGUUUAGUUUAUCAAAUUGGAGAUUGAAUUAGAAUCCUCGUGGGAACGAUACUUGGACUUGCAAAACGUUAUAUUACGACUAUCUUGUGCACUUGUAAGUUUACACCAAGUUUUUGGCGCCGUUGCCGGGGACUCUAAUUGAGUCCCCCAAUUUGAUAUCAUAUUCCAUAUCUAAUAAGUAGUUUAUUGUAGAUUAUUCAAUUUGAUUUUGUUUUGUUCUCUAGUUUCGAGUAAGAGUCAUAACUAUUAAGAUAAGUAAAAGUAAUUUUCGUCACUGUUUUAUUUCAGUUUUGUAUCACUGUUUCGACACAGUUUUGGACUAAACUAUUCGAUUUUUUACCAGGAAUAUUGUGUAUCGUUGGAAAGCCCCAGAAGUCUAGUUUUCAACCCAAAAAACAGAUCAAUGAUUGGAUUUUUGAGCUGCAAGAAAUGUACAAAAUACUGAGCAGUGGUCAAACAAGGAGCACAGUCUGGUCGUAUAUGCAAGGUAGACGUUCGUUGCAAUUUGAGUUGAUUCAUAUAGACCAAGAACUUGUGCGUACUUUAAGAGAACAGUGGAGGCAGCGAGUGUGUCAAGAACCAGCCAUGGAGGAAGUAGUUAAUAAUGGUGGAAAUAAUCCUCCACCAUUGCUACCACCACAACCAAGGCUCAUGCGUGAUUAUACAAAGCCAACGGAGUACAACGCACCGUCAUGCAUUGUUUUGGCUCCAAUUGCGCAGCGAUUUGAGAUUCGUCCACAAAUCUUUCAGUUGCUGCCUAUAUUUCUUGGGAAGGAGGAAGAAAAUCCAUACCAUCAUAUCAAGGCGUUUUUCAAGCUAUGUUCCACAUUCACAUUCACCAAUGUUACUGAAGAGCAAAUUCGACUUCGGUUAUUCCCAUUCUCUUUGAGGGAUAAAGCAAGCAGUUGGUUGGAUUCUCUUCCCGAAGCAUCUAUCGACACAUGGACAAAAUUAUCGAAGAAGUUUUUGUCCAAGUUCUUCCCCGCUCGAAGAACCAAUGCUCUGAUCAAUGAAAUCAUGAGCUUUCGACAACAAGAAGGUGAACAGUUUCAUGAAAGUUGGGAGCGCUAUAAGGACUUGUUUCUUCAAUGUCCUCAUCAUGGUUUCAACACUUGGCAAAAGGUUCAUUAUUUUUACAAAGGUUUGAACUCUCAAUGUAGGAGUUUGGUUGAUUCAACGGUUGGUGGAACCUUGAUAGACAAAACUCCAGAAGAUGCCAUACAUGCCUUUGAAACUAUAUGUGAAAAUUCUGAGCAUUGGGAUUUUCCUACAAAAGAUUUGAGAGUUCCAACUGCAUCGUCAACAAAAAAAGGAGGCAUUUAUGAAGUUAAUACAAGGACGGGCUUAGAGGCACAAGUGGCAGCCCUCACCAAGCUUCUCACACCACUUGUAAGCAAGAUAGCCACGCAGCCAUGUACUUUAUGUGCGAGCAUCGCCCAUGACAUGGAAAAUUGUCCAACAAAUGCUAAUCUAGAAGGCAUCCAAGAGGUCAAUGCAUUUAGUGGGAGGCCCCGGAAUGAUCCAUAUUCUAAUAAUUAUAACCCGGGAUGGAGAGAACAUCCAAAUUUUUCUUAGAGAGAUUCACAAAAUAGCAUGGGAUCAUUCACUUCAACAAAGCAAUAUCAGCAACCUUAUCAAGCUCCUCCAAUUCAACAAAAAGACUCGUCUAUCAAGGAUAUGUUAUCUCAACUCUUAAAGAAAACUGAUCGGUAUGAACAUGAAGUUGUGUCGCUUAGACAAAGUCAGACGGUGUUGGAAAAGGCUCGAUCUAAUUUUGAGACUCAGUUGGGACAGAUAGCUACUACUUUGAACAAGCUGGAGUGAGCACAAGGGCAAUUUCCAAGCCAAACUGAAACAAAUCCUAGGAAUCAAAAGCAUGUUCAAGCUGUCACCACUUUGAGGAGUGGAAAGACGAUUGGUAAUAAUGUGGAAAGUUCAAAAAUUAAUAAGGAAGAAGAUGAAGGGGUCAGCACAUAUCGGGCAGCAGCUUGACAAGACAAGCUAAAAAAGAGAAGUAUAUGGGAGAUAUUUUAGAGCAAUUUAGAAAGGUGCAGAUUAAUAUUCCUUUUCUCGAUGCCAUCAAACAAAUUCAAUCAUAUGCGAAGUUUUUGAAGGAACUUUGUACUAACAAGAGACGGUAUGAAGAACAUGAGGAGGUGAAGUUAUCAGACACGGUUAGUGCGGUUCUUCAAAGAAAAUUGCCACCAAAACUUCAAGAUCCUGGUAGCUUUACAGUCCCAUGUGUCAUUGGAGAAAGAAAAUUCGAAAAAGCUUUGCUUGACUUGGGAGCCAGUGUGAAUUUGAUGCCCUAUUCUGCUUAUAAACACCUCAAAUUAGGCGAACUAAAGCACAUAUCCAUUUCUCUACAAUGCACUGAUCGUUCUGUGAAAUAUCCAAGAGGGAUUGUUGAAAAUGUACUUGUGUGUGUUGAUCAAUUUAUUCUUCCUGCUGACUUCAUCAUUUUGGACAUGGAAGAAGCCGAAAUUCCUGGUCGUGACUUGCCUCUCAUUCUUGGCAGACCUUUCAUGGCUACUGCAGGUACGAAGAUUGAUGUUAAAUCGGGAUUAUUAACUAUGACUGUGCAAGGUAUUACUGUAGAAUUUCAGGUCUUCGAAGCAUUGAAGAAGCCCAUGGAUCUUUAUGACUGCUUUCGUGUUGAGGUAGUGGAUCCAAUUAUAAAAAAAAACAUUCAUUGAAUCAAGCAUCUCAGAUCCUCUGGAAGUUUGUAUCUCUCAACAUGGGAUGAGUUUUGAAAAGGCUACCAUCAUUGAAGCAGAACGAGAUCUCAAUGCCGUAACGUCCUACUCUCUUAGAUGCCAGCCCAAAUUUGAAGCGUUGCCACUCACAAGCCAAAAUUGUACCAUCCAUUAUACAACCUCCAAAGCUUGAAUUGAAGCCUCUUCCAGAGACUUUAAAGUAUGCAUAUUUGGUGAUUCAGAGACUCUUCCUGUGAUUAUAGCUGCUGAUCUUAACCAAACAGAAGAGGAAAAGUUGAUGCAAAUGUUGAGGGAGCAUAAAACAGCAUUGGGAUGGAGUAUUGCAGACAUAAAAGGAAUUAGUCCUCAAUUUGCAUGCAUCGGAUAUAUCUUGAGGACAAGUCAAAGCCUUCUAGAGAGGCACAGCGACGUCUAAAUCCACAUAUGCAAGAAGUGGUUCGGGCAGAAGUUCUUAAAUUACUGAAUGUCGGCAUUAUUUAUCCUAUAUCUAACAGCAAAUGGGUAAGUCCACUGCAGGUUGUACCACAGAGAUCUGGAAUUACAGUUGUCAAGAAUGAAAAUAAUGAGCUUAUACCCCAGAGGACUGUCACGGGUUGGAGAAUGUGUACAGAUUACAGAAAGAUCAAUAAUUCAACUCGAAAAUAUCAUUUUCCACUCCCUUUCCUUGAUCUCAUGCUUGAGAGACUUGCAGGCCAUAGUUAUUAUUGUUUUCUUGAUGGCUAUUCCAGAUAUAAUCAAAUUCCCAUAGCUCCGGAAGAUCAAGAAAAGACUACUUUCACAUGUCCAUUUGGAACUUUUGCCUAUCGACGAAUGCCUUUUGGGUUAUGUAAUGCUCCCGCAACAUUCCAAAGAUGCAUGAUGAGCAUUUUCUCAAACUUGGUGGAAAGGUGUAUCGAAGUGUUCGUGGAUGAUUUUUCCGUGUUUGGGUCAUCGUUUGAUCAAUGUCUUCAUCAUCUUUCAUUGGUGCUCUAACGGUGUCAAGAAACCAACUUGAUUUUAAAUUGGGAAAAAUGUCAGUUUAUGGUGAAAAGUGGUAUUGUUCUUGGUCAUGUAAUUUUAGCUGACGGAAUUGAAGUUGAUAAAGCUAAGGUGGAGCUGAUUUCGAAGCUUCCUCCUCCCACUUCUGUAAAAGAAGUUCGAUCCUUUCUCGAGCAUCCAAGUUUUUAUCGCCGAUUUAUUAAAGAUUUCUCGAAAAUCACCAAGCCACUUUGUGAUCUGCUUGCUAAAGAUUCUGUGUUUAAUUUAAAUGGUGAGUGCUUACAAGCUUUUGAGACCCUCAAGAAAGAAUUAACACAAGCCCCAAUCAUAAAAGCUCCAGAGUGGUCUCUUCCUUUUGAAAUCAUGUGUGACGCCUCUGAGUAUGCAAUAGGUGUUGUGUUAGGGCAGCGAGUUAACAAACUUCCUCAUGUUAUAUUUUAUGCUAGCCGAAUUCUCACUUAACAACUUUCAUAUCCCUUAGUUUCCAAAAUUUAAUAUACAAAUUUAGUCUCCCAAGCAUUGCUAUAUUACUUAAGUAUUGAUUAAUAGACUUAUUUCUUAUGGUGACACAUUAUUUAGUUUACAAAUUUAGUCUAUCUAACAUUACUCUUUUGACAUUGUCUUGUCCACUGAUAUAAUUCUAUUUUUCUUGUGAUCAAAACUUCAAAUGUUAGCAAGUCGCACGUAAAGUCGCUUCUGAGAGAAUGUGCUCACAUUGUAGUUGAAAGAUUAUGUGGCUAGCAACAUUACAAAUUUAAUUUGGUAUAAUUUUAAAAUAUAGAUUGAGGAAAAAAAGGAUCACAUUAACUAGAAACUGAAAAGGUUUCGGCGCAAUAUGUUCAAGCAAGAAACUCAAUUUUGAUGCUACCGAUCUUAACAGCCUGAGCGCCGUACCUGGGCACUAAAGUCACCACCACACUCUCAUCAUCUUCAGCACCCAAAUCCUCCAACAGGUCCGUUAACCCCAACCUUAAACAACUCUUGCUCUUUUCCUUCUGCUUAUGUGGCACACUCACAAAACUCCCAGCAAACUCGCUCUUGUCGGGUCCACUCGGUGCCGCAUCCUCAUCAUCCACGUCAUUCACAUACACAUCAAACUUCACAGCCACAUCUUUGUCAAGCUCAAUCCCCCGAAUCACCAAUAUCUCCUCCUCAUCCUCUUUCUCCUUCUUGCUCCUCUUCUUCGGCUUCGGCCUUGACACCACCGUAGUUAUCUUCGUCUCCAAAUUUAUUGGAAAAUCUUUACCCGCCACCACCU